AAGUGCAAUUUUCGCCCAACUGCAUUUAGUAUUUCCACCCCUACAUUCAGCAUAAUGUUGAACUGCAUUUAGCAUUUUGGACCUGCAUUUAUCAUUUUUAUAGAUUAUUUUAAUAAAAAAUAUAAAUUCUUAUUUUAUUAUUAUUUUUUAUAUAUAUCGUAUUUUGUAUUUUUAUUAAUUUUUUAAUUUUUUUUUAAUUCUUAAAUUUUUUUAAUUUUUUUAAAUUUUUUAAUUUCUUUAAUCUUUUAAUUCUUUUAAUUUUUUUUUUAAUUUUUUAAUUUUUAAUAUUUUAAUUUUUUUAAUUUUUUUUUUUAUAAAUUUAGUGUACCGAAUUGACUAUAUAUGACUACAGUAUACCACAGUCAUGUAUAAUUAUAUGUAUUCAUGUACUGUCUUUUUACCCCAAAAUUAAUCUAAACCAACAACAAAAUUCACAAUUUAAUCUUGAUAUUAUAAAUCAACUAACCCAAAAAAAUGAAAAAAACACAAUCACAUGCAUAUAAUCUUCAAAACAUGAACACGCAUUACUAUACAUUAAAAAACACAUAACAUACAUGUAAAUAUAUGUUACUACACGUGACUAUAGUUAUAUACAAUUAUCUAUAGUUAUAUAAGUCACAUAAGUCUGGAGUACUGUAGCAUGAAUCCCACUUCACAAAGGCACUUCAUCGAAUUUUAUUCUCUGCAUGUCAUAAAACUAUAAUAAAAGCAAAACAUGCGACAAAAAAAUACAAGUUAAAUAGCAAAAUGGAACACGCGAGUUAGAUUACAUGAAAAAUACAGAAAAAACAUGAUUUUUUUGUUGAUAAAUUUACUGAACUAAAAUCGACUGCAAAUGACUAUAGUAUACUACAAGUGCUAUAUAUAGUCAUGUAUAGUUACAUGUAGUCAUGACUAUACAUGACUACAUGUGACUGACUAUAUAUGACUUUAUAUGACUAAAUAUAACUGUAUAUUCACCUGACUCAAAUCACCCAUGUAAGUAACCACUACUGGUUAAAUUUAUAUUACAGACAAACAAAGCUCUCACACAUUAGACAUUUCAAAUCAUCUUCAAAAAAAUACAAAAAAAAAAAAAAAUAUACAUAUGAUUUAUAAUAAAAAAAUCAAAUUACAUGAAAAAUACAAAAAAAAAAACAUGAUUGUUUUUGUUGAUAAAUUUACUGAACUAAAAUCGACUACAAAUGACUAUAUUAUACUACAAGUCCUAUAUAUAGUCAUGUAUAGUUACAUGUAGUCAUGACUAUACAUGACUACAUGUGACUGUCUAUAUAUGACUGUAUAUGACUAAAUAUAACUGUAUAUUCACCUGACUCAAAUCACCCAUGUAAGUAACCACUACUGGUUAAAUUUUCACUACAGACAAACAAAGCUCUACACUUUAGGCAUUUCGAAUCAUCUUCAAAUAAAUACAAAAAAUAAAUUACAUAUGAUUUAUAAUAAAAAAUCAAAUUAAUCCAAAGAAAAAUAUUUUAAUAUUAAUUGUUCGCAGAUCUUCAAAAACAUAGUAGAUCUGGUUUUUUUUUUUUUAAAUAAAUGCAGUAAAUAUAUACAAAUCGAACACCACCAAUUCUAGAUCUGAAAUUCACCAUUAGAUCUAACACAAUUUAAAAUUUUCGAAUACAGUUGGUUUCAUAAAAAAAUAAUAAAAUAAGGUGAAAUAGUGAUAAGAAUUCAGAUCUUCAAAAAAUAAAUUAAAAAUGGAUUGGCAUUCAUAAAUUAAAAAAUAACUUAAAAAAAGGGAAGUGAAUUAGUACCGAGUUCAAGGCGGUGGGAGGAGCAACGACGGCCGGUACAAGGCCGUGGCGGAGCAGCGGCGCAAGGCUUUGGCGGAGCAGCAACACAAGAGGGUGCGGAGGAGAUCCUUCCGAGCCCGCGAACUUAGCUUGGUGGGUGCCGAUCUUCUCGUCCGUUGCGAACCAACUAUGUCCUCGCCCUUCCGACCAGGCUGGUCCUUCGACGACGGCGGCUGUCGGAAGAGAUACUGAAGAGGAUGCUCUGGGAAACGCCGUUGACGCCUAUAACGCUGCUGAUGAUGAAGGUGAUGCGACUCCAGAUGAUCUCGCCGAAGGGUCACCCGCAUAGAUUAGGGGUAGUUUUUCUUAAAAUCUGUGGGAGUUUCUAUGUUCCCUUUGUGAUUUUUGUGCUCGCUGUUCUAAACUAAUAUUCUAUUUAUGCUGUUUUUGUUAGUUUAUGGGAUGUGUUUUCAUACCUUGCGAUUUGUUUCUGUUGGUAUGGCUUGUCAUUUUGUAUGUUGAUGGGUCAGCUCGCACGAACUGGUUGAUCUUUCCAGGUUCUUAGGGAUCGUGCCGCGAGCUUUUCUCCUUGCUGUGGUCUUGGGGAUAUUUCUUAUCAUCUUUACGAUCUUAUGACUUUUUUCCUUUUUUCGAGCUUUAUCUUUAGGAAUUUUUUCUAUUAUAUCUUUUUUUUUUUUUUUUUUUUUUUUUUUUUUUUUUUUUUUUGCUAACCUGUCGUUGCGAUCUGUUAUGCGUAGAACUUCCUAAGGUGGCAUACAUUCCAUGUUCUUGGUAUUUUUUUGCCUUUUCGAUCUUGCAGCUCGUAGGCGCCACCCGCUGCGACCUUCGUUACUGUGUAGGGACCUUCCCAAUUAGCCUCUAACUUGCCCGUGGGUUUCAGUGCAUCGGCUCGCCGUAGUACGAGAUCGCCUACUUGAAAAUUUCUCGGGUUGACUUUUCGGUCGUAGCUGACUUUAAUGCGAUUUUUGCUAUCUCUCAUCUGGGGAUCGUGCAUGUAUACGCAGCGGAAUUUAAAUUUUUUAGAUCGAACUAGUUUCGAUUACAUGCAUAAACUAAUCACAUAGUCAACGUACCUUAACGCUUCCGCCAUACACAUGGUAAUUAUCGAUUUUUAUCAAAACAUGUAAAACCGAAAAAUAUAAAACAUGCUUGUUCAUCAUAUUGCAAAAUCGAAACACGUAAUCACAUAUUACUCAUGCUCGUAAAUUAAAGUUCAUACAAACAUAUUGGAAUCAAAUUUACGAAAGUUCCGAUUUAAUUACCUCUUGUAGUGUGAGAUUUCGACGAAUCGAAAUCCGAACUCAAACCCGUACAAGCUGCGUUAUACCACUCCUAAGGGCUGCAGGAAUACCACCAAACGACAGCUGGUCCGACGGCGGCGCGUGCGAGUCAGCGGCGGCGGCGCGUGGGCGAUGUAGCGGCGCGUGCGGCGGUGCAGUGAUGCCUUCGGGGCUGCAACUCCUCUCCAAUCAGGUUUCACCUCGAAUAAACCGAUCUCCCCCUACUGUAGCACUAGAUACAAAGGGGUUAGAUAACAAGGGAAAUACGAGAGAGAAAGAAGAGGAAAAACCAGCGGUUUUCGGCGGCGGACGGCGCCGGUGCGGCGGGACAGCAGCGGCCGAGAGGCUUGGGCGGCUAGGGCUGGACGGCUAGGGUUUUUGGAGUAAUAAAUCUGAUCUCAAACUCUUGUUUGAGGUCUAUUUAUACUAGGGUUCUCAACCCUUGUGGGUUUAAGUCAUUGGGCUUGACCCACUGAUGCAUUAAGCCCAUUCCCUCGUCGGCCUCGUUUCUAACAAACGAUCGUUCACAAAAUUAUAAAAAAAUUAUAUUUGUGACGAGCUUAAAGUCCUCGUCGAUACGAGUGCCUCUUCGAAAUUUCCAAUUUCCAAAAAUGGAAACUUCCACUUCAGUGGACCCGCUAAAUCGGGAAACUUUCCAAUUUAGAAAGUUCAAUGAAUUCCGCAUGUCUCUCUUUCUCUACGUUUAUUCUGACUCGUAAUCCACAAUCACGAAUCUUGGACCAAUCAUAUUGACCUCCAACUUUGCAAAGAUUAACAUUUUAACCUAUGCUCAUUGUUAUCAAGGAUCCGUAUUCACGAGAAGUGUGACCCUCAAUGGUUCAGGUGAAUGCUAGUCGUGGGCUCACAACUCUUUGUGAUUCGAACAACACAUUGUUCUUAUACGAACUCCUCCCAAGAGUCCCGAUUAGAGUAAAACUCAUUUUACUUAAUCGCCGAUCAAAUCGGUGCCCAACGAAUCAAGAUUGGCGUCUAGCAACACGCAUCCACUACAAAAAAUAACGUUUUAUGUGACGAAAAAAAAUGUCACAACAACACAAAAUAUCGUCACAUAAAAGUUCUGGUGACGAACGAUUUCGUCACAGCGGUCGUCGCGUAGGCCCUGUCGCGAAAGGUAUAAUGCGACAAAAUUAUAGUUUCGUCACAUUACCUAGCGACAAAAAUUCAUUCGUCACAAGAAAUUUUAUUGUCGCGACGAAUUAUUCGUCGCCUAACCACAAUAUUUUCGUCACAAAAGAUGAAAAUCGUCACAAGAAAGAUUUUUUCACUUACUUCUUGUGACGAAUUAAUUUGUCUCAUUAAUUACAAAAGCUAUUAUGACAACAAUUUCGUCCCAAAAGGUUAUAAUAUUCUGUCAUAUUAUUAAAUAUAAUACAUACUGUUUUUCAGAUUAUUUAAUCAUAACAAUAUAAAAUUACCAAACUAAUAUACAAAAUUAAUAGAAUUCAAUUUCAUUGAACUACAAAAUGGAUUCUUAAACUCAAAACUAAUAUUAUAUAUCAUUUUCGAGUUUACGUUUCAAAAACUACAAAUAAUGAAUAAACUGAAUCGAACAUUGAACUGCGUAACUAAUUCAAGAUAAUAUCAAAAAGUAUGUUGAAUUUGCCCAUAGAACAAAAAACUAUCUAUACAAGAACUAACUUCACCAUCAACCUUCAGAAUACAUUAUCGACCAAUAACUUCAUUCUUCAAAAACUUGAAAAACGGGUACAACUUCAUUCUGCAUAAACAAUACAUAUAAAAUAUUAAAUUCAAUGUGAAAGGUAUACUCAAACUAACUUGAAGAAGCUAUAAAAUUAAAGACAUUUAGACGUUAACUGGAUAUCAAAUUUUUAACUAAAAAGAGAAGAAGAACAAACACUUUGUUAAGGUGAAACUGACCAAAACAUGGUCAAUAGAUCAUACAAAAAUUGUCAAAGAUGCAAAGAGAUGAAGAACUCAAUUGCCAUAAAAGCCCAGAGAAAGUCCUCUCAGGAUCAUAAGUUAGAACAUAUAAAUAAACACGAGUUAAUAUAAAAUACGUAAAACACUUUUGAAAAAGGCAGCAAGUCCAUAAAAAGGACUGUUGAGUUUGUACAUGAACAAAAUUAAACUAGAAACCCCUUGCAUCUAAAAAGUUCCAACACAACGUUGAAAUCCCAUUUUAUAAGAAUCGCCUCCUAACGUCCAUACAAAAAUUCGAUAACAUAUGAGGCAGCUUGCUAAUCUAUGUAUUCAUUUCAAUUUUCAACAUGCAACUACAAUUCAAACUAAGAGUUUUAUUUAAUUUGCAGCAUUGAAGAAAGGCAGGUUUACAUAACUCAUUUUAUUUUGCUGUAAAAAUUAUUACUGAGUGUUAUAAUCGUAAAAAUGAGAAAUAUAUACCUCUUCUGGCAUUUCAAGAUAGGUUGGCUUCAAUUCUGUAAUUUUAGAAGGUCAAGAAAGUAAAGAGAAAUCUUUUAGUGGCUUUUUCAUCCUCCCAUUCAGUGUCGUUCCAGAUUAAACCUUGAGCUUUGAGAUGAUAUCAAUUUGCUUUUAAUGGCACUUGCACUUCUUAACUGAAAGCAGGAAAUCCGAGAUACAUGCUCAUAGACAGAUUGUGUAUAAAUAAUUCGUGUUCAAUUUUAAUUAUUAAUAGUCUAUCAUAUAAUGAAUUAUUUGAGUUUUUGUCCGUUAUAAUGUAGUAAUCUACGACAUUCAUCAACAAUUCAAUUCUCUCCCAACUUCCCUUUCUUUACAUGAGCAACAAAUCUUAAACUUAGUGUCAUUUAUCAAAUUACCUGCAAUAUAUGUAUAAUUUAGAAAGUGGUAGAACCUACUUUGUAGCAUUCCUCCGAACCACUAGAUUGAGGCCUCAAACCUGAAAAUUGAGACACAAUUCUUGUAUUACGAUUAGCUACAAACUCGCAAUCAUAGGCAUCCUAAGUAACCUAAAGCAACUCAAAUUCAAUGAUAAACCAUCAUAAAGAACACAACAUUUGUCAAGUGACCAACAAAUAGUAACACUACAAGCCGAAUUAAUAUGAUAUGUGUAUAUCAAGUGCAAUAAUACCUCGACAUUUUCAAAUGACAUAAAAAUCAGAUGUAUGUACUGUAAAUCUGCAAUGUCCUCACAACCUGAAAUAAUUAUAUCAAUGUAUUUCUUUUCGACCUAGACCUGGACCAGAACUAGGUUCAUCCCUCUGCAAAUUAAAAACAAGCAAAUUGCACAAUUAUGAAAAGAGUACGGAUAAGAAAUUAGGAGAAGAACAUACUCGGAAGAUCCAACAUGACUGGUCGAUGAUACACUCGUUGCUCCAUUUGAAUUUGGUGAAGUGGGGGCAAUAGCAAAAGCCGAUCCACCAAAACCGUUUUGGAGACCAACAACCACUGAAAGAGCAGUCACUGUGGCUGAAUGAGAAUACGGCAUACCACCAGAUCCAACCAGCUGCUCAGAUCCCAACGGUUUUCCUUAUACUACACAAAGUACUCGAAUAUCAAGAAAAUAUUAAAUCACAGUUUCAAACUUCAAGGAUGUCAAAAUUCAGAGUUCUCUAGCCUAUUCAGCAUUUACUUGUAUAUUUUACUAGUUUACCCGUUCUUAGCUAAGCAACAUAAACCAAAAUUCAACAACAAAAUAUCAAUUAAUUAAUAAAUAAAUGGGAAACAACGUCCAGUAAAAUGAUCGAACACCUAGUGUGCGACAUUGAUAUAAAUUUGUAAUACACAAUUUCAUAAAACAUAAUUGAAUUCCAAACAUCAGAAAACCUUUACAUAGAAUAAUAUAAACCUUUACUUUAAUUUUGAGAAUUAUAAUUUGGCCAUUUUCUACAAAGCCCUAAUAUUCUAUUCAAGAGGAGAGGGAAAUCGACAAACAUGGAGGGAGCGAGAAAGAGAAGUUAGAUACCAUACCAAAAUCGAACAAGAUCAUGGUGGUGGCAGAGGCGUGAGAGAGGGCUGACAUUGCGGCGAUUCCGUACCUGAAAACCCAACUUAAUUCCGAACAUCAAAAAACCUUCACAUUAAAUCAUAUAACGGUUUAAUUUAAUUUUGAGAUGAAGAAACUAAUUUUGGACCUUUUCAACAAAAGCCCUAUCAUUCGAUUGAAGGAAGGGAGAGGGAAAUCGACAAAGAUAGAGAGAGGGAGAGAAGGGGAGAAGGGGAGAGAGAGAAGUUAGAUACCGUACCAGAAUCGAAACAAGGGAAUGGUGGUGGCGGAGGCGCGACGGAAGGUUGAUGGUGUGGCGAUUCACACGAGAACAGAAGAUGGAAGAUGGUGGAAAGAGAAGGGAAAAUAGAAGAAAAUGAGAGUGAAGUAGAAAACAGUCGUUGAGGCUGAAAAAUGGGGGAUAUUAGAACUGAAAUAAAAUGUAUAGAUGCCUCUUUUCUGGUGACGAAAUUAAUUUUGUCAAGAAAAAAACAAGAUGUUGUCGCAAAAUAGGGCAUGUCAAUGGUCAAAACAACCUCAACUAUUUGUAGUGACGUUUUUUUAUUCUUGUCGCAUAAAAUAGACUUUAUGUGACGAAAUUAACUUUCGUCACAUCAAAUUUUCAUUUAUGUGACAAAAUUGAGUUUCGUCGUAAGAUUCUCAUGCAAAUGUGACGAAAUUAUUUUUCGUCACAAGAAAUUGUCACAUAAAACACUUUUUUUUGUAGUGAUCAUGAUUCCCUAGAUACAAGUGAAGUGCCUGCAAGAACCUUAUGAUAUAGUUAGCGUACAGUACGAUCCCUUCGCAACACAUGUCCCGAUUGAACUAGAGGCAUUGGUUCACCGAGACCUCUUAUAAAGUUCAAUAAUCGUGCGAACGUUCUAGGUAUUAUAAAUCCGUUCGUGUGUGACUUAGGGAAACACAUUUCCCUAAUCACCCCACUAUCAACUCUGGCCAGAGAUUCCUUGGAUUAUAAACCGUCAGAACACACAGGACAUCCAUGACUACUCAAGCGCUCGAAUCCCCUACUACAAUGCACAUACUUCACACUAGAUUUCGGAUUGCACGAACUUUGGCCCUUGGAGUGGUCCGCUGUGGGACUCAGGGACAGGUCACGAUACAAUCGGUCCUCUAGUGAAGUCACGGUGAUGUCUGGGUCUUAAUGACUAAUCGUGUACAACUAUAUCUUAGAAACCUAUUACUCGAUGAAUGAGAACCACUUAUAGAUUUCUAGGGCGAGGGAGUUCAGUGAACUCAUCUAGUAUGAGCACCCACUCAAGUAUGCCGAUGUCACAACAUCGAGGACUGAUGAGAUGCAGUACACAUACACUAAGUGCUAGUCUCAAAAGGGAAAGGCCGGUAUCCUCAUUAUUGGCGUAACCCAUCGACUAGGAACAAGGUUUAACAGUUACAUUACAUUGCUGAGUUAUCUCACGAUUCUACUAGAUCAACUCACAGUAAUAGAGUAACUCGUUAGGACUAUAUCUAUGCUGCUUGCAUGGGAUAAGAGAUAUAGAAUGCCAAAUGAAAUAUUUUAUUAUUACGAACGAAAAACGAUUGUUUUAUUACAAGGAAAAAGAGAAAGACCACAGCCACAAGUUGGCUUGUUGGUCACCUACUCUAACAGCGCGGAGCAGCGGAACAGCCGGUGCGGAGCACGGCAGAGCAGCGGAGCACCACGGAGCACGGCGGAGCGGCAGAGCAGUGGAGAAGGCGGAGCGACGGAGAAGGCGGAGAUGCGGAGAAGGCGGAGCGGCGGAGAAGGCGGGGAAGCGGAGAAGCGACGGUGGAAGGUGAGAGAGAAGAGAACAAGAAUUUUGAGAGAGAGAGGAGAAACGUGGGAGGAGGGAGAGAGAAAAGAAAACGACUGUAAGAAGGGAGAGAGAAAUUAAGGAGAGUUGGUGAAAUUUAGGGUUUUAAAUUGUAACCAAAAUGACAAAACUGGUAUUUCAAUUUGUCUAGGGGGUCUAUCAAAUUAAGAUUAGAAUUUGAGUUUUUGACUAGCAAAGAAAAAUCUUUAGAAUCUUUCCCUAUAUAUUUUCAAAACUAGGGGUUAUCCCUCAUUUCCCCUUUUUAUAAAUAGUAUACACAUGAAAAAUAUAAAAACACAAAAGCUUCGGAGUUAAAAAGAUCAUUUUCGAAUGUUAGAAACUUUGAAAAGAUUUGGAGAGUAAUUGGUGAAAGUGCUAAAGAAGUUUAAAUAUAUUAAAGUUGUGAACCAAUGUCUGCAUUUAAUUAACAAAUUGCCCUAUCAAUCUAACCCCUGUAUUUUUUGCAAUCCAAAAAAUACCCUCAUGUUUAUAAAUUUAGAAAAAAGUUCAAAAAAUACCCACAUUGGUAUAAAUUUAGAAGCUCGACUAGUUGAACGACAAGUCAUUAUCGUUAAAUUAUUACAUUUUACUUUAUAUAUCACAUAUAUUAUAUGAUAAUAUUUUAUUUUGUUUUAAAAUCAAGGUGUGCAGUUGCACACCCUAAUCUAGGGGUGUGAAUAAUCGGAGCCAGCCAAAAUUUCCAGGCUCAAGCUCAUGCCUAGUUUAGCUUUAUUUUCCAAGCUCUAGUGGAUUCAUCGAGCUCCAGCUCAAAAUACUCAAGCUUGAGUUUGAUCUUUUAUCGAGUCAGUUCAUCAAGUUCACGAGCCAGCUCAGCUCAUUUACCACCUCUGCCUUAGACCAUAGCUAGAUCUGCGACUGACUAUAUUGAUUGAAUAUAAGUAUGGUCACAUAUUAGAUAUUUGUUUAAUUGAGGUGUAUGUGAAUAAAUAAUGCCAACUUGCACUGGUAUAAUCAAUAUAUUCAUAUUUGCUCUGCCAAUUAUCAUCUGCCCCAAAAAAAAGGAUUCAUUGAGAAGUCAGCCCACAUUUACACCCUGUUGGGUGCUAAAUACCAACACGCAAGUGCACGUAUCGCAAACAAGUAAUAAAGUGGACUCGUGAGAGUCGGAUGUCGAUCCCACAGGGAAUACGCAAAUUACCUAAUCCUAAGUACCAAAUUCUAACAAUUAUGAUUUUUAUCCAGCCUACGCAAGUUUGUCAAAUUAAAUCAAUUAAACAACUAAACUAAUUAAGAAGGCAAAUAACACGGGAAAAUAUCAAUAUAAAACGGACCUAGGAUUAUAUCUUCCCCCUAUGCAAGAAUUGCUCAACCAAAUCCCUUCAAUUAUGAAAUAUAUGAUUCAUGAUUAUUAACCCGAGACACUAAUUUACUCAUAACCCGCUGUCGCGUGUAUUAUGAGUCUAUUAUUCAUAAACGAUUCACUAUAUGUCUAUGCAAACCAAUUAUAAAUAAAGCAUUAACUAACAAGUCUCGUAAAUGGCUACCUAAGGUGAUAUCUGUAUGUCUACGACACCACAUGCAAUUGACACACUCAUCCGGUGAAAACUACUCGAAGGCUCUUCUACUUACCGUCUAAUUAUCAAAAUAGCUCUGUCGAGUCAACCCCAAUAAUCACAGAUAAAGCACAUAAAUUGAUCAAGUUCAUGCACUAACAAUCAUAACAAGUAGAAGAAAUAAUCAUAAAAUCAUAAUUGCAUAAUCUCAAGAAAAAGGGUUCGCAAUCCCUACAUAGGGUUCCAACAAAAUCCUAGAUUAAAAACUUAGCUACGCAUGUUCGUUACGAAAAACAUAAUAAAAAUACGAAAAAUCAUAAAACUAUAAAUAACAAUAAAAGAGGAGAACUAUGAUGAAGAUUCGUCAAGUCUUCGUCUUCGUUCUUGUGCUCCUUGAUUGCGUGUAGAAAGAUGAAAGAUAAAAACUAAAAAUAAAGAUAAAAGGUAGAAAGAUCCAAGAUAAUCCUAAUUGUGUGCUUGUGGCCUUUAAAUAGGGUGCAAAAAUAUAAUAGGGCGGGUUUCCUUGUGUAAUUAAAAUUCCUUCACUGCGCCAUCACGACCAUCCGGACGGCCGUGUGAGAUUUAUGCCUAAAAUCCGCACGGCCGCGCGGUCCUUGAUACUCCAGAAUUCUGCUUUUUCACUUUUGGCCCACUUUUUCUCCGAAUUUGCAGUUUUCACCCCAAAAGUUGCCAAUUCUUCAAUUUGCACCUAAAAUACAAAUAAUAACCAAAUUAAGCACCAAUUAUCGUAAAAACACAUCAAAAGCUCCAAUUAAAAGGUACAAUUAAAUGUAUAAAUAUACACUUAACACACCCCCACCGCACUCUGUGCACACUGCAUCACUGCUCUAGUUGACCUUUUCGAGGCCCCCUCCAAAACUACAAACACCCAAACUCUCUCUCUCUCUCUCUCUCUAUCUAUAUAACAAAAUCCCCACCAAAAGAAAAGAAGAGAGAGAAAGAGCUGUUAACACCAACAAGGGAUCGAUAUGGAUAGGUCGUCGAGCAUCAACAAGAAAACCGACGGGGACGAAACCCAUCGGAACGAAGAACAACGUGUAAACACCAACAACAACGACGACGACGAUGAUGUCAAAGGUGCAUCGACAGAGAAGACGUUCGAGGGUACGGAGGUGCCGACGUGGCAGAAGCAGCUGACAGUGAGGGCGUUUGUAGUGAGCUUUGUAUUGGGAAUUCUAUUCACAUUCAUAGUUAUGAAGCUGAAUCUCACCACCGGUAUUAUCCCUUCCCUCAAUGUUUCCGCCGGUCUUUUGGGUUUCUUCUUCGUCAAGACUUGGACAAAAUUUCUCGAAAAAUCGGGGCUUUUGAAACAGCCUUUUACAAGGCAAGAGAACACUGUUAUUCAGACCUGUGUUGUUGCCACCUCCGGCAUCGCCUUCAGCGGUCAGUUACCCCUCUCUCUCUCUCUAGGUUAUAAUAUAGGCAAAUUAGCAAGAUUAAUGUUACUGAUCUGAAUCAGGACGGAGCAGGGUUUGCAAGGUCUAUAGUUUAAACAUUAAUUCCUAUUAAAGUUCGAUAAUUCUUUAUAUUUACUAGGGAUUAAAGAGGCUUUGUAGUAGGCCAACCAUUUCUCUGUAAAGACACUUUCUUUUUGGAUACAAAAAUAUGAUCAUCUUUUAACCACGAUUCCAAAAGUAAGCAUGCUAGGUAGCGUUUGCGGUGGGGUACGGUGUAACAACGGCGAGUCCAGGUAUUUGUUAUAGGGAGGGCUUAGAUUUUCGAGCGUUUGAAUUUAUUUUGAGUAAUUUUUUUUGUGACAAAAUAAAAAAAUAGGAAAAUAGAAGAAGAAAAGAAACAAAAUUUAGAUGUCUUUUUUGCAUUAAUUUGGAUUUUUUGUGGACUAAUUAAUAAAAAUUAGGAUAUAUUUGCAUUAGUUUGGAUUCUGAAUUGGGAUUUUUAUGCAAAAGUCCCCAACCAAGCAUGUUUAUUAUUCUAGGUAUAGGGGACAUAUCUCUUUCACCAAUAAGCCCAUCCCUUUAAUAUUUAUUAUAACUAAAGGAAACAUUCAUGUAUAUCCCAAUAUUACCCUCAAUCAUUUAUACCCAAUUCUUAAUUGUAAUCCAAAUUAAUCAAUUUUGUCCAUAAAAGUUCAAUUUUGACCACAAAAAUUCAAUUUUGACUUUUUUUUGGAGUAUAAUUUAAUAUGCUCCAAUUUCAUCCUUAACUUAAUUUAAUCUCAAUUUGACCCCAAAUUUCACAAAUUAUUAAAUUUUGACCCAAAAUUUUUUUUUUUUCAAAAAAUUUUUUUUUUUCAAAAACUUUUUUUUGCCGCCGGAUUCCGGCGUUGACUUUUUAAACUUCUUUUUUUUUUUUUUUUUUUUUUUUUUCUUCCGGAUUUUUUUUCCGGAUUCCGGCAUUGACCGGCGGUCAACGCCGGUCUCCGGCGUUGACUUUUUUUUUUUUUUUUUUUUUCUUUUUUUUUUCUUUUCUUUUCUUCCGGAUUUUUUCGCCGGUUUCCGGCGGUCUCUUUCUUUAGUGUUUUUUUAAGUUUUUUUUUUUUUUGUUUGGUUUGUUUUGUUUUUCCACGCCCGCCGCUACACGUUGACCGUAAUUGUGCUGUCACUGACAGUAAUUUAGCGUAAUUAUACUGUCAAUGAUAGUUAAUUAACGUAAUUGUACUGCCGUUGACAUUACAUUUAUGUAAUUGUGCUGCCGUUGACAGUAAAUUAAUGCAAUAUUAUAUUUUUUUAUUUAUUAUUAUUUUUUUUUAUUUUUUUUGAUUUGUUGACAAGUCAACGUAAUUAUAUUACUGUCGUUGACAGUAAAAUAACUGUAAACACAAUAAUAUUACUGUCAACAACAUCAAUAUUAUUAUUUUUUUGGGGUGUUUGUUUUGUUCGAGUUAUUCACGAAGUAACGUAAUAAUAUUACUGUCUACUAUUGUAAUAUUACUGUUGCUAUAGUAAUAUUACUGUCACUCACAGUAAUAUUAAUUCUUUUGGUUUUUUUUAUUUUGUUUACAUUUGUUGAACGGACAACAUAGUAAUAUUACUUUAUUAUACAAUAAUAAUGAUUUUUGUUGUGUUAAUAUUAAUGUGCUAGAGAUUAAUAUAGCAAUAUCAAUGUGUUAAACUAUAGUUUAGUUAAUUUUACUGUGUUUAACAGUAAUAUAGUUAAUAUUACUGUCAUUCACAGCAAUAUUGCUGUUUAAACGGAAAAAAAAGUUACAGGAAAAAAAAAAAAAAAAAAAAAAAAAAAAAAUUAAAAAGUCAACGCCGGAAACCGGCGUUGACCGCCGGAAUCCGGAAGAAAAAAAAAAAAUAAAAAUAAAAAAAAAAAAAAAUUAAAAAGUCCACCCCGGAAACCGGCGUUGACCGCCGGUCAACGCCGGAAUCCGGGAAAAAAAAUCCGGAAGGAAAAAAAAAAAAAAAAAAAAAAAAAAAAAAAUUAAAAAGUCAACGCCGGAGACCGGCGUUGACCGCCGGUCAACGCCGGAGACCGGCGUUGACCGCCGGUCAACGCCGGAAUCCGGCGGGAAAAAAAAGUUUUUGAAAAAAAAAAAAUUUGUGAAAAAAAAAAAGUUUUGGGUCAAAAUUGAAUAAUUUGUGAAAGUUGGGGUCAAAUUGAAGUUAAAGUAAGUUAAGGAUGAAAUUGGAGCAUAUAAAAGUAAGAGGGGUUAUUUUAGUCCUUUACAUAAAUCUGGACCAUGUGUGGACUUAUUGGUAAAGGAGAAUAUUGUCUGGAUCUCUUUAUGAAUAAGUUCCCACUGAUGGGCUUAUUUGUAAUAUGCCCUUCUGAAUUAGCUAAUUAAUAAAAUUUAGAUGGACUAAAUAUAUAUAUAUAUAUAUAUAUAUAUAUAUAUAUAUAUAUAUAUAUAUAAAAUAAUUUAGGCGAUAAAUUAUGGAUUGAGUGUGGCCUCGCCUUUCUGGUGGGACCAAGAAUUUGGAUCACAAGCAAGAUUGUUUCUUUUCUUAAUGUGUAAAUAUUAAAUAUUAAAUACAAUACGUUGUCUUUAUCGCUGUCAUAGUCAAAGGGACCGCUUACAACUUGCAAGUCAAUUGUUGUCUAGUUUGUUUUAACUCUCUCAAAUUUGGACUUGUAAGAUUAUGAUUUCAUACAUACAUGUAUUCUUUGUCUAAAUAUUAUACUAGGUUGGCUGAUGUCAUCAGUCAUGUGAUUGCUUCUUGGGAUUAUUUAAUAAUAUUGAUGGAAGUUGGCCGGCAGCAGCCGGAUUUCUGGAAUUUGUUUAUGGGAUCAUUGGAUUCCUUCCCCAUCACAUUCCACCUUUAUUUCAUGCCCCGGAUUUAUCGCUAUCAUUUGAUGUGUUAGCUAUUCUAUUAUUGACUCCAAUUCGUCAAAUUAAAUGCUUAUUUGGGUAGUUUUUCAACUGUAAAUUAAACACAAUCACACACUUAUAAUUUUCCCUUAUACAUGUUGAUUGAACAAACAUUUGGUAUGUUAGUACAAAAAUAAAAUUAAAACUCAACACAUUCUACCCUCAUAUCAAUAAAUGAAUAUAGGGCAAAUUCCGGCCACUCCUGAGGUAUGACCAAAUUACGAAAAACUCCCUCUUGUUUGGGUAAUUACAGCCACCCCUCUCCUUUUAAAUAUUUUUACACAAAAUUUAUGUAAUUCGUUUUCUUACCGAACCAAAUCGUAUAUUCAGUUCGGUAAACGGUAUGUAAUGUUGGUGUACCGAAAUUUCGGUUCCGUUUUACCGAUUUAACAUUCCUAAAUUUACAUCUUGAGGGGUAUUUUCGUAAGAUAAUAUACAUAGUUGACUGGGUGACUGUAAUUACCCAAAUAUGAGGGGUGUUUUUCGAAAUUUGACCAUAAUUUAGGGGUGACCGUAAUUUGCCCAAUGAAUAUAUAUAUAUAUAUAUAUAUAUAUAUAUAUAUAUAUAUAUAUAUAUAUAUAUAUAUAUAUAUAUAUAUACAAAACUCUAACAUAAGUUGAAUCUUUUUUGGCAAAACUCUAACAAUCUUUUUGGUAUGAGUGAAAUAAUUGCAAAACAAACAACCGAAGCUAACAACUCUCAAAAUAUUAAGAACCCAUCGCUUUCGUGGAUGAUCGGUUUCCUCUUUGUCGUCAGCUUCUUAGGCCUCUUUUCUGUCGUCCCUCUUCGUAAGGUACAUUUUUCGUUUUCAUACUCAACAACAAUAUGCGUACGUAGUCAUCGUAUAUUUGCAACUGAUUUUUUUCUUUACCGAUACUUAUUUAAAUUGUUCUUCAGAUAAUGAUAAUAGAUUUCAAACUGAUAUAUCCGAGUGGCACAGCUACUGCGCAUCUAAUCAAUAGCUUCCAUACUCCUCGCGGAGCCAAGCUAGCAAAGUAAGUCACAAAAUAAUCACUAUACCUUAUUAUUAUUAUGUCGAAAAGUAUUUCAUAAUGGAAUAUAUAUAUACAAUCGCAUUGCCAGGAAACAAGUGAGAGCAUUGGGGAAAUUCUUCUCCUUCAGCUUUCUGUGGGGUUUCUUCCAAUGGUUUUUCACUUCAGGCGACGGAUGCGGAUUUGUCAACUUCCCUACUUUUGGUCUUAAAGCAUACGACAACAGGUAAUAUAAGUAACCCAUAUAUCAAUUUCCCCACAUAAAUACAUGCACGUGAUUUUCUCACUAAUUUCUUCUCUGUUUAUGAUUGAAAAAAAAAACAGGUUUUACUUUGAUUUCUCGGCAACGUACGUGGGAGUAGGCAUGAUAUGCCCCUACCUUAUCAACGUAUCGUUGCUAAUCGGAGCUAUCCUUUCAUGGGGUAUAAUGUGGCCACUCAUAUGGAACAGAAAAGGCGAUUGGUUCUCCGCCGAGUAUAAAUCGAGCAGCCUCCACAGCUUGCAAGGUUACAGAGUCUUCAUAGCUAUAGCAAUGAUCCUAGGCGACGGCCUUUACAACUUCAUCAAAGUCCUCGGCCGCACCAUGUACGGAUUGUACAACCAAUUCCAAGAAAAAAAAGCGAAACUCGUUCUCCCCGUAGAUAACCACUCGACAUCUCCCUCAAAUACCCCCGCUCUAUCGUACGACGAUCAAAUAAGAACCCGACUUUUCCUCAAGGACCAAAUCCCAACAUGGAUCGCAAUCACCGGCUACUUAACCAUAGCGGCAAUCUCCACCGCAACUCUACCGCACAUUUUCCCACCGCUCAAGUGGUACUACAUUAUAGUCAUAUACAUAUUCGCACCCGCUCUAGCCUUCUGCAAUGCUUACGGUUGCGGUCUCACCGAUUGGUCGUUGGCUUCCACUUACGGGAAAUUAGCCAUAUUCGUGAUCGGCGCGUGGGCCGGUGCGUCCCACGGCGGGGUACUCGCGGGGCUUGCGGCGUGCGGUGUCAUGAUGAAUAUAGUCUCCACUGCCUCCGACCUAACACAAGACUUCAAGACCGGGUACAUGACGCUAGCCUCACCAAGGUCAAUGUUCAUUAGCCAGAUAAUCGGAACCGCUAUGGGUUGCGUUAUUUCGCCGUGCGUGUUUUGGCUAUUAUACAAAGCAUUCCAUGAUAUAGGGAUAGAGGGCUCGAAGUAUCCCGCACCGUAUGCUAGCGUGUACCGGAAUAUGGCAAUUUUGGGGGUGGAGGGGGUUUCUGCUUUGCCGAAGAAUUGUCUGACGCUUUGCUACGUGUUCUUUAUCGGGGCCGUUGCUAUAAACGGGAUUAGAGAUGCGGUUGGGAAGAAGUGGUCGAGAUUUAUUCCUCUUCCGAUGGCGAUGGCGAUCCCUUUCUAUAUUGGAGGGUAUUUUACUAUUGAUAUGUGUGUUGGGAGUUUGAUACUAUUUGUGUGGGAGAAGAUUGACAAGGCGAAGGCGGAUGCGUUUGGACCUGCGGUAGCUUCGGGAUUGAUAUGCGGAGAUGGGAUAUGGACGUUGCCUAGUUCUAUAUUAGCUUUGCUUGGUGUGAAUCCACCCAUUUGCAUGAAGUUUCUUUCCGGAAAGGCUAAUGCAAGGGUUGAUGCUUUCUUAGCUGGUUGAUACAUAAACUUGUGUUUUUUUUUUCUCUUUCUUUUACACGUUUCCUUGUAUCAGAUAUUUCAUAGAUAAUUUCAUGGACAGAGUAACAUUGUCCAUGUAAAUAUGUUUCAUCAAUGUUUGCUAUUGCAGUAACGUUGUCCAUAUCAUAUUGUACUAUUGUACUGUCGAUGGUUUUAUGAUGGUGUUGGGAAGAAUUUUCUUAUAAUAAAUUGAUACUUGAUAAUUGCGAUAGAUACAAUAAUAUAAAUUCCAAUCUUUUUUAGUUUUUCCCCAAAAACAUUAGUUUAUAAAUUUAUUGAUACUAGGAAGAUGCAUGUGUGUUGCAUCUAUUUUAUUAAUUUUUUGAUGUGUUUCAUUUUGGUUAAACCCUUUUAAUAAAUAUAUAAAUAUAAAAUAUUUAAAUAUUAAAAAUUAUAUUUUAAAUGAAGAAGGUGGAAUUGGUUUAAAAGUUACAAAAAAGAAGCUACUUUAAAAAGUAGUCAAUAAAAAAGGGUUAAAUACAAAAACACCCAUGUACUAUGGACUUUGUAUCAAAUAACCCAUGUACUACACAUAAAUACAAAAACUCCCUUACAGUUACAUUUUUUCCAAAAUCGGACGAAAAUACCCCUGCUAAAGCCUAUAAAUAUAAGGGUUUGUUUGAGCCAUUUUUCCACUAUUUUUUUAAACAUUUUCGGUCAAUUUUACUUGGGAAAUUUUGGUAUUUUUUUUUUCUACAAAACAUAUAAUUACUUAUAUAUUUUUUUUCUGAAUAUAACCUUUUAUUUUUGUCAUUUUGAGUUUCUUCAUUUUUUUUUCUCUUAAAUGUCUUUCGAUAGUUCAAAUUCUCAACAAUCAUAGGAUUGUAAAGAUGUUUGUAAUCUUAGAAUGUUUGAACUACCGGAAGACAUUUAAGAAAAAAAAAAUGAAGAAACUCAAAAUGACAAAAAUAAAAGGUUUUAUUCAGAAAAUUUAAAAAAUCUAAGCAAUUAGAUGUUUUGGAGAAAAAAAAUAUAAAUACCAAAAUUUCCCAAGCAAAAUUAACUGAAAAUGGUAAAAAAUAUAUAGUGCAAAAUGGCUCAAACAAACCCUUAUAUAUAUAUAUAUAUUCUUAAAACUCCAUCAAUCUCAUAAUCAUUUAUCUAUCAUUAUAGUCCCUUUUGUGAUAGUCAAUUAAGAAUUCUUCAUUUAACAAAACAGAGAUCUAGGGGCGGUAUAAAAUAACACACGGUUUUCGACGGGAGUACUGAAUAACUUGAAAUGUAAUAUGCCUAACCUUUUUUGUAAAUUCUCGUGCAUUGUUUGAGUCAAAUUACUUGUAUUAGUAAUAUUACUGUUUGGGCAUUCAAUAUUGCUGUCUCAAACAAUAAUUUUGUUGUUAACAUAGUAAUUUAAAGAGAAAGACAUUUCAACAAAAAAAAAAGUCAACGCCAGAGACCGGCUGGAAAAAAAAUUCAGAAAAAUAAAGUUUUCAAAAAAAAAAGAAAGUCAAUGACGGAGAACCGCGGUCAAUGCCGGAAUCUGGCCGGAAAAAAAAAAUUGAGAAAAAAAAAAUUCUUUAAGAAAAAAUAUUUUUUCAAAAAAUUAUGAAAAUGUGGGUUAAUGUGAUACAUUUGUUCAAAUCCGGGGUCAAUGUGCAAUAUUGAUGAAAUUAGAGUAUAAUAGAUAAAAUUGAUGGAAAUUAUAUUAUAAAAUGUAUUUUACACAAAAGACAUGGGAAUGAGUUUAUUUGCGAUGCUACUUUUUGUUUGGAACUAUGUGCAUUUAAGUUCCUUGUCAUAAGCAUAUUUGCCAUUUGCUGUGAAAACAAAGAAGAUAAAAUAGCUUUGACAUGAAGGUGUAAAGACUAAAAUGUAAUGGUCAUCCUUUAUCUACUAAUUAUCUCACUCUAUUGAAACCUAAUUUUGUAUUAGAUGAGGACACCCAUAUUUUCUCAAUUUGGUGACAGUCCUUCAAUAUUUACAUUACAAAAAUAACCCACGUUUAACAUUCAUAUUUCAAACCUCGCUUGGGAGAAAUUCCUACCAUUGAAUUACCAAGGGGUCUUUACAAAUAAGCCCAUCAAUGGGUACUUAUUCAUAAAGAGAUCCAGACAAUAAACAUAAUUACAAAUAAGUCCACACAUGGUCCAGACUUUUGUAAAAGAUUAAAAUAGCACAUCAUACUUUAAUAUGCUCCAAUUUCAUCAUUUAAUUUAAUUUAACCUCAAUUUGACCCAAAAUUAUUCAAUUUUGACCCAAAACACAUUUUUAUGGACAAAUUCGUCCGUCACAGCCGUUGACAUUUUUUUUUCUUCCGGAUUUUUUCGCCGGUUUCCGGCGUUGACUUUUUUUUUUUUCGCCGCCGGAUUCCGACUUUGACUUUUUCGAUUUUUUUUUCUUUCUUUCUUUCUCUCUUUCUGUAACAUCUUUUUUUUUUCGUUUAAACAGCAAUAUUGUUGUGAUUGACAAUAAUAUUAACUAUAUUACUGUUAAACACAGUAAAAUCAGUUUAACACAGUAAUAUUGCUAUAUAAAUCUCUAGUACAGUAAUAUUAACACAACAAAACUCAUUAUUAUUGUGUAAUAGAGUAAUAUUACUAUGUUGACCGUUCAACAAAUGUAAACAUAAUAAAAAGCCAAAAAAAAUAAUAUUAUUGUACAGUAAUAUAACUAUAACAACAAUAAUAUUACCGUCAACCACAAUAAUACUACAAUAAUAUUACAUGUGUGUGACAGUAAUAUUACUAUAACAAUAUUACAAUAAUAGACAGUAAUAUUAUCACGUUACUCCGUGAAUAACUCAAACAAACAAAAAAACCCGAACAAAAUAUAAUACUGAUGUGGUUGACAACAAUAUUACUAUAAUAGUAAUAUUACCGUCAACCACAGUAAUAUUAUUGUGCUUACAAUAAUAUUACAAUAUAGACAGUAAUAUUAUUACGUUACUCCGUGAAUAACUCAAACAAAACAAAAAACCCAAAAAAAUAAUAAUAUUGAUGUGGUUGACAGUAAUAUUAUAUUGUUUACAGUUAUUUUACUGUCAACGACAGUAAUAUAAUUACGUUAACUUGUCAACAAAUCAAACAAAAUUAAAAAAAAUAACAAUAAAAAAAUAAUAAUAAUAUUACGUUAAUUUACUGUCAGUGACAACACAAUUACGGUCAACGUUUAGCGGUGGACGUAAAAAAAAAAAAAAAAAAAAAAAAAAAAAAAAGUCAACGCAGGAAUCCGGCGGCGGAAAAAAACAGACCAGAUAAAAAAAAAAUCGAAAAGUCAAGGCCGGAAUCGGGCGGCAAAAAAAAUUUAUUGAAAAAAAAAGUUUUUGAAAACAAAAAGUCAAAAUUGGAUUUUUGUGGUCAAAAUUGAUUAAAUUGAGGAUACACUUAAGAAUUGGGUAUAAAAAGUUGAGGGUAAUACUGUCAUAUACAUGAAUGUUUCCUUUAUUUAUAAUAAAUAUUAAAGGGAUGGGCUUAUUGGUGAAAGAGAUAUAGCCCAUAAACCUAGAAUAAUAAAAAUGUUUGGUUAGGGACCUAUGCACAAAAACCCCAAUUACCAAAAUAUCAUCUUCACGUCGAUUUCCCCAGAGUAUUCGAAUAGGGAAGGGGACGCAAAUUAUAAGUGUUUAUAUUUCCAAUAUUUUUAUUUUGAUUGAUUUAUUUAUUAGAGUUAUGUUUAGGGUAAGUAUAGGUAGACACGGCCAUGGGCCGGUUUUGGGCCCGGAACCGGCCCCAACCGGCCCGUUGACGAACCGGCCCGAACCGUUGACCGGUGAACCGGCCCGUCGUCUGCAGACGGGCCCGGUUCUAUGAAUUGGUGAACCGUGAACCGCUGGGCCGGCCCGGCGGUUCACCCGGAUUUUUUUUCUUUUAAAAAAAAAAUUAAAAAAAAAACCAAGUAACGGCUAGUGAACCGGCCGUUAUUUGUUUUGUUUUUUUGGUUCCCCCCCCCCCAAUUUUCCUAUAAAUACCCUCACCCCCCACCCAAUUUCUCACCAAUUCACUCACAAUUCUCUCUACUUCUUUAUUAUCAAAGUUUAGUAAAGUUCAAUAUCAAAUUAAGUUCAAGUCUUUUCAUUUAUUUCCUUUUCCUUUUUCUAUUUAAAAAUACUUCUUUUAAUUUAUUUAUUCAUCAAGUAUUUAAAAAAAAAAAAAAAUUCAAAUUUUCCGGGCUGACCCGGAACCGGCCCGGAUAGGCCCGAAACCGGAGUGAACCGGCGGGUCGACCCGGCCCGCCGAACCGUACAUAUUACGGGCCGGUUCCGGUUCCGGAAAAAGUGAACCGUGAACCGGCCCGAACCGGCCCAUGGCCGUGUCUAAGUAUAGGGUGAGAUUCCAGCAACACAAUUGAAUUUUUAAUAAUUUGUAUAUUGUCUAAAACACCCUUAUUACAAAUAUUUAAUAUUUAAAAACAUAAAUAAUAAAUAGUAUGCGAAAUGUCUUUUGUACCUUUUGUAUUUUUAUAAAUUUUAAAUCUAUUUAUUGCGGAAUUUGUAAAGUCAAUUAUAUCAUUAUUCGUAGGAAUCAUUAAACCACCAGUCCAAAAAUGGAUCCUAUAGCAUUUGGACUUGUAACCCCCUUCAAGCAUACAAGAAUACUUGGGAUACAACACAUUAUUCAAAUUUACCUAACAAUAAGUAUAUAUAUCACAAAGCUACAAUGUAUAAUGAUAAUAAAAUUUAUAUAAAUAAUGUUAAAUAAAUUACCAAUUCUCAUCUAAUUAUUAUUAUAUAUUAAAAAUAUCCAAUAUUAACAAAUCUAUAAAUAAUAAAUUUUAAAAAUCGAAGGCAAUGCGGAUCAACUCAUGUAAUUUAAAAAUGAAUUUCGAAAGAAUUUGAAGUUUAAAUUGAAUCGUAAUCGUAAGAUUUGAAUCAAUUAAGCUCAUGUGUUUUCAAUUCAAAAACAAUAUUCAAAUAUUUGAAACGAUUAAGCUCAAGCCAUUUCAAUUCGUAGACAAUAUUCAAAUAGUUGAAUCGGUUAAACUCAACAAUUUGCACUAACGUAUUAAUCGAAGUAACUAUAUAUGUAUAGUUAAAGUUUAGUAUCUUUUAUUUAUUUAUUGAAUUUUAUCAAAAAAAAUAAUAAAAUUGAAUUUGUAAAAAUCGUAAGAUUUAGUCGAUUCAAAUAUUAUGGUUAGAUUAAAUCUUACGAUUUACGAUUUGAUUCUUACAAUUUUUACGAAUUAAAUAUAUGUUUGUAUUUUGUUAAAAUUGAAUUAAAAGGAUAUUAGACUUUAAUUAUAAAUAGUUAACUCAAUUAAUACGUUCUUGUCAAUGGUUGAACUUAAUCGAUUCAAAUCUUUGAAAAAUAUUUACAAAUUGAACGGACUUAAGCUUAAUCGAUUCAAAUCUUACUAUCUAGUUCUUAGACUUAAAUAUUAUUUUUAUGAUAAAAUUGAAUUAAAAAUAUAUUAGACUUUUAAUUAUAAACAGUUAAUUCAAUUAACACGUUCUUGUCAAUUAUUAACCUUAAUUGAUUUAAAUCUUUGAUUAACUUUUACUAACCGAAAGGAUUUGAGCUUAAUCAAUUCAAAUCUUACUAUUUGAUUAAACUAAAUAUUAAAUGAAAAAUCACAAUACAAUAUUUUGAGUAUAUAGUUUUAUUUUAAAGUGUAAGAAAACUAGUUGCAAUGAGUUAUAAUCUAUUUUUUUCUAAAUAAACAUCUUAUUUUAUUUUUUAUUCGGAUUUGUAAUACUAUCAAUUUAAUUGAGUAUUAUUUAUAUUUUUUAAUAGUGGAGUUUAUUAAUAUUAUAUAAUUACUAAUAGAUGUUUGGGGAUGGUGAACCGCAAUUCCUUAUAUUUUUUAAAAAUUAUUACGUUAAUUUGUUAAUAAUUUAUUUUAACAUUAUUUAAUAAUAAUGAAUGUCGCAUUUAAUAUUAUAUUUAACAUUAUUUAAAUACUUAUAUUUAUUAUCACUUUAUAUUGGGGGCUAUUUGACAAAACCCCUCCAUACAAUUUUGACUUCUUAAUAAAUCUAUUUUUUUAAUUGAUAUUUGUUAUAAAUCCAAUUGACUCAAAUUAUCCAAAAUACCCCUAUUUACUAUUAGUCAAAGUUACCAUAUUAUAUUAUUAUGGAGAAUCAUUAAAAAAAAAUUAAAAUGGCAAUCCCUUAUUUCUCUCCACUAUCUCACCUAGGGAUGGCAACGGGUCGGUUCUGGGCCGGGUUUUGCUAAACCCAAGACCCGACCCACGAAANNNNNNNNNNNNNNNNNNNNNNNNNNNNNNNNNNNNNNNNNNNNNNNNNNNNNNNNNNNNNNNNNNNNNNNNNNNNNNNNNNNNNNNNNNNNNNNNNNNNAUAUAUAUAUAUAUAUAUAUAUAUAUAUAUAUAUAUAUAUACGGGUCGGUUCUGGGUCGGUUCCAAUUAGACCCGUAACCCGACCCAGAACCAUCCGGUUCUAGAAACUUAAACCCAUUACGCGACCCAGAACCAUUUAGCUGACCCAGAUCCGCCCCAAACGGGUCGGUUCCGGGUCCAAGACCCGCCAAACCCGUACCCAUUGCCAUCCCUAAUCUCACCCCACCCCCCAUAUUCUCUCCCUAUCUGCACGCAAUUUUAGUGUUUUUCCAUUUUUAUUUUUAUUUUUUUUAAUAGUUUUUUUUAUUUCAAAAUUAAAAACAAAACUUUGUUAUUUUUUUAUUUUUUAUUUUUUAUUUUUUAUUUUAUUUAAGUUUUUAAAUCGUGCAUAUUUAAUAUUUUAUAUAAAAAAAAAUCCACUACAUAAUAAUCGAAAACCACUAAAUUUAUCGAAAACUACUAUGAAAAUAAAGUAAAAAUUACUAUAAAAUAAGCAUAAUCCACAUUAAUAUUAAUGUAAUCCCACUAUUAAAUUAGUGUAACCCACUGUUAAAUUAGUGUAAUUCACUACAUGUUCAUCGAAAACCACUAUUAAAUUAGUGAAAUCCACAUAAAUUUUUUUCCACCCGGGUUACAAAAAUUAAAAUCCACUAUAUACUCAUCAGAAACUACUACAAAUUUAUCGAAAACCAUUGUAAAAUUACUAUAAAAAUCACUGUAAAAUAACGUAAUCCACUUUACAUUAACAUAAUCCACAACAAACUUAUCGAAAUCCACUAAAAACAUACGUAAUCCAAUAGUAACACAAAUAAAAAAAUAACAACGGAAAAAAACGUAAAUUCACUAUACAUAAAUCCACUAUUUAAAAAUCCGCUAUUUGAAACGUAAACCACUACUAUGUUCAGAAAAAAUGCAAGACCAGUACACCACCACCAACAAGGCCAUCUCUGUUUACGCCGGGACUCAAUCUCCCACCUACAGUAGAAAUUGUUAACACUUUUUUUUUUUGAUCGAAAAUUGUUAACACUUAAUUUAUGGAAUAUUCUUUUAAUUUCUUAAUUAUAUAUAUAUAUAUAUAUAUAUAUAUAUAUAUAUAUAUAUUAGUAAGUAUUAUUUUGUGGUUUUGAAAUCUGUAUAUGCAUAUAGUAUUACGUAAUUGUGUGGUAUUCAUUGGUAAGUAUGUUGUUCUGUGUAAUGGGUUUGGUUAAAUCUGGUUUUUUUGUGUAAGUAUUAUUUUGUGAAUUUGAAUAUGCAUAAAUGAUUUGUUUUGUGGUUUCGGGGAUAGGGAGAGAUGGACGAGGACGAUCACGUGCCGCCGGCGGAAGGGGACCGCAGCAGCCAACCGGCCGCGGCCAAAAACAACCAUCGCGUGGCGGCGGUCCAGGCCGUGGUCGAGGCCGCGGUAGCAGUGCUACGCCGGAGCACUCAAUUUCAGCUUCUGUGGCUCCGUUCGAGCAGUCUCCGAUGCCGCGGUAGCAGUGCUACGCCGGAGCACUCAAUUUCAGCUUCUGUGGCUCCGUUCGAGCAGUCUCAGAUGCCGCUCGCCGCAGCAUCACUUAGCCGCGAGAUGGAGCAGAAGCUCACGUUUCAGGCUUCGUCUUCGACCGUUGUUCCGGCGCCUCGCCCACAGGUUACGGCGAGAGAGGAAAGAGGGGUGGGGGCGGCGCCGGUGGAGAGAUAAGAAACAAAACGGAGGCUGAACGGAGAGAGGCGCAACGGUCAAUAGAAAAAAAAGGAGAAAUCAGAUCUAGAGAGAAAAAAGAGAGAAACAAAUAUUACGUAUAUUUAUGUUCAACCCUAAGAGAAAAAAAUGGAGAAAAUCAGAUCUAGAGAGAAAAAAAUAGUGAAACAAAUAUUACGUAUAUUUAUGUUAUACCCUAAGAUACCUUAUAAUAAGAUAAUGGUAUAAUGGUGAUACUUAAUUAAUUUGUAUUAAUAAAAGAUGUUUUGGAUUUAUCUUAAAAAUACAAAAUAAAUUUGGGCUCAUUGUAAUUGCACUUGUGUGAUGAGGGAGUUUUGUCAAAUUAUCCCCUUUAUAUUGUGUCUUACCAAUAUAUAAAAGAGUAAAAAACAGUUUGCCUCCUAAACUAUAGCUUGUUUUGCACUUUGCCCCCCAAACAAAAAAAAUUUGCACGUUUUUACCUGAACUCAACAUUCAUUGCACGGUGCCUCCUAAAAGGAAUAUUCCGGCAAUUUUGACCGGAAUAUUACAACACGUGUGUUGCACAUGAGAUUUUCAGGGGCAAAUUUGUCCCUUCACUUACAUUCUAUAUUUUAAUCAUUAAAAAAAUAAAAAAAUAAUAAAAAAAAAAAAAGAAAAAAGGGAAAAGAAGAAAGAAAAAAGAAAAAGAAAAGGAAGUUGUCAUCCCGUCAGACCAGGCCACCACCCUCCCAAAGCCAACCCACCCAUCCCAUAUCCCAGUAAAAAAAUCUCAUCAAUUUUUCGUGUUGCUCCUCUUCUUCCAAUUUAGCUUUCAUCUUCUCUUCGAUUUUACCCCUCUCGUUAUUUUCUUUUUAUAUCUGUUCUCUGGCAAACAAAAUCAUUGAAGACAAAUGGGACUGUGACGGUGGUUCUUGUGGUGGUGAUUUGUCUUGCUCCUCUUCUUGUUCUACAUGAUUUUUAAUUUCGAAUUCAAUCGUGAUUUUUGUGAGAAAUUAACAUUCAGACCUCUGUUUUUAUUUUCUUGUUCUAACUGUUAAUUUGGGCAAGUUCACCCACCGUUCGAGAAAACAUAAAAAAAUCUCUUCAACAACUUGAUCGCCACUGCGCCGCCGCAGAAGAUGAACCUGCCGGAGCUUCCAUCGGUGGAGGAAUGUGAUCUGCCAAUUGUCGAUUUGGGGCAGCUCGAACUAGAGAUAGCUAUAACCACUGGAUCGAGGAAUGGGCAACGAAGAAUGCGCAAGAACCACUGGAUCGAGGAAUGGGCGACGAAGAGAGAGAAUCUCGAGCACCAUUUCCGGUGGACCCGCCGCAACCUUGCCCUCGCCGGAAUCUUCGGAAUCGCCGUCCCCGUCCUCGUCUACAAAGGCAUUGAAACACGUUGUUAUAUUUUACAAAAGUGUUUUUAACUCUCUUACUUUCAAAUUAAAUUUUAGUUAUUACUUAGUGGGCUAAGUGGUAUGACUUAGUGGGCUAAGUAGUGAUUAGUGGGUUUAAUUGUGGGUUUUAUUCUAACUUCCUAACUAACCCACUAACCCAUUAUCUUGAGUGCUCUUGUGGUUGGUUUUCUUGCAGAUCAUGGGCUGAGGAGUGGAAGCUUGGCAAGUCUAUAAAUACCAAACUCAAGACUCAAGAACAUUACAGAUUUCGAAGAAACAAAAGAGAGCUGAAGUUUUAAUCUCGAGAAUUUUAGUGUGUUUCUAGGAUCUGUUGUACGUACUCCUUAUGAGUACAUUCUUUGAAAUCUAGAAUUUUUAAUAUUUUUCUUUUAGUAUCUAGAUUUGAUUGUAAGAGUGAUCUUGAAAAAAAUUCAUUCAUAAGGAAGAAGUUUUCGCACCUCUUCUGUUUGUAUUCUUAGAAUACUAAUUUUAAUAUAUUUUUCCGUCCUGUAAAGGGCAAGUUCACAAGUCUUUACUUGUGAACAUUUUUUAAUUAUGAACAUUGUCUUUUAAUCUUUAUAUUUCCGCUGCAUGUUGUCUCAAGUGUCAUAACAUUUUAGAUAACAUCUCUGUAUAAUACGAAUUCGGGACCAUAAAUUCUUUCAAUUGGUAUCAGAGCCAACACUUGACGUAUACUAAGUGUUUGUUCCUAUUUUUUCUUUACAGAAACGAAUUCGUGAUGGAUACUCAGAUGACUGCUUCUAUGCGACCUCCUGUACUUGAUGGCACGAACUACACCUACUGGAAAGUCAAGAUGAGGGCGUACAUCAAAGCCAUUGAUGAGAGAGCAUGGAGAUCUAUUCUCACUGGAUGGAAGCCACCAACUAUCACAGAUGUGGACGGAGAUGUUUUUCCAACUCCAGAAUUACGGUGGACACCAGACGAUCUAUCAAAUGCUAACCAAAACUCAAAGGCGUUAAAUGCAAUCUUCAAUUCAGUAGAUUUAACAAUGUUUAAAUUAAUCUCUGUAUGCACUUCUGCAAAGGAUGCUUGGGAAGUUCUUCAGCUACAUUGUGAGGGAUCAGAUAGUGUCAGAAGAACCAAGCUCAGACUACUCUCUUCCAAAUUUGAGAGACUGAGAAUGGAGGAAACUGAAACAAUUUCUCAGUACAAUGAGAAGUUGAUUGAUUUAGCUAAUGAAUUUCAAUCCUUAGGUGGUCCCUUGAGCAACGAGACACUAGUGAAUAAGGUAUUGAGAACUCUUCCAGAAAGGUUCAGCAUGACGGUUACUGCUAUUGAGGAGGCUAAAGAUACAUCAUCUCUACGGCUGGACGAGUUAAUUGGUAGUCUCAAGUCCAGAGAGAUGAACUUCGAAGAUCAAAGAAAGGAGAAAGGAAAGGCUAUCUCAAAUGCACUCCAGGCAGAAUUAGAAAAGGAAGAUGUUGCUCUGGAAUAUGAUGAUGAUGCAGAAGAAUGUCUCAACAAUGUGGCAUUUCAAAUUCAGAAAUUCAAUAGGGCGUACAGACGAAGUGGAAUCAAGCCCAGACAGUUAUUUCCAGAAGGCUCUCCACAAAAUCGACAAACUCAGCCCCGGAACAGAUCUAUUCCACUGAGAACAUUUCCUCAAACAUCUUCUCAAAACACUUUAAAAAAUUCUUCAUUUAUUCGUUCAAAUUCUGAACCACCUAACUUGGAUCAUAUUAAAUGCAGGGCUUGUUCAGGGUUUGGACAUUAUGCUAAUGAAUGUGCAAAUACCUUGAGAAGAAGAGGAAUGAGUUUGAUUUGUGCUGUCAGUGAUGAGGAGGAAGAACAACCUGAACAGACAGAGGAACAACAAUCAUCUAAACAAGCUCUUUCUGUCAGAUAUCUCACUGGAAGUUUCUCUGAAACAGAAUCCCAAGGAGUCUCUCUGGAUGCUGCAACACUUUCUGAAACACUUUCAGUUUGUGAGUUAAAUACUGAUCAUUAUACAUGUUUAAACUCUAUUUCUGUGAAUGCAGCAGAAUCCAGUAAUGAAGCAGUCAGUGAUGAUGAAGAAAUGUGUAAGAAACUGAUCAGAAACUUGGAGAAGAAGAAUCAAGCUCUAGAUGCAGCCAACAGGGAAAAUUCUUCCCUUAAAGAAACAAUCACACAUUUGGAGGUUGGUAUCACCAAAAAGGAUCUUGAACUGGCAAAGGUAAAAGAUGAACUCAAAGAAGCAACUCUAGCAAUCAAGAGGAUGAAUACCGGCACAACUAAACUCGAAGAGAUUGUGUCACUGGAAAAGUACAACAAAAAGGAAGGUCUAGGGUUCAAGAAACAAGUGAAGAAACACAAGCCAGUAAAGAAGAAAGAAAUUGUCUUUGUCAAAGAGAAGGGUUCAAAUGACAAGGAAUCCAGGAAUCUCACAGUCACCACUUCAGAGUCCAGAACAAGGGGAUACAUUUGUCAUUACUGUUUCUCACCAGGACAUAUUCGUCCAUUUUGUGAAAAACUCAGCAGUGACAAAAUGUUGUACAAAAUAAGUCACGUCACUCCAGGGAACACUUCAAAGAAAAAGGUAGAAUGUACCAAAAGGGAGUGUAAAAUAUGGACUCCCAAAGGUAAACUUUUGUGCAAAGCAGUAUACACCUCUUUAAAUGCUAACAUUUCAGGUUCAUGGUACUUUGAUAGUGGAUGCUCUAGGCACAUGACUGGAACAAAGGAAUUUCUAUCAAACUACCACACACUUAAUGGAGGACGUGUAACCUAUGGAGGAGGAGCUAAAGGCAAAGUGGUUGGACGUGGAACACUCAGUAUUGAGGGACUCCCAAAACUUUCAAAUGUCUUACAUGUUGAAGGAUUGGGGUCAAACCUCAUCAGUAUCAGUCAAUUGUGUGAUGAUGAUCUACGUGUAGAGUUUGAUAAAUACUGUUGUGAAGUGUUUGAUAACCAAAAUCAUUGUGUAUUGACAGGUUCCAGAUCAAUGGAUAAUUGCUAUCAAACUGGUGACACCAUAUCUUGCAAGAGCUCAAGAGUAAGUGAAGUAGAGCUAUGGCACCAGAAGCUAGGACACACAAACUUCAAAAAUCUGAAGCUGCUCAACAAAUACAAUGCCAUAAGAGGAGUACCAGAUCUCAAGAUCGAGGAUAUUCCCAUAUGUGGAAUGUGCCAGAAGGGAAAGCAAACCAGAGUACCACACAAAGUGUUGCAACACGUUGGUACCACUAUUUGUUUUGAACUUGUACAUAUGGAUCUUAUGGGUCCCAUAGAGGUAGAAAGCCUAGGUGGUAAAAAAUAUGUCUUUGUAUGUGUGGAUGAUUUUUCAAGAUAUACAUGGGUGUAUUUUUUAAGAGAAAAAUCAGACACUUUUGAGGUGUUCAAAAAUCUGUACAGGUUUGUUAAAACUCAAUUUGAAAUUUCUGUUCGUAGAAUCAGGUCUGAUCAUGGAAAAGAAUUUGAGAAUGCUUUAUUUCUUGCUUUUUGUAAUAAAAAGGGUAUAAAGCAUGAAUUUUCUGCUCCAAAAACUCGUCAACAAAAUGGUAUUGCUGAAAGAAAAAACAGAACCAUCCAAGAAAUGGCUAGGGUGAUGAUGAGUGCAAAAAAUCUGUCUAAAAUGUUUUGGGCUGAGGCUGUCAACACAGCUUGUCACAUCUCAAAUCGUGUGUAUCUAAGAUUAGGAUCUAUGAUGACUUCAUAUGAAAUUCGUUAUGGCAAGAAACCUAAUCUAGAAUACAUGCAUGUGUUUGGAUGUGUCUGCUAUGUUCUAAAUGAUAGAGAGCAUCUAGCUAAAUUUGAUUCAAAAAGUGAUUUGAGUUUGUUUAUGGGAUACUCUAAUAACAGUCAUGCCUAUAGAGUGUAUAAUCUAAGAACUCGAACCAUUAUUGAAUCUGUAAAUGUGGUAUUUGAUGACUUUGCUGAUCUCCGCAGUAAAACAGCUGAAGAUGAAGUUGAUGACUUAAUUGCUGAAAGAGACACAACCGAAGAAGACACUUCUACCACAGGUGAUCCAGAUACAGACAGUCCAGGGUCAAAAGAAGAAAGUGCUGAGCCAAGUGUGACCACAUCUGACUCAGUACAUCCUCCAGAGACUGAGUUACAGCCAGUCUUUGAUGUCUGCAGAAAGGAACCCUCAAGUAGAAUUCAGAAAAAUCACCCAUCUACUCAAGUAGUGGGAGAUAUCUUUGAUGGAAUGAGGACCAGAAGAAAAGAGAGAGUAAACUACAGAGAUAUGGUAAGAUUUGCAAAUUUAUCUUCUGAAUGUGCACUAACUGGAACCACUUGUUUUGUGUCUUCAGUAGAACCAAGAAAUAUUGCAGAAGCUCUGAAGGAUGAAUUCUGGGUAAAUGCAAUGCAUGAAGAGUUGAAUCAGUUCAUCAGAAAUGAUGUUUGAUACUUAGUUCCCAGACCAAACCAUGUAAAUGUGAUAGGAACUAAGUGGAUCUUCAAAAACAAAACUGAUGAAAAAGGUACAGUGGUUAGAAAUAAGGCUAGGUUAGUAGCACAAGGUUAUACCCAAAUUGAGGGUAUAGACUUUGAUGAGACUUUUGCUCCAGUAGCUAGAAUUGAAUCUAUUAGAUUACUUCUUGCUAUAGCCUGCUUUCUUAAAAUCAAACUGUAUCAGAUGGAUAUCAAAAGUGCAUUUCUGAAUGGGGUUCUGAAUGAGGAAGCAUAUGUAGAACAACCCAAGGGUUUUGAAGAUUCUGCCAAGCCUAAUCAUGUUUUCAAGCUUAAGAAGGCACUGUAUGGUCUUAAACAAGCUCCUAGAGCUUGGUAUCAAAGACUCACUGACUUCUUACUUGAAAUACAAUUCAAUAGAGGAGAGGCAGAUAGAACUCUAUUCAUUAGAAGAACAAAUAAUCAUAUUAUUAUUGUUCAGAUAUAUGUUGAUGAUAUUGUUUUUGGCUCUACUUGUGCUAAUCUUUUACAGUCUUUUGUAGAUUCUAUGUCUCACACUUUUGAAAUGAGCAUGGUAGGGGAGUUGAAUUACUUCUUAGGACUCCAAAUCAAACAAACAGGUGAAGGAAUGUUUGUAAAUCAAAAGAAGUAUGCUCUCAAUCUGGUCAAAAGAUUUGAGUUGGAGUCAGCCAAGCACAUGAAAACUCCAAUGGGUUCCAGCCAAAAACUGUCCAAGGAUGAUGUUGCAGAAGAUGUUGACAGCACUCUAUACAGAAGCAUGAUUGGAAGCCUUCUGUAUCUAACAGCAAGCAGGCCUGACAUUAUGUUUAGUGUUUGUGUGUGUGCCAGGUAUCAAGCUAAUCCCAAAGUCACUCAUCUUAAAGCUGUGAAGAGGAUUAUUAGGUAUGUUGCAGGUACAGUAGAUUUAGGGAUUCAGUUUUUCAAAGACACAAACACAAACUUGAUAGGUUUUAGUGAUUCUGAUUGGGCUGGGGAUAUUAGUGACAGAAAAAGCACUUCAGGUGCAUGUUUCUUUUUGGGGAAUAAUCUGGUUUCUUGGUUUAGUAGAAAGCAAAAUUGUGUAUCUCUAUCAACAGCUGAAUCAGAAUAUGUAGCUGCUGGAGGGUGUUGUGGUCAACUAAUUUGGAUGAAACAAAUGUUGGGAGAUUAUGGGUUGACCAGUGAUACCCUGACCAUAUAUUGUGAUAAUUCAAGUGCUAUUGACAUUUCAAAAAAUCCUGUUCAACACUCACGAACUAAACACAUAGAUAUUAAACAUCAUUUUAUUCGUGAUAUAGUUGAGAAAAAUAUAUUGUGCUUAAAGUACAUUCCUACAGAAGAUCAACUGGCUGACAUCUUUACAAAGGCAUUAGAUUAUGAGAGGUUUUCUAAACUCAGAAAAUCUCUCGGGAUGUGUACUCAAUAAACAUGUCCUAAAAUAUGUUGCAGCACCUCAUCCAAUAUCUUAAGUUGCAACACAAUUUACUGAAGCUUAGCUUCUUUAAAUAAUGACUUCACUGUGAUGAAUUAUUUUUCUAAAUAAGUAACUGGAAGUCUUUCACUUUGAAACGUGAUCAUGCUUCAUGUAAACAUUUGGGAAAUAAUUCUACUCACAUAAGUCAAACUCCUCUAUUUUGAUAGUCAUAUCUUAGUAACUGAGGAACCUUCAAACUGAACACUUGAUCAUGUUCCAUGUGAAUUGUUUGACUUGAAAAUAAGAGUUUAAAAAAAAAAAAAAAAAAAAUUGAUAUUUAUAAAAUAAAAUCUAUGCCUGUUAGCCAAUUUUUCUCAUACUAUUAAUCAUUAAUAAAUUUGUUUUUUUUCUAUUUUUGUGAAUAUUUCGUGAGUGAUAAUAUUAUUUUUUAUUUAUAUUGAAUUAUUACUAUUUAUAUGGGUCAUGGGGUACAUGGGUUAGUCUUUCAUUUUCCACUAAGUCCACUCCUUUUUGUGCCAUGUGUCACGUUUUGCCUUAAACUGCCAAAGGAAGUGUUAUUCUCCUUAAUCACACUUUCUCCAAGAAAAACGCACCCCACUUCUUCAUCUUCUCCACUUCGAUUUUUCUCAGCAAAAAUUAGGGCUUAUAAAUUUCGUGCUUAAUCUUUCGAAAAUUCACACCUUCAAAUCAAAAGCACAAAGAAGAAAUCUUUAUCUACUGUAUCAUGGCAUCUCCACCUAGAAAUCCCCUUCCAGCCGAAGAUGAUGUCCACAACGAUGCUGCAGCACCUGAACCAGCAGACCCAAAUCUGGCCAUCAUCGUUCAUCCAGUCAACCUUGAUGCUCUUCCUAUCAGCUACAUUGAGCCCGGCGACGAGCUGAACCCGAUUGACCCAGACAACUUCGAUUUUGUGGGUCCCUCUUCCACUGCUGGAAGAUUUCCAACUCGCCGGUCCAAGCGCAUGAACCCCUUUCCAGAUCUGAAUACUGCUGGGUCACAACGCCGGAGGGGUGAACACUCUCCCAGAAGAGGAAGCAGAGGUGGAAGAAGAGGAGGCAGUGGUGGCCGCACUCCAGUUCGGCCAAACCCACGAAGAGGUCUUCAUUUGGUAGAUGAAGAAACUGAUGAUGAAGCAGGGGAUCCUACCUUUGCUGCACCACAGGCUCAAGCCUUGUCCUCCAGCUCCUCCGAGUCAUCAUCCAACAACUCACCUCCCCCAGCAUCAACUCAGGGGGAGACAUCACAGCCCAGCAUGGCAACAGCAGCCUCUCAACAUUCUGUUCCUGAAGGUGUUGCUGCACCUGUUUCUGAAGGUGUUGCUGCACCUGUUCCAGAAGAUGCUGCUGCACCCACUGCUUCAACAAAUGUUCCUCAGAAUGCUGCUGAGGGUGCUGCUCCCUAUCAGGAUGAAGAAAUGCCUGAUUUUUCUGGGAUGUCUUCUGCAGAGCAUGUUGACAUUCCCACUGUUGAUGCUCAGGAGUUCACCACUACUGAAGAAACUCCAUCAGUCCCUCAUGCAGACCCUCUGGAAACCCUGGCAGAAGCAGCAGUUCAAGCAGAUACAUCUCCUCCUCAGGCUGAAGAACCAGAGAAAAGUGAUGACAGUUGGGAGGUUCCUCUAGCUGCUUUUCGCAAAAACUUGCCAUCUUCAGAUUCAUACAGUGAAUCUUCUGAAGACUCUUCUCAGCAGGAAGAAGAUGUUGUCCCACCUGCUGCAUCACCUGAACCAGCAUACAUUCCAGAUGAACUGGAAGAUUCAGAAGAUGAGGACUCCUCAGAAGAAGAAGAACCAGACUUGGAUGGGAAGAAUUUGUCAACCCCUUUUGAGGUAAACAAUGCCUUCAGUCCUAACUUUUAUUUUGAAUCUGAUUCCAUUUUGAGUCCUCAAGUCAUGAAUUGUCAAUUCAUUGAGGAAAAGAAAAUUUCCAAGGAAGAAUUUGAUAGGCAUAGAAUCACAGCUUUUCUUCAUCAAAGAAACAUUCUUAGCCUUGUUGACAUUGCCUGCUCCUAUGAUCCCACUGUGGUAAAGGAAUUUUAUGCAAAUUUGCAAACCUCUUUUUUAAAGAAAAAUUCUCCAAACUUUGGCAAAGUUUUUGUGAGAAAUUCAAUCUUCUCAUUUUCUCCCAAAAUUAUCAACUCUCACUUACAAACUCCUACUGUGAUUGAUGAGGAUAAUUAUGGUGAUUUUACUGAGGUUUGUAAAGUUAUUUCUGGAAACUGUUUAAAAAGUUGGCCUGCACAUCCCAGAAAAUUUAAGGUUUCUCAACUCACUGCUUUCUACUCUGUCCUGUUCAGACUCACAGUGAUGAAUUGGAUUCCAUCCAAAAAUGUCUCUGUGGUGACUAAACCUCAUGCUGUACUCAUGUACAAAUUGGGGAUGGGAUUACCAGUUGAUUUUGGCAAACUUUUCUUCAAUACUAUAGGUCAUCUUGCCCAGAAAAUUUCACCCUCUACUCAUCUUCCUUAUCCUUCUCUCAUCUAUUCCAUUUUACUCUCUCAAAACUUGGGACAAGAUGACUCAGAGUAUCUUCACACUCCACAAGGCAUGAUCACUGUAUCUCAAAACUUUCUAAGAGCUCCUCAUGUCCAAGACCUUCCCUGGAAUGGAGAUAAUUUUCUCUCAAGUGAAUCAGGUCAAAAUAAUCUGGGUACUGAAGGUGUUGCUCCCAAUGUUGACAACACUUCUAACAUUCUUGUGUCUGUUCCUAGAGAUCUUCUGUUACAGCAGCUUACUCACUCUCUAGCUCAGAUUACCUAUCACCAGACCAUGGUGGACAUGCUCCAAAAGGCUCUUUCUGAUCAAAAAGGGGGAGAAAAAGGUCACGAGGCUGAAGCAGGAACUUCCCACCCUUUGGAUGCCAGAGGCAGAGGGCAAGGAGUUAAUGAAGAAGAAGCAAAGAAUGAGGGUGAAGAGGAGAGCAGUGGAUCCAGUGCAAGUGAUGGAGGAGCAGCAGCUGACACUGAGGAGACUUUGGAGAUUCUACUUUAAAUGUUUUCAUGAACAAUAUUUUGAUUUUGUUCUGUUUUUUAUUUUCCCCUGAACUUUUUAUUAGGACUGCACUUUGAUUAUUUCUUGUUUAAGUUUUUUGUUGGACUAUCUUGCUGAAUUUGUUUUGAAUUGAUCUUUCUAUAUUAUUUUUGGUAUUUUCAAAUUCAGGGGGAGUUCAAGCAAUAUCUCAGGGGGAGUUCUAGCUAAAAUUUAGUUUUGAUCAGAAAGUUAAAAAGGGGGAGUUUGAAACACGUUGUUAUAUUUUACAAAAGUGUUUUUAACUCUCUUACUUUCAAACUAAAUUUUAGUUAUUACUUAGUGGGCUAAGUGGUAUGACUUAGUGGGCUAAGUAGUGAUUAGUGGGUUUAAUUGUGGGUUUUAUUCUAACUUCCUAACUAACCCACUAACCCAUUAUCUUGAGUGCUCUUGUGGUUGGUUUUCUUGCAGAUCAUGGGCUGAGGAGUGGAAGCUUGGCAAGUCUAUAAAUACCAAACUCAAGACUCAAGAACAUUACAAAUUUCGAAGAAACAAAAGAGAGCUGAAGUUUUAAUCUCGAGAAUUUUAGUGUGUUUCUAGGAUCUGUUGUACGUACUCCUUAUGAGUACAUUCUUUGAAAUCUAGAAUUUUUAAUAUUUUUCUUUUAGUAUCUAGAUUUGAUUGUAAGAGUGAUCUUGAAAAAGAUUCAUUCAUAAGGAAGAAGUUUUCGCACCUCUUCUGUUUGUAUUCUUAGAAUACUAAUUUUAAUAUAUUUUUCCGUCCUGUAAAGGGCAAGUUCACAAGUCUUUACUUGUGAACAUUUUUUAAUUCUGAACAUUGUCUUUUAACCUUUAUAUUUCCGCUGCAUGUUGUCUCAAGUGUCAUAACAUUUUAGAUAACAUCUCUGUAUAAUACGAAUUCGGGACCAUAAAUUCUUUCAGGCAUCGUCAAAGAUUUCGUGUUUUUUUUUCUCUCUUGGCCCCCCUCUUCUCUUACGAUGAUUUGAUUGGUUCUAAUUCCAAUUUCAUUCCUUGUAUUUUUAAAGUGACUCUGUUUGUGCCCUAAUCAAUUUAUCGAAUCAACGCCUUCCUGCUAUUUAUUUUUUGAUUUUGGCAAGAGCCUAAACGCUUAGUGGUGGAANNNNNNNNNNNNNNNNNNNNNNNNNNNNNNNNNNNNNNNNNNNNNNNNNNNNNNNNNNNNNNNNNNNNNNNNNNNNNNNNNNNNNNNNNNNNNNNNNNNNGGGAAAAUUUAACUAAACCCCCUUAUAUAUAUAUAAAGGGGGAAAGACAUUUUUGCCCCCGCAUGUUUACACUUCUGUUUAGGGGGGGUAAAAGAGCCGAGCCGGCUCGCGAACUCGACGAUCCGGCUCGAAAAAAGCUCGAACUCGAGCUCGGGUUUUUUGAGCUCGAGCUCGAGCUUUUGAAGAGCUCGAGCUCGAGCCCAAAAUAAAUUUUUUUUUGGCUCGCGAGAGACCUACCUAUUUUUAUAUAUAUAUAUAUAUAUAUAUAUAUACACACACACACACACACACAUAUAUAUAUAUAUAUAUAUAUAUAUAUAUAUAUAUAUAUAUAUAUAUAUAUAUAUAUAUAUAUAUAUAUAUAUAUCUUAUUCUUAUUAUUAUUAUUAUUAUUAACUAAAUAGUAAAUAGUCUAUAAUAAUAAAUAUAUCUAGUAUUUAAAUAGAAACAAAUCUAUAUUACUUAAAUAAUUCAUAAUAAUAUAAAAUAUUAUAAUAAUAAUAGAAAAAAUAAAAAAAUAUAUAUAACUAGAGUUCAUUAUUUAUUUUAUAAUUUUUUUUAUUUUCCUAUGUAUAAUUUUUAAUAAAAAAAUAAAAUGAUUUUAAUAAAAAAAAAUAAUAAUAAAAAAAAAAAAAAAAAAAUUAAAUAAGCCUGACUCGAGCUCGAGCUCGAGCCAAAAAAAAUUGCCUCGAUGAGCUCGAGCUCGAGCUCGAGCUGGGCAACAUGGACUCGAGCUCGAGCUCGAGCUGGCCAAAAGAGCCGAGCUCGGCUCGUUCCCACCCCUACUUCUGGUGGAUUUCGCCUGAAAAUACCACUUUUUGGCAACUUGCAACAAAAAAACAAGUUUAGGUAAUAACGUGUAAAAAAAAAUUGUUUGGGGGGCAAUGUGCAAAACGGGCAUUAAUUUAGGGGGUAAACUGCUUUUUACUCUAUAUAAAAUGAUUGUUAGAAGUGUUUUUAUAAGUUAAAGUGCCCCAAUGGUUAGCAGCGUUGAAUGCAUUAAAAGAUCCUAAAUUCAAUUACCAACUAAAAAGGUUUCUCUCUCUAUCACUUCUUCUCCUUAGAGCAUUCUCAAGAACAAACAUGACUUCACCAUAUUCCUACUAGAUUUCACCAUAUUCGUACUAGAUUUAUGAUUUCAAAAAUUCUCUUAAACAUCUUUUAAAUAUUUUUUAACUAUUAACAUUUUUUAAAUAUUUAGUAUUGUUUAUUAAAUAUUCCUACAAUAUUUAUUAAAAAAAAUGAAAUAAUAGUUUUGAUAUUAAGUAUUUUUAAUAGGCGGCGGAUAUAUGCAAGUCCAUUUUUUUAUUAGUUCAAGACCUCCAACAUAAAAAUACUAAUUUACCCUGAAUGAAAUUCAAAACCAAAUAAAAGACACAAAACAUUAAAAAAAUAAAAAAAUAUUUUCCUGUGUGCAAGAGCAAAUAAAAUACAUAAACUCAGAAACCUUCUUCAUUAUUUCACGACUUAAAAAUCCUCCUUCUCCUUCUUCUUCACAAACCCACCAAGAAACCCUUCACAUCAAAAUUAUCAAAUACACACCAAACAUUCACGAUGGAGCAAGAAAACAAUGAUAUGGUGGUUUACGAAGGUGGAGAACACAAUGAGAUAUGUUUAACCGUUUAUUUUUGCUUUUGGGUCUUUUUUUUUGUUGGGAAAAAAAGUCGACGAUACAAAAAAUCGUUCUGCAAAUACCGAUUUUUGUUACUAAAGUCGGUAACCACAUUCCGAUUAUUUUAAUAAAAAUCGGUACUUAAAAACCGAUUUUUGUAGUACAAAUCGGCAUGACAACACCGAUUUGUUUUUGUAUUAUCGGUAUUGUCAUGCCGACUUGUAUUACAAAAAUCGGUUUUUAAGUACCGAUUUUAUUAUCUGUAUUUUUUUAAGACCGUUUUCCUAUACUUUCUUGCAACAGCCUAGGGGAUUGAUGGAUGAUUAUUCAGAUGAAUAAUCUACCGAACAAAUAUUUGAGACACGGAAAGCUCUACACGAUUGGGUUAAAGAAGUUGGUAGAUGCCACAGAAUGGUGAUAAACAUUUUCGUUUCACAUCCGGGAUUGAAAGGACGUAGAAGACCGUAUGUUGUACUCGCAUGUGAGCGUGCGGGUGAGUAUCGUGGGAAGAAGAAAGCCGGUGGGAUGACCAAGGAGAGGGAAAGAGGAGGACGGGUUCUAAAAAAGGUAAUUGCACAUUUAGAUUAAAGGGACAAAACGAGGAAAUGAUACCGAUAAUGUUGGGUGGGAUUUAAAAUGAAUUUUCCUAUACCUCCUAUGGUGGAUUAUUGGCGACGGUACCAUGAUGAAAAAGCGGAUGGUUGGAAGACUUCCAAUAUUGAAUCAAGGAUUACAAUGUUUAGGAAGUUAGUUGGUCAAGACUGCCGAGUAAGAAACCUUCAUAGAUUUAACGUAUGUAACUGAAGACGAGACGAUAAAAGAUUUUUCGUGAAACAAUGUAAUUGAUGUACAAUCGUUUAAGAUUGUUGGUAGCCUUUAUUAUCAUUAUGCAUUACCUACAAUUGCUCGUAACAUAUAUAUUUAUGCUUAAUACCUCUUAAGUUGUAUUAUAAGAUCCAGACACCUAAGGAUAGUGUGUUACGAGUUGAGAAAAAAAAAAUCAAAAAAGCGAAAAACCGUGAAAUAUUGGUACUGAAGAAGGACCUUGAUCAAUCCGAGUGCGUCAACCGGGAUGAUUAAAAGGGGCACGCCUUUUUUUUUUAGCUUUUCCACCUUGCUCUUUUGAGCAUUUUCCUUUCGUUUACGGGUUGAGACAGUCGGCGCUACACGAGGAGGUUGAGGUUCCACUGCAAAACAUUUAAAAAAUAUCAAUUAUUAAAAACAAAAAGGAAAAAAUAACGAAAAACAUCGGUAUCCGAAAACCGAUUUUAUACUCAAUAAUCGACAUUACAACGCCGAUUUUGACUUGUAAAGUCGACGUUGUGUCGCCGAUUUGGUUAACAAAAAUCGGCAUUAUGACGUCGAUUUUCGUGUACAAAAUCGGUCUUGGUAAACCGAUUUGGGAAACCAACGAAAACACACAAAAAAACCAAUUUCAAUCUCAAUUUUUUUCCAAAAUCGGCCAAAGCAUUGCAACCUAACAAGAAAUAAGCAUAGAUUAAUGUUCAUCUACGCAUAUUUAUCAAGAAUCGAUGCUCGAUUAAUGUUUUCGAAUUUACAAACAAAAGUUUAGUUAAAAGGACUUACUUGUUGGUGGUGGUGCGGUGGUGGUAAUGGUGCUGUGGGUGGGUCGCUGGUCAUCGCCGGCGCGGUGGAAGUCUCGGUGGUCGGCGUCGCGGCGGCAGCCGUGAUAUUUUAUUUGGUUUUUUUUUUUUUUUUUUUUUUUUUUUUUUUUUUUUUUUGGUCUUGAACAAAUUAAAAAUAGGGUUUAUUUGUAUCUGGGUAUUAUUUUUGGAUAAGGGUAUAUUUGUCAUCUUUGGUCUUGAUGUAAUAAAAUUAGAUUAAUUUACGGGCUUGAACUAAUAAACCUCUUUAUGUGGGUUUGAACUAAUAAAAAAAUAGACUUGCAUAUAUCCGCCGCCUUUUUAAUAUUAAAAAAAGUUGAAACACUAAUUAACAUUCAUUAAACAUCAGUAAAUCUUAUCUAAUAUAUAAAAUGAAGAUAUAUUUAUUGACCUAUAACCCUAGACCUAAACCUAAGGGUAUUUCCGGAAAUUUUUAUUUUUGGCUUUUUUUUCUUUAGUUUUAAUCCGCGUUGCUGGUCACUUUUAUUUUUGUUGUUCGUUGUUUUUUUUUUCUUUUUUUUUUUUACUUUUUUUGGUGUUUUAAUUUUGAAUAAAGAAGAAAAAUAAAAACUGAACACGAUAGAAAAAGAAAGACCGAACACGAUAGAAAAAGAAAAUCCGAAGAGGAUAGAAAAAAUACAAAACACUAUAACCACGAUCUACCCUAUCCAUAUCUCUCCCAUUUUCUUUUUCUUUUUUGCGAUCAUGCAAUUAAAACUCAAAAAGAAAUUGUCCAAAUUUAUUUGAAACAAAUUCUCACCGAAGUUCAUAACCACCCAUUUGAUGCCAUUUUUGGGUGGGGGGGGGGGGGGGAAUUAUAAAUAAAACCCACACGUCUGAUAACUGAUAAAAAUACACAAUCGAAAAAAUAACUGAUAAAAAUACACGAUCGAAAAACUGAACACUAUAAAACCCACACGUUUCUGCGUCUAUAAAUUCAUGCUUAUUUAUUCUCAAGGAAGGUAUUUGCUUAUUUAAUUAUUUAUUUAUGUAUGUAUGUAGAUUUUUGAUUAUUUGUCAUUCAUCCGUGUGUUGAAUAGCUCAUUUUUGGCUUUAUCCUUUUCAUUUAUUGACAACAUAUUGCAGAUGUAUUCGGAGAUAGCACAAAUGCUUUGACUUUGAGUCAUGUUUUUCGUGAUUCACUUAGAAAAAUAGCAGAAUUUGGGUUUUGGGUUAUCCUCCCCUUAAUUGAUUUGUUGGCAUGAUUCUUAGUUUAUAAAUUAUGCCAAGGUACGUUGUGAUAAGAAAUACACGACAAUAAAAAGUUUAAUAAGAAAUAUAUUUCAUAUCCAAGUAUUUGCUUAACAUAUCAAUCUUUGAUAUUUCUUAACCGUUUAUAUUUUGGUUUUGCUUAGAUUCUAUUUUAUUAGUUUCUCCAAGUAUUUUCCUUGAUUACUGGCAGCGCCUAACCUAUUAUUUCUUUUUCUUCAUGAUCAACAACUUAUAUAUCCUUUUUUCAUACACAGAUAGAUAGGCUUAAAUAUACUCAUUCUGUUAAGCUUCUUUUUAAAAUAUAUGUUUGUUAUGAAGAACGACUUAAUAUCUGCAAUAUUUCGUUAUUUUUAUUGUGAUUUAAGUUAUUUAAAUGUAUUUUUUUCUUCUUGCAAGUUGGUUGAGACACGUAAUAAUUUAUUAAGAUGUCCAAACAAUUACACAAUUGGAACUUACGUCGAAAACUUAUGACAAGUGAAUUUUCAGGGGAUGUGAUAUAUAGGUAUUUGUCCUGUUGGUGCACUGACCUCAAUUUAAGUGCAUGUCAGACCCUCUUUUAAUUCACUUUUGUAAGCCAUGCAUUUCAUGUGUCUGCGAUUUUUUUAGAUGAAGUUGCGUUUCUUAUGUUGGUUUUUGUUCUUGGAAUUGAACUAGGUGAUGCAGAGUUAUGUGGGAUUUAGAAAGGUUGCGUUGCGUUCUUGACGAUGCUGCACUAUUUUUUUUCUUGAUGGAUAUGUUUUAUUGGGUUGAUAUACAUUGAUUAGUAACUUCUUGCAUAAUUGAGUUGAAGUGCAUGUUUUCCUUCGAUGGUAAUAAAAACAAAGAAUCUCUGAAAUCCUCUUCCAAUUAUAUGUAUGUAAUUGUACGUGUGUUUGAAUACGUGGAUACUAUGAACAUUGACGACAUGCAGAGAAUCACAGUGGUGGGGAAUUAAGGUGGAUCAGACGAAGCUCCGGAAGAGAGGUAAGUAGCCACUAAAUGUGUUAGUAUUUAAGUGUUUUCCCAUAAUAAUUCUGUAGUUGCAGCCAAGGUUGUAAAAAACGGUAAUUCCGUUGGAGGCGGUCAGGCACCAACUCACAAUUAAUCGGUGCGGCGGUGAUUAAUCGGAAAUAAAAUGUGAAAUACGAAUUAUUUCAUGCUUCAAAACAUGUUGAUGUAAAUUAUAAAAAGAAAGUGACACAUUGUUUGUUCUACAUAGAUAGGUUGGUCUGAAAUGAGAAUCACUCAGCUUUGAUACAAUUGUUUUAUUUCUUCAUUGUUUAGAGAAUUAGUAAGCAACAUUUAUACAAGUGAAGAUUGUUCUUACGUUCGAUCUGACAAAAUCUUCAAAACAAAUUAGUUUUUGUACCAAUUUAGUAUUAUGUCGGAACCUUUGAGUUUUUCUUAUCAAUCUUAUUCAUUUAACUUGAAUUAGAAAUUAGAAAAUGAAUUAUAAAUAUUAGUUUCGUUCAUUUUUACAAAUUGUGGAAAAAUAACCUAUUUGUUCAUUUCAUUAUUUUCAUAAUUUACUAUUUUCUUCCACUCUGCAAUUGGAGGUUCUCCUCCAUGUACCUUAAUCCAUCACUGCCAUUAUUUUUUGGUGUACACAAUGUAUUUGCUUGUGUCCAUGUAUAGUAUCUUCACUUGUUUAUGCUUUUCAUUUAGUGCUUUAUUUUCUUGGUGAUCAACUUCAACAACUACAAUUUUUUUGAUGAUUUUUUUUAUACGACUAUGUUUUCAAAUCAUUUUACAACUAUUGCCAUCUCUAUUUACAAUAAAUUGAAUCAUCCCAAAAUUUGUGAAGGUGGCGAAAUUCGGCAAUUUGUGUAAAUGUUGGUGGUAAAAUUUGGCAAGCAAUGAGGACAAAGCGGGAUCCAUGCAAGUAAAUUUUUGUGGAUCAAGUGAAAUACGGUAAUAACAAGGUAAUUUAAUUUAAAAUUUCACAAUGUUUAAUAGAUUUUUCAUUAUCAUUUUUAUUUGUCGUGUAUUUAAAUAGUUACUUUAUUCCAUUUUUUAAUGCGACCCCGUGCAACGCAAGGGUCACGGUUAUUAGUAAUUAUUAACAUUACUUAAACAAAUAAUUAAAAGAAGAAAAAAAAAAAAAAAAAAAAAAACCUAACCCACAGACCCAACCGUGAAAUGUAUCAUUUAAUAUGAAUAUCUCCAAUACGCCCCCUCAAGUGCAGGCGAAUUACAUUUGAAGCAUUGCACUUGAAAUAUUUUUAAAUGGGUGGCUCUGGAAUUCGAACUCAGGACCUUUCAUUUGGCCUGACUCUGAUACCAUGUUGAUUGUUAAAUGACCAUCUCAACCAAAAAUUUAAGCUAUUAGUGAAAUGUGUCAUUUAAUAUUAAUAUCUCUAAUAUGGUUUUUGACAUUUUGCACAUAACCCCCUUAUGGUAUGAAAUUAUGCACAUACCCCCCUUGUGGUUUUGACAUUUUGCACAUGACCCCCUUAUGAUAUGAAAUUAUGCAUAUAACCCCUUGAAUAGAAAACUAGAAAAGACUAAAUUACCCCUAAAGAAUAAAUAUUGUUUCUUAAAAAAAUAAAAUUAAACAACAACUAUAAUAUAUAAUAUAUUAUAUAUAAAAUAGUAAAUAAUAAUCAUAAUUAAUAACAAUAUUCAAGCUUUAAAAUAUGUAGAAUUAUUUUACCGAAUUAUAUUUGAACAAAGAAAUUGAUAGUUCAUAAUUUUAUAUCGAGUUUAAUCAUUUUAUAUUUGAUUUGUAACAUAUGAGAUUUUCAAAUUGGUUUCUAAAAUUGAAUAAACUGUCAAUCGUACAAUAACUAGUAUUAUAUACCUUUUGUGUUGUAAAAUUAAAAAAACACAAUAAUAUAUUAUAUUUUUCAUUUUAUAGAAUAAUUAUUUUUAAAUUAAAACAAGAAAUUUUGACUUGAUAGAGUAACCAGCGAACAUUUGGUAUGGUUGCAAUUUGACUAAACUUUAGGGGUGAUUUACUCUUUUCCAGUUUUCUAUUCAAGGGGGUUAUGUGCCUAAUUUUAUACUAUAAGGGGGUCAUGUGCAAAAUGACAAAACCACAAGGGGGUCAUGUGCCUAGUUUCAUACCAUAAGGGGGUUAUGUGCAAAAUAUCUAAACAACAAAGGGGUUAUAUGCGUAAUUUCAUACCAAAAUAUCCAAACCACAANNNNNNNNNNNNNNNNNNNNNNNNNNNNNNNNNNNNNNNNNNNNNNNNNNNNNNNNNNNNNNNNNNNNNNNNNNNNNNNNNNNNNNNNNNNNNNNNNNNNAGAUUAUUAGUUCAAGCUUUUAUAGGGUAAUAGCAUUAACCCCCUUGUGGUUUGGAUAUUUUGGUAUGAAAUUACGCACAUAACCCCUUUGUUGUUUAGAUAUUUUGCACAUGAGCCCCUUAUCAAAAAAAAAUUAAUAACCAUGGAAUAUUCGUUUACGGGGUGACUGAAAUCCUUCUAUUCCUACGAACCAGCCAAUCCGUUUACGAAUUAAAAAACUCUUGUCAAUAUAGGAAAUUUGGGUUAUUUAACCCGAUUUGCUUUGAUAUAGUGUGAUUGGAGAAGGACGUUCGACCUUUUAAUAAUUUCAUGCUAAUUUGUUUACAAUAAUUUGGGAGAUGGCAUUUGUUAUUUUAUUACAAAAAAAUAUAAAUGAUCAGACUGCUAUUUUAAUCAGUGCAUGAACAUUACAAUAUUUGGUUAGGAUUAACAAAUUUGUUCACAAUAAUUUGUUCAGAGAUGGCGUGUUGCAUUAAUUUAUACCAAUAAUCAGCCGAUAAAGCCAAAAUAUCUAUACAUUUGCUACUCUAUAAGUAGUCAAGGAUGCAUACAUGAGUAACCAUAUUUCAAACAUACAGAAGACGGAGUUUCAGGAAAAUUAUUAUCAUCAUCAAAUCUCGAAACAUGGUACUACCACUCAUUCCUGCCAUCUAGGAGCUGCCGCCUUCUUCCGGCUGGUAAAAUGAUUCGCUCCGUUUCCGAGCUGCGCGGUUGCUUUUAUCUUCCUGUCGGUAGUGCUGGCACCAACCGUGAGAAUCCACGGCAAGGUGUUGUACAACGACGAAUCGCCGAGGGCCGUCGUUUCCAGCCGAGCAGCUGACGAAAAUGCCCCUCUUGACAGCGCUGAAUGCUCCUACAGCAACGACGUUUUCGUGGAACGGGCUAGUAUGAGAUACAUUAUCUCCUGCGAGAGCGAGGGAAAGCACGUCGACUCUGUACGUCCUCGAUAGCCACAUCCAUUCCUGCCAAUACGUCGCUGUCGAAGAGGAAACCGGUCCCAUUUUCAUGCGAACCAACUUUGUAGAUAGCAAGGUGGGUGAGAGGGGCGAUGCCGGAAGCCGUCCCAUUGGCCUGGCCGAACACGUUAGCGCCGGAGACGAAGUUUCCGGCAGCCGUGCUGGCUGGCCGUAUGGGUCCCUUGCCCAAAGGUGUCGAUAGACGGGCCUGGGAAAUAGCUGGCGAAAUUUCUUGCACCAAUGAGCUUAUUUACGUCGAUUCUGCCUCUCCAACGUUCGUCAAUGUCCGUGAAUAUGCGUAGCCAAUAUCUCGUCAAAGAACAACGAAAAACGAGGGAUAAUUCAGCUGUGCUUCCGGCACACCCGCGUACUCCGAUUUACUACUGCAAUCAAUCUUUCGGUUCACUAUGGCCGCAACUUGUCACUCUGUGUAGAGAAAACAUAAGUACGAAAUAUAAUCGCGGGCCAAAAUAUCGUAAUCGAGGCACGGAUUCAACGACGCGGGCGGGUUCGCGUGUCCUGCCCCAAGGGCAAACACGUCGGCGGGCUGAUGCCGUUGGGCACAGUUAUAGGAGACAAAACUGCUCCAAUGGCUACACCGUUCUCCUCUAGAGGUCCCAAUUUGGUAAGCCCUUGAAUUCUAAAACCCGACAUUAUAGGCCACAGCACCAAAUUAAAGUUCUAGCUCGCGGCUUGGCCUGUAUACAUCGACAANNNNNNNNNNNNNNNNNNNNNNNNNNNNNNNNNNNNNNNNNNNNNNNNNNNNNNNNNNNNNNNNNNNNNNNNNNNNNNNNNNNNNNNNNNNNNNNNNNNNNNNNNNNNNNNNNNNNNNNNNNNNNNNNNNNNNNNNNNNNNNNNNNNNNNNNNNNNNNNNNNNNNNNNNNNNNNNNNNNNNNNNNNNNNNNNNNNNNNNNNNNNNNNNNNNNNNNNNNNNNNNNNNNNNNNNNNNNNNNNNNNNNNNNNNNNNNNNNNNNNNNNNNNNNNNNNNNNNNNNNNNNNNNNNNNNNNNNNNNNNNNNNNNNNNNNNNNNNNNNNNNNNNNNNNNNNNNNNNNNNNNNNNNNNNNNAAGAAAAAAAAAAAAAAAAGGAACCUCAGGUUUUGUUUUGAGUACUAGCCUUGUCCCCGUCCAUAAUGACGUCAACACUCAGCUGAAAAAUCUCGGCAAUAUUCCGAUUCUUGACCAAUGGCAUCAGCCCACCGACGUGUUUGCCCUUGGGGCGGGACACGUGAACCCGCCCGCGGCGGUGAAUCCGGGACUCGUUCACGGGAAUAUUUCGGCUGGCGAUUAUAUUUCGUACUAUGUUUUCUCUACACAGAGCGACAAGUUGCAGCCAUAUAUAGUGAACCGAAAGAUUGACUGCAGUAGUAAAUUGGAGUAAGCGGUUGUGCUGGAAGCACAGCUGAACUAUCCCUUGUUUUUCGUUGGAGUUCUAGAUAGUAUUCAUUCAAUAAUUUAGUACCUUGUAAUUUUUCAUAAAUAAAAUAAAAAAAUAUAAGACAAAAUAUCUUAAUGUAAAAAAUUCUAUACAUUUACGAUAUAACCAUAAAUGCAGUGGCAAAUCCAGGUUUUACGUCAAGGGUGUGCGGAGUUUAAUAAAAAAAUAUAUAAACAUGCAAAAAAAAAAUGUACAAGACAAUAAAAAUGUACGCAAUGCAAAUCUUAUUAUUUUUAAGGGAAUGUUUGUCGAUAUACUAAUAUUUAAUAUUGUUUUUAUAAUGUAACUACGAAGAACAUGAUAAUCUUAAUGUUAUUUUAUAUUGUUAGUCGAUGACCUUUUGUAUUUAUUCUAUUUUAGUGAUUUCAAUGAUUGAAAACUGUUAAUUCCAUUUUUAUGUGUAUAUUCAAUGAGCUUAACAAUUGAAAAAUUAUUAAGUUUUUUUUACAGAUAUCUAUUUAUAUUUGAAAAAAAAAAAGCACCCCCGUGCAUUACACGGGUGAAUACUAGUUUAAUUAGGGGCGGAAAUCGGACAGAAUGGAUCGGAAAUGACUUCGUCGGAAAAUUUUCAAAUUAUUUCGUAAGUAAAAAUGUGUUCCAAUUUAUGUUCCAAGAAAAUUAGAAAUUAAAAAUUCAUUCCGAUUUCGGAAUGCAUCGGAAUAGGCGGAAUUUCGAAAACUUCGGAAAUUACAUUAGUUUAUAAUACCUUGUCCCAAAUUCGGAAAUAAUGGAAAUUUUCACAAUAUUUUUCUCUUUUUUGUAAUUUUGCAGGAAAAUCCAAAAUGGAGUUCGACAAAACGCAAUAAACGAAAACACAAUGGAAUUUCCAAUAAUUUUAUCUAAAAUUUGUAUUUUUUUCUACAUAAUAUUUUUUAGAUAAAAUCACUUCGUCUUAAACUAGAUUCGAAGAGCUUUACAAUCACAUACUAUAAGCAUAUAUGUAGAAAUUUGUUUUUCGUUUUAUACAUAAAAUAGUUUCGAAUUUUAAAUUAAUUAUUCGAUUAUAUUUAUUACAUAUAUUCCACAAAUAUGAUAAUAUGAUAUUGUUUUAUGUAUCUUACAUUUUCAAAUAUAAUAUUUUAUGUAAAAUAAAAUGGUAUUGAAAGGUACGGAUUAAUUAAAGGUACGGAUUAAUUAAAAAAAACAAAACACUUUGCAGACUCGAAAUAUACACUUUGGAACUUUGCACAUCCAAAAAAAUUAAUAGCACAUUGCACCCUUAAAAGAUUUAAUCAUUCACACAGCAACCCCCAAUUGAUAUUUCAAUAAAAUUUCUCAAUAAUUCUGUUUUCAUAUGCCUUUGAUAAAAAUAUUGUAAAUUUAAUUUUAGAUAACAAAAUUUAAUUUUCAAGUAAUUUUAGCAAGAAAAUAAUUUAAUAGUGAAUGAAAUAAACAAUUACAUAAAAUAAGUACUACUACACUGAUGAAAAUAUCCUCAAUAAUUACACCCAUACAAAAGUAUUUGUCAUCUUGGUACAGAGUUUUAGAAUUUUAAUUUUUCCACCCUUCAACUACUUUUUCACAAAAUUACAUAAAAAAAAAUACUUUCAUACAAAAAAAAAGAACAAUAUAUUUUUACCAAUUCCAAGAAAAUUAAAGAUAUACCUAUUCAAUAAUUUCAUAAUUUAAUUAUGAAAAUUAUUUUAUUUGAAUUACAUUUGAUCACUCCAAAGAAAAUUAUCAUUUCAAAGUGCUACUAAAAGAUGAAAUUAUCCUCAUUAACCUUAAAAUUUAAAUAGGAUGCAAUGUGAAUGAUUUAAUUCCUUUCGAGAUUUUUUCCGGGGGUGCCAAGUGCAUAAAUGAUACAUUCCGAGGGUACAAAAUAGAAAUAAGCAAAAUAUUUAAUUUAAUUUAUGUUAUAUAUUUUUAAAUAGUAUUAAUUUUCUAAUAUAAUUUCUCUAUCAAAAAUAUCUUAUAAAAAUAUUAUUUUAUUAUUAGUAAUUAAAUAAUUAAAAUUAUACUUAAGAGGAGCAUUUUUAAUAUAAUAGUUAUUUAUUUUUAAAUGUGAGAGUUACGGUGUAUAUGUAUGUAAUUAGACCUGAUCUCAGGAGAGAUCACUAUAAUUAUUCAAUAUAUGGUCAAGGGUAAAUAUAUAGUUUCAAAAACAUCAAUGGUCACUAUAAUUACUGAAUUAUCUUUUCUUUGUAAGAAAAUUAUUGGUGAAAUUGAAGAUCGAUAACUAUUAUGACUCCAGUAACAAAACAUAUCUCACUUAAACUUUCAACAAUAACAAAAAAUAAUAUGAUGAGGAUAUUAUAACACCAAGGUAACAAUAAAAUUAUGAAUUAUGCACUGAUUAUAUUACCCAUAAGUAGUAAAUUGGAUAUUAUUACACGUGAUUAACAUGUCAUAUAUGAAUUGGCUAACUCAAGAUACUUGAAUAAAUAUGCAUGUCCAACUGUAUUUAGUUGUCUCUACCUCCCUGUUUUUUAAUUAUUAUUAUUUUAUAAUUCAUAUCUUCAUUUAGUGAUAUUGAUUUCGAUCUUGAAAGUUGAAAAUACUUAAUUUACAUGCUAUUGGAUAAUAUAAUAUUUUUCAUCAAUAAACCUUGCUACAUUAGAAUCUCAAAUAUUUUAAUAUUUCUAAAGUAAAUUUCUUUAAGAAAAUUAUUGUUGUAAAUAUAAAGAUAUAUUAUUCGUUUUUUUUUUAAAUAUAAAAGUAUAUUAUUCUGACACCUGUGAGGCUGUGACAAAUACAAAAUGUAUCCCUGAAGAAAAUUGAAAAAAAAAAGAUGAAUAAAAAGGAUAAUAACUAUGAUUAAAUUAAUAUUCAAAUUUCAAGUGUGGACAUUUUGAUCAGGGAGAGAGUGGGAGACCAUAACUUAAGUAACACGAAAACAAAAACUUAAUAGUUUCAAAAAAUACUGAUGUAGAAAAACUCAUUAAAAUGAAAAUUGUUUCAACAAUCACAAUAAAAUCAGAGAAAACAUAAUGUGAGCAUGUAUGAACUAAUAUAUAGAGAAAAAAAAUUAGUUAUUUUGUUUUAUAUUUUAUAUUCUUAUCAAAUCAAUUUUUAAAAUAAUUAUAUUUUACCGUUCAUAGAUACAUAAUCAGAACAUUAAUUUUUAUACUUACUUGAUUUUAUUUAAUUUUAAUUCACUUUUAAAUAUUGCAUCUAACUUUAAUAUUUUUAAUUAUACAUUUAUAUAAUCAGCCAAAUCAUACACGUGUUGCUUGCUAGUAAUAAUUCAAAAAAGAGUGAACAAAAAACCAAAAUAAUUAUUGACUUUUUUUUAAUCUUUUUUUCCUUGAAGGGAGGAAACAAUUAUUUAUCGUAAGUACUUUUUUUUCAAAUUUUAUGGAUUCAGAGGAAGCUUUUUCGCUUCAAUUGAAAAACACCAUCAAUGGGAAAAGUCCUGAAGUCGGAAGUGGCCGAGAAUCUUCCACCAACUCGACACUGACUCAGAGUCGACUCAGUACUACUACAGUUUACUGAUCUUGGACGAUCCCAUAGCCUUGGCCGUGUCUCUAAGAAGAAACUUCUGUAUUUUACCGGUGGAAGUCUUGGGCAGCUCUUCCAUGAAAACCACCGUCUUCGGCACCAUAUAGUGCGGGAGUCUCGCCCUGCAAAACUCCAUCACUUCCUUCUCCGUCGGCUUUUCAAUCACACCAUCCUUCACACUCAGAAACGCACACGGCGUCUCUCCCCAGAACUCGUCCGGCCGAGCCACCACCGCCGCCUCGUUCACUGCCGGGUGAGUGUAAAGAACCGACUCCACCUCCACGCUGCUCAAAUUCUCCCCACCGCUGAUUAUAACAUCCUUUGAUCUGUCCUUGAUUUCAAGGUACCCAUCCGAGUGCAUCACCCCUACAUCGCCAGUGUAGAACCAGCCGUUCUUCAUGCAUUUCGAGGUGCCCUCGGAAUUUUUGAGAUACCCCAGCAUCACAGAGCCACCUCUCAGUACAAUUUCACCCAAUGUUUUCCCAUCUCGACUCACACUCUUCCCUGAUUCCGGUUCAAUCACAUCCACUUUCGCCAUUCCGAUGGUCCUCACACCUUGUCUAGCUUUGAGCCUCGCCUUCUCCGCCGCCGGAUAUUUGUUCCAUUUCUUCUUCCACGUGCAGCAAAUCACAAUCCCACCUGUCUCGGUCAGACCAUACCCGUGACUCACAACAAAUCCAAGCGACUCGGUUCGGAGCAGCACCGCCGGGGGCGGCGGCGCUCCGGACGUCAUAAUAUAGACGGGCCUUUCAAGGGGCUUUCCAUCCGGAAUAUUUGACAGCAUGUUGAGCACAACCGGCGCUCCGCACAUGUGGGUCACGUUGUACUUCUUUAUGGCAAAGUAGAUUGCGUCGGCAUCGAAUUUGCGGAGGCAGAUGUUAGUUCCGCCGGCGGCUGCCAUACCCCAGGUGUAGCUCCACCCGUUCGCGUGGAACAUCGGGAGUGUCCAGAGGUAAACGGGCUCUUUCGGCACCGACCAUUCGAUCAAAGAAUCCAUGGCCACGAUGAACGUUCCUCGGUGGCUGUGGACCACCCCUUUCGGUGACGACGUGGUCCCGGAAGUGUAGUUCAAAGUCAACGGAUCAAACUCAGUUUCCGGGCGAACCCAACUGAAAUUCGAAUCACCAUUCAAAAUCAUCUCCUCGUACUUCCCCCAGUAUAUAUUCUCCGAUGGCCGGAUUCCCGAUUCGUCAUCCGAUAAGGACAAGAAGAGGGCGGUCGGAAUAUGGUGGGAACAAAGAGAGGGCUUCAACGACAAGAGAUUCCGACUGGUAAUCGACAAAAACAAGCUUGGAUUGGGCAUGGCGGAGGAUGACGGAGAUGGUGCGUGAAUCUAGACGGAGGUUGACUGUGUUGAGAACGGCGCCGGACAUGGGGAUGGCGAAAUGGAGCUCAUACAUGGCGGGGAUAUUAGGUGCCACCACGGAAACGACGUCGCCUCUUUUCAUUCCUAAAGAAGAAAGAGAAGACGCCAUUUUCAAGCACCUCAGAUAGGUUUCGGACCAUGUGUAGGUGGUGGAGUUGUAAAUGAUUGAAGGGCAGUCGGCGUAAACAACGGCGGCCCUCUCCAAGAAACGCAACGGGGUUAAAGGACUUGAAUUGGGAGGACUUGGCUUCAGUUGAUCCAUGUUUUUGUGUUUGUGUUUGUGUUUGUGUUUGUGUGUUAAACAAACCUACAUUGAUCGAAUGACACUUUUAAAGGUGACAAGGUGUGUGCUAAUUGGUGGGUGGACGUUGGAAUUUUUAUGGUACGAUUAUUAAAACUCAAAACAAAUCUCACAUGCGUCACAAACGGCGCCAUGUCACCAUGUUUUUCCAAAAAACAAUUCACAAAAAAAAUUAUUUAUGUAUUGACCGUUUAGGGCUAAAUCUCUUUCACUAAUAAGCCCAUCCCUUUAAUAUUUAUUAUAAAUAAAGGAAACAUUCAUGUAUAUGACAAUAUUACCCUCAACCAUUUAUACAUAAUUCUUAAUUGUAAUCCCAAUUUAAUUAAUUUUGACCACAAAAAUCCAAUUUUGACUUUUUUUCUUUUCAAAAACUUUUUUCUUCAAAAAAAUUUUUUUUGCCGCCGAAUUCCGGCGUUGACUUUUCGAUUUUUAUUUAUUUAUUUAUUUUCUGGUCUGUUUUUUCCGCCGCCGGAUUCCGGCGUUGCCUUUUUUUUUUUUUUUUUUUUUACGCCCGUCGCUAAACGUUGACCAUAAUUGUGCUGUCAUCAACGGUAAUUUUACUGUCACUAACAGUAAAUUAGCGUAAUCAUACUGUCACUCACAAUACAUUAACGUAAUUGUACUGCCGUUGACAAUACAUUUAUAUAAUCGUACUGCCGUUGACAGUACAAUUAGAGGCAAUGACAAUAUUAUUAUUUAUUUUUUUGUUAAUUGUUUUUAAUUUUGUUUGAUUUGUUGAUUUGUUGACAAGUCAACGCAAUUAUAUUACUGUCGUUGACAGUAAAAUAACUGUAAACACAAUAAUAUUAUUGUCAACCACAUCAAUAUUAUUAUUUUUUUGGGUUUUUUUGUUCUGUUUGAAUUAUUCACAGAGUAACGUAAUAAUAUUAUUGUAAUAUUACUGUGGUUGACGGUAAUAUUACUGUUGUUAUAGUAAUAUUACUGUCACUCACAAUAAUAUUCAUUCUUUUGGCUUUUUAUUAUGUUUACAUUUGUUGCACGGUCAACAUAUUAAUAUUACUCUAUUACACAAUAAUAAUGAGUUUUGUUGUGUUAAUAUUACUGUGCUAGAGAUUAAUAUAACAAUAUUAAUGUGUUAAACUCUAGUAUAGUUACUUUUAGUGUGUUUAACAGUAAUAUAGUUAAUAUUACUAUCAAUCACAACAAUAUUGAUAUUUAAACGGGGAAAAAAAGAUGUUAAAGAAAAAAAAAUCGAAAUAGUCAACGCCGGAAACCGGUGGCGGAAAAAUUUGAAAGGAAAAAAAAAAAAAAAAGUCAACGGUGGCGACGGACGAAAUUGUCCAUACAAAUGUGUUUUGGGUCAAAAUUGAAUAAUAUGUGAAUUUUGGGGUCAAAUUGAGGUUAGAUUAAAUUAAAGGAUGAAAUUUGAGCAUAUUAAAGUAUGAGAGGCUAUUUUAGUCUUUCACAAACAUCUGGACCAUGUGUGAACUUUUUUGUAAAAGAGUUUAUUAUAUGAAUCUAUUUAUAAAUAAGUACCCAUUGAUGGCCUUAUUUGUAAAGUGCCCUUAAAAAUAAAAUAUUUGAAAUGUCUUUAUUGCCGCAAAUCUCUUCAACAAAUUUUACCAUUUAAUGUCAAAUUAGGGGUGAAUUGCAUUUUCCACCCUAAAAAUAACACCAAUCGACGCCUUUUACAUUAUAAUUUUAAAGUUGGCGAAGUCCACCCUAAAAUUAGGGUUGGCACUGGGUUGGAUCGUUUAUUUACCGGUCUAAAAUUGACCCAUCCAACAAACCAAUUUGCUAAUCCUGACUUUUGAAAAAAUUAGAAACCAUCAACGACCAAUUAUAAACGUAUUGGUUUUAAAUUUCGACCCGCUCCAAUCGGUCGGUUAAAAAAAAUAUUAUCUACCUGACAAUAUAAUCGGUAAUGAAUCAGUUGUUUGGUAAAAACUAACUCAAUUCCAGUGCUACCUAAAAUGAUGUAUUUCAUGCACCCUAUAUCAUUUUCAUGUGAGAUGCUAAUAAAACAAACUCAACGUAUCAUGCUAUUUUAGAUUUUGAAGUUUCUUUCUUAUUGUCUUUUAUUUUUCUUUGUUUUAUAUUUUAAAUUAUUUUAUUAUAAAUAAAAAGAUUAAUGUGAGAGAUGAUUUUUUUAAAGUUUUUUUAUUACAGAUGAACAACUUUCUAGGAGAGAGCUGUGAAGUUAUUAGUAGGUAGUUAGAGCUUAGGCAGUAGUAGCCUAUCAAAAUUAAUUAUAUUUAAAAGAGUUUAAAUUCUAAACGGACGGUCCGUUAGAAUUGAAUAGUCGGCCUCCAUUCAUAGUACAACACGUGUAUAUUUUUUCUAAGAAAAUGACGUUCUCAAUUGAAUUUAAGCCUAAUACACCUUUAAAAUAUGAACUAAUUAACCACCUCAAAUGAGCCUUACUUAAUGUUUCCAUUAAAUAAUUAUUUUUCCAUAUACUAUUGUUAUAUUUUGUCACUAAAUAAUUAUUUUUCCAUAUACGUUUUAUAUUUUUUUUUUCUAUUUUAACUUGGCCAUUAAAAUUGAUUUGAACUAUUGAAGUUGUCAGGGAUAUUUUAAUAUCUCACUUUCAAUAUAUUCUGUUUUUUUUUUAGGAAAACAAAUAUUACUUAUAUGGAAGCACCUUAAUGUUAGAUAAUAAAAUAAUAUUUAAUAAUUUACACAAAAUAUAUUUAUUUAUAUUUUUCUUUAAAUUUCAAUAUUCCAUAGUAAAUUGAUGUAUGAUAUAAUAAUAUAUGAUAAAUAAAAAAAUAGCAUUUCAGACUAGAUUAUAAAGCAAAAAAACCUUUAUUUCAAUAGUAGGGAAAAAUGAAAAAAAUACAUAUAUACAAAUAGAAAUAUAUAAAAGAACAUACAAAAUAGUUAUGUAAUUGCAAAAUUAAAUGAUAUUGUCCAACCACUUCACUAAUUACUCCCUCCUUCCCACUUUAUUUGUCGUUUUGAGCUCAUGCACACAUAUUAAGAAAAUCAAUAAAUGUGCAUGGAUUCUACAAAAAUCAUAAUAAAAUGACUAAAAAAUCAGUCUUAUUUAUUGUUCCAUCAUUAAUUCUUUUAAUAGUAGUAAGGGUAAAUUUGAGAAAACACAAUAAAUUUGCCAUUGAAAUUGUAAAGUGACAAUUAUUUUGAAAUAAAAAAAAUAUCUCUAGAAAGACAAAUAAAAUGGGAAGGAGGGAGUAAUUUUUAUUGUCAAGGGUAGGCGACGAAUUUAAUGAAUGUAAUAAUUUAAUUUCCAUAAACACGUAUUUGAUAAUGAGUGGAAUCCGAUUUUCUUUCAUAAACGUUCUGUCAGGUCCAAAUGUGCACCCUAUUUAAAAUUCUCAAAAUUAUCAUUUCAUCAUUUUAAUUUUAUAAAAUAUUUUAAAAUUUCUAAAUUUUCAAUAACCAUACAUAUUUAUUUUUAAAGAAAAAUUAAAAAUAUAGUCUAACUUUACUUGAUUUGAUUUUUUAUUUAAGGAAGUGAGUAAUUUAAUAGGAAUUAGAUCGACUGAAUAAUAUAAUUAGGAUUUUUAAUUUAUUUUUUCUUUUUAAAGUAUAAGACGAUCUCCAAUUUUGAUUUCAAAAUUUUUAAAAUCUGAAUGUCAAUUCCAAUAUUUUUAUAAAAAUACAUUCAAAAAUUAUUUCACCUUUUUAAUUGAUAAUUUUUUAUGUUUCAUUUUUUUUUUUCUGAAGAGAUGUAGUUAAGAUAUUUAAAAUAACAUAAGCCAGACAAUCAUUGAUUAAACUAUUGAAAAAAAAAAGAAUAUGUAUUCUUAUAUAUAGUUUUUUUAUUAAAUAAAAAUCUUAUAUAUAUAUGGGGUAAUGGCAAAUAGGCCCAUGACAAGGGCAUUUAAUUAAAAGAGGGACAUCCAACUUUUUUGUCUUUCAAAUAAAUCCAGCACAUUCAAACUUAUUUGCAAAUAAGGAAAAUCCUUUUAUAUAUACCAAAAUUACCCCCAAUUCAUUGAACCCAAUUUAACUCUAAUUUCAUGAUUUACACCCCAAUUUAGCUCAAUUUCAUCACUUAACCAAUUUUAACCCUAAUUUCAAUUUUGACCAGCCACCACCGGAGACCGCCGGUCGCCGCCGUUGACCGGCGUUAACCGCCGCAGACCGUCGGUCUCCGGGCUGACUUUUUUUUUUUCUUUUAUUUUUUUUUUGAAAUUUUUUUUUUCCUGAAAUUUUUUUCCGGUCGGUCAACUGCCGUUGACCGCCGGGUCUCCGGCGUUGACUCUUUUUUUUUUUUUUUUUUUUUUUUUUAUAAUUUUGGUUUUUUCUUAAAAAUAAUAUUUUUAUUAAUAUUACUGUCUUGGCUGCUAAAUUACUGUCUCCAGCAGUUAUUUAACUGUUAAUUGACUCUUUUGUUUUUUUUUUUUCUUCAAAAAUAUUUUAAUUAAUAUUACUGUAUUCGUUGCUAAAUUACUGUCUCCAACAGUUAUUUAACUGUCGGAGAUAGUAAUUUAACUGUUAAUUGACUUUUUUAUUCUUAAAAAAAAUAUUUUUAAUUAAUAUUACUGUAUUCGUUGCUAAAUUACUGUCUCCGGCAGUUAUUUAACUGUCGGAGACAGUAAUUUAACUGUUAAUUGACCUUUUUUUUUUUUUUUUUUUCCUUAAAAAAAAUUAUUUUAAUUAAUAUUACUGCCUUGGAUGUUAAAUUACUGUCUCCAACAGUAAUUUAUCUGUCUUAGACAAUAAUAUUAGUAAUAUUACUGUUCGGAAAAAUAAUAUUCAUAAUAUUACUGUCCCAAACAGUAAUAUUACUGUCUGAGACAGUAAUUUAGUAGCCAAGACAGUAAUAUUAAUUAAAAUAUUUUUUUUCUAAGAAAAACAAUUCAAAAAAAAGAAAAAAAAGAAAAAAAAUCAACGCCGGAGACCGGCGGUUAACGCCAGAAUCUGGCCGGAAAAAAAACAUUUCAGAAAAAAAAUUAUUUUCUGAAAAAACAAAGUUUUGGGGGUUAAUGUGAUAUAUUUGUUUAAAUCCAGGGUCAAUGUGUAAUAUUAAGGGAGUUAGAGCAUAAUGGGUGGAAUUGAUAAGAAUUAUAUUAUUGAGGGUAUUUUAGACUAAAGACAUAGAGACUGUUUUUUUUGUGGGCCAAAAUGCAUUUAAGUCCCAUGUGAUGGGCCUUUUUGCCAUUUGCCCAUAUAUAUAUAUAUAUAUAUAUAUUUAAAUAUAUAUAUAUAUUGCACUAAAAAUAGAGUAUUUUUCUUCAUUUUUUCGGUUAAUGCAAAAGCUUUGAAUUUCAGCAUUCUUGGUUAUAAUGAAAAGGCACACUGAGAAAUUAAAGAGAAGUUUGAUCGAGAAAGAUAUAUGGGCAAACAAUGCAGGCUUCUUCUACUAGUUUUCAAUCAUUUCUGUAUCUUCAGCGAUUAUAAUUUCCAUGCGUGCGUAUCGUUUGAGCACGUUUCCAAAUCUAGAGAUAGCCUCAGUUUGCCUUUGCAAGACCUCCUGCAUCUGAGCUAGGCUUUGUUGGUGAAUUUUGGUUGAUCCUGGAAGAUAAAUUGAGCCACCAGUCGGGCCGCUGUUUGCAAGCGAGAUGGUGUCAGCAAAUACUCAACCCGUCUAUAAAGUUCCGCACCUCCUUUCAAAUGUCUUGUGAUUGCAGCUAAUUUCUCUGCUAAUUCUACUUCUACUUUCAUCAGACGUGAUCUGUUGGAUCAAUUUAACAAUAUAGAGUGAAAAUCACGCAGCGGAAUAACUUAAAAUAGAGAGGAGGAGUAGUGGAGAUGAGAUAAAAUAUAUUACUCACUCAAUCAACACAAAUAUAUAAACUCACUCAAGAAUACUCUUGUUUCUCUGUAGAAUAUUUCUUCUUGUUUUUUUUUUUGACAUGCUCCAAAUGAAAAACUAAAUAUACUAUUGAUGAUGCUAUUUACUUAGAUCACCUGGGGUAGUGUAGAAAAUGAACUGGGAGAGCAAAGCGGAUCAGUAGCUUGACAACUUGAUGAUCUUGAGGUACCUGCGAUCAUAGAACACGUAAACUAGGCCGGGGGUUGAUCCGGCGGAAACCCCUCCGACGCUCAAGUCAGACGUGCUGAUAGAGGAAAUAGUCCAGAGAAUACAGUUGUAGUAUUGCUCAGUUAAUAGGACGUACCUUAUGGAAUGAGUUCAAAUGUGUAUUUAUAGCUUAGUUGAGAUUGUCGGGCCCAAGCCUUGCUUGAAGGUGAUUGGGCAUCGGUGAUAGUGGUCUUCGAUAUUGGGCUCGUGGCCCAGUAGGUAAAUAAUUUGUAGGCCCAUUGGGUUGGGCCAAUUAUGCAUAUCAUUAAGCCCCCCACUCUCGAGUCGAUGUGGGGGCCAUGUUGAAAUGGGUGACAUAUCGUGUCCAGAGUAAAAAUUGUAGUAGUCGAUGGUGUGCGAUAACGCGUUGGAGCGUGUGUCGGAGGGGCGUGAAUGCGCAUUGGUGCAUAGCGCGACCAAGUUGUCGCGAUGUAAGUUAAUUGAGUCGUCGGUUUUGUCCCGCGACGAUGUAGUAGCGAAUUGUCUCCUCGUGGGAGUUGUCUCGUCGCGGGGUAAUAGUGUUGAUCGAGUUAUCUCCUCGUGGGAGUUGUCUCACGAUAAUGUAGUAGCACGGAUCAAGUAAUCUCCUCGUGGGAGUUGUCUCUGGGGUAAUAGAGUUGAUCGAGUUAUGUCCUCGUGGAAGUUGUCUCACGAUAAUGUAGUAGCACGGAGCUAGUAUUCUUCUCGUGGGAGUUGUUAUUUUUCGACAUUGUCAAUGUUUUGACGCGUUGCUUAUAUGUGUUUACAUAUAGCCUUGUGCGUGAUGUACUUGAGGAGGGGAUCAGACUCUCAAGAUUUUUUUUAUGGGGGUCGUGCCCCUUGUUAGACCUCGUGAGUCUUAAGUAUGUUUGGACCGUGGCCACGUUUUAAUGAAUGACCCAUCGAAAACAAGUAGAUAAAUUUGAGUAAUCAAGCUGGCCAGGCUAUAUAGAUUCUCAUAAUAUCUCUAAGUGCUUUUAGGGUUGUAAUUGUGCUAACUUGAGCUUGCGAUUAUAUAGUGAAUUUCGGGUGAGUUGUCUCGCGGUGAGUAAUAUUAUCGAGCGAGGUGGUUGCACGUGGGAGUUGCCUUGCAAUGGAUUUGUAGUGCCGAGCGAGUUGGCUCCUCGUGGGAGUUGCCUCGCUGCGGGUUGUGGUACCGAGCGAGUUGGCUCCUCGUGGGAGUUGCCUCGCUGCGGGUUGUGGUACCGAGCGAGUUGGCUCCUCGUGGGAGUUGCCUCGCUGCGGGUCGUAGGAUGGAGCGAGUGGUCUCCUCGUAGGAGUUAUCUCGCUGUGGGUUCGUAGACCCGAGGGAGUUGACUCCUCGUGGGAGUUGCCUCGCAACGGGUUAUAUGACUGAGCGAGUUAUCUCCUCGUGGGAGUUGUCUUGCUGCCGGUUGUAGUACCGAGCGAGUUGGCUCCUCGUGGGAGUUGUCUCGCUACGGGUUAUAGUACCGAGCGAGUUGGCUCCUCGUGGGAGUUGUCUCGCUGCGAAUUAUGGGACGGAGCGAGUGGUCUCCUCGUGGGAGUUAUCUCGCUGUGGUUAUGAGACCCGAGAGAGUUGGCUCCUCGUGGGAGUUAUCCCACUGUGGGUAUGAGACCCGUGGGAGUUGGCUUCUCGUGGUAGUUGUCUCGCUGCGGGUGGUAGUACUGAGCGAGUUGGCUCCUCGUGGGAGUUGUCUCGCAAGCCCCCCACUCUCGAGACGAUGCGGGAGCCACGUCGAAAAGGGUACCGGAUCGUGUCGAGAGUAGAUCGGUGUUGUAGUGUUUCUUUAUUCGUUGGCGUGGCGUGGAGAGAUAAUAUUUUUUUUUAUUUAUCCGUUUGAUAGCGAGCGCGAUUUGGUAGGCGCGUUGAAGAGCUCGCGCAAUUUGGUGGAGCGCGUUGAAAUUCUCGCGCGAUUUGGUGAAGCGAGGUGAAAUCUACGCGCAAUUUGGUGGAGAGUAGUAAAAGUUGCGCUCAAUUAGAUGGGAGCGCAAGCUCCAAGGAGGCCUUGGGAGGCGCGCGCGUGUGAGAUAUUUUUUUUUUUUUUUUUUUUCUCUUCUGACGCGCGCGUGCUGUGUACGCGCGCGCGUCAGGCGCGUGUUCGCCACGCGCGACUCGCCUCUUUUUUUUUUUUUUUUUUUUUCUGCAAACUCGCGCGUUCUGUGCACGCGCGCGCGUCAGGCACGUGUGCGCCACGCGCGCGUGCUGCACACGUGCGAGUUUUACCUUUUUUUUUUUUUUUUUUUUUUUUUUUUUUUUUUCUGGAUCUCGGGGCGCGCGCGCGCGCGGCGUCUUAGCCGGCUCGGGGCGCGCGGCUUGGCUAAAUUUUUUUUUUUUUUUUUUUAUCUCUUUCUUUUUUCUUCAACUUCUUCUUUUUUUCUUCUUCUUUCUUCUUCGAAUUCUUCUACUUUAAUCUGUUUUUUCUUCUUUUUGUUCUUGUAUUUUUUCAUCUUAUUUUUUCUUCUUCUUUCUUCUUCUCUUUUUUCAUCUUCUUCUUUUUUCUUCUAUUUUUUCAUCUUCUUCUUUUUUCUUUUUCUUUCUUCUUCUAUUUUUUCAUCUUCUUCUUUUUUCUUCUAUUUUUUCAUCUUCUUUUUUUUUUCUUUUUCUUUCUUCUUCUAUUUUUUCAUCUUCUUCUUUUUUCUUCAUCUUCUUUUGUGGUCUCGCGUGCGCGAUUUUACCCUUUUUUUUUUUUUUUUUUUUUGUGGUUGAUGUUCAACCCUUGGGAUGUUCUAUUUUUUGUGUAGGAAGAUUAUACUCGUCUCUUGCGUUGUGAUGUGAACCCACUUGGGGUUGAAAGGUAAGGGUGAUGCCCAACCUUGGGAUGAGUUAACCACCCACUGUAGGAUGAGGCGCUCGAGACCUAUGGUCUGAGGUGAAUGCAUACGGUUGUGUCGUUGCUUCAGUGACAACACGAGUUGAAGCUUUCGCGGUCGUAUGCUGAAGGUCUUUGUCGGUUAUCUGAACCGUUAGAGGAGCAAGUAGAAGUUGAUAUUGUUGAAGUUUCGGUGAUCAUACGCUGAAGGUCCUCUUCGGUUAUCUGAACCGUUCGAGGGGGGGCGGAAGUAGGCCCCCAGAGAGUCGAUGACCCAUGGCGAGCAAAAUAUUUUGGGGGCACUAUAAACCCCCCGGGAGUCGAUAACCCUUGGCGAACGAAAUAUUUUGGGGGCAGAUGUAAGCCCCCAGGGAGUCGAUAACCCUUGGCGAGCGAAGUAUUUUGGGGGCACUGUAUACCUCCAGGGAGUCGAUAACCCUUGGCGAGCGAGAUAUUUUGGGGGCAGAGGUAAGCCCCCAGGGAGUCGAUAACCCUUGGCGAGCGAAAUAUUUUGGGGGCAGAUGUAAGCUCCCAGGGAGUCGAUGGAGGUGGUGCCAUAGGUGGCUCCACAUGUGGAGCAGGUGCUGGUAUCGCGUUGGGAGCAUUUGCUCCCAUCGUGGCGAUAUAUUGGGUCACGGCCUCCGUGGCAGCGCGAGUUGAAGUUUCUGCUAUCAUGCGUUGAAGCGCAUCCUCGGUUAUUUGAACCAUUCGAGGAGCAGGGAGUGGUGGAUCGGCGAGUGGUGGGUCCCGGGGGGGAUCACCUGAACCUCGCGAGGUGGAUCUGCAGCACGUGGAGGAGCUGGCUCCGCGGCACGUGGAGGAAGUGGCUCCGCGGCACGUGGAGGAGGUGGCAUGCCAGAUCCUUUACGGACUGUGAGGUUAUUAGCUGUGUCAUUUUCUCUCCGAGCUGAUGCCUCAGGAGGAUCUUGAUUAGCUGUGUCAUUUUCUCUCCGAGCUGACGCCUCAGGAGGAUCUUGAUUAGCUGUGUCAUUUUCUCUCCGAGUUGACGCCUCAGGAGGAUCUUGUUGGCUACGUGAUCUGGUUUGCAUUGUUCCCACAGACGGCGCCAAAAUGAUGAUGCUAUUUACUUAGAUCACCUGGGGUAGUGUAGAAAAUGAACUGGGAGAGCAAAGCGGAUCAGUAGCUUGACAACUUGAUGAUCCUGAGGUACCUGCGAUCAUAGAACACGUAAACUAGGCCGGGGGUUGAUCCGGCGGAAACCCCUCCGACGCUCAAGUCAGACGUGCUGAUAGAGGAAAUAGUCCAGAGAAUACAGUUGUAGUAUUGCUCAGUUAAUAGGACGUACCUUAUGGAAUGAGUUCAAAUGUGUAUUUAUAGCUUAGUUGAGAUUGUCGGGCCCAAGCCUUGCUUGAAGGUGAUUGGGCAUCGGUGAUAGUGGUCUUCGAUAUUGGGCUCGUGGCCCAGUAGGUAAAUAAUUUGUAGGCCCAUUGGGUUGGGCCAAUUAUGCAUAUCAACUAUUUAUCGGAUUUUCCUAGCAUGUAUCUAAACAAAUACAUGAACACACAAUUAAUAAUAUUCUUCCUCCAUAGCGUUAUACAUGAAUCACUCCAAAAGACGCACUAAUGUAUUCUUCGACAUUUAUGAAUUGUAGAUAAUUCUAGAACCUUCAAUACCCUGAAUUUGAUUAAUGUAUCUAGCUUAUUCAUUUUCAACACGUCCCCCUAAGCUUGAUUCAUGCAUUCCAUGUUGACUCCAAAACUUCUCGAACAAUUCUCUCUUGAGGGUUUUCGUGAAGAUAUCGGCUAUUUGAUCUUCGGACUUCACGAACUUCACUUGAACUUCAUUCUUUGCAAUGCACUCUCGGAUGAGAUGAUAUCGAGUAUCCAUCUGUUUGCUUCGAUCAUGAAACACUGUGGAUUUUUCGCUAGUGCAGUCGUUGACUUGUUAUUGACAAAAACAUGUGUCGAAUCUUCGUGAACAAAAUGGAGCUCCUUUAAUAAGAUUCUUAGCCAUAUUGCAUGACAUACACUCGAUGUCACUGCCACAUACUCAUCUUCUACUUGAUCUUUUUCUGCCAAAGCAGAUUGCAUCUUGAUAGCUAAUAUCUCAUUCUGAUUCAUUAUCUUUUCAUUGUGCUUCAUUAACUUCUAGUUAUGAUUCACUAGCUUCUCAUCUUGUUCAGACAAAAUCUUGUUUUCAAUUACUGCAGUUGAUGCUAAUCUAUUAGCAUACGAAUUUUCGAUUUCAAGUUUCGUAUUGCGUACCUCUAGCUCCUUCUUUGACUUAGUUGCUUCAACUAAUCGUUUUCUUCGUUCUUCAACCUCUCUUGCUUGAGCUUGUAGAAGCAACAUAUCAUUUUAAUCAUUCACAUUCCUAGUUGGUGGAAUGAAGGCUCUUGGUUCAACAAUACGAGUGAUCACUUGUUGCAAUUUGACAUUGGUUUCUUGCAACUCCACACAUUCUAAGGUCUUUCACUUGAGUUGUUCCUUAAUCUUCCGAUUAUUAGCAUCUUUAACCUCAAGUUCAAGGGACUUCUGUUUUAACUGCUCCAUUAAUUCAGCUACUAGUGAGUCCUCCACUUUGUUACUUUCGUAAAUGUGGUUGCUUGUACUAGAAUUAAGAUAACACAAGCUAUCUUUUGCGUCUAUCGGUACCUCAUAUACCAAGAGGGAUAUCUCUGAAACUUCUUUUUCCAUUUCUUCAACAUAAUGAGUCUUUUCAUCAUUUGACUCAUUUCGACACUCCCAAGCAUAGUGUACUCUUCCACGACCUCUUGUUGGUCCAUUCUCUUGCUUGGUAUCAUCAUUGUUGUUCAAGAAUUGUCCUUCACGACCUCUGCCACGACCACGAACCCGUCCACGACAUCGGCCUCUACCUCUGCCACGAAAUCGAGCACCAUCAUAUUUUGGUUGGUCGGCAAGGUUCGUCUUUGCUUGAAGGGUUUGUUCUACUUCGAGCCCUUUGUUUCGCCUCUCGAUCUUCUCCUCAUGGACUUGUAACUUGCCAAAUAUCUCGUUCACUUUAAGACUCUCAACGUCGUUUGAUGCUUCAAUUCCCACGACAAUGUAGUCGAACCUAGGAUCAAGGGAUCGGAGUAUUUUUUUUUUACCACUCUUCUCUCUUCCAUUAUUUCACAAUUUCUCUGAAGUUGGUUAACGAUCCAAACCACCCUUAAGACGUAGUCGGAAACUUUUUCGGAGUCUUUCAUCUUCAAAGACUCGAACUCUCCACGAAGUGAUUGGAUUCGUACCUUCUUCACCUUAUCAAUGCCUUUGAAAGCAUCGCAAAGAUUAUCGCAUGGUUGCUUCGCCGUAGUAGCUUGAGAAAUUUUCUCAAAGUUACUAUCGUGUACACCGAGUUGGAUGAUGGAUAGCCCUCUUUGACCUUUCACCUUGGCUUCUUUGAAUGUCUUUCUUGGGCUUGGCUUAACGAAGCUAAAUUCUCCGAUUCAACAAACACACUCUUUUCACACACAUGCACUUUUCACACACACACACACACUUCACACACACUCUUUUCACACACCCACACACUCUUUUCACACAAACACGCUUUUCACACACACACACAGACUCUUUUCACACACACUUCACACACAUACACACACGCGCAUACACACACUUUUCUAACACACUUCAACACACUUUUCACACACACACACACACACACACACACACACACACACACACACACACUUCACACAAACUUCAACACACUUUUCACUCACACACACACAUUCGCGCACACACACACACACUCAACACACUUUUCACAUAGACGUAUAUCUAAUGUAUGUCUGUACUAAUAACUUGUCAUCACCAACCAAUUUAUGUAAACUUAGCCACAAAUUUUCUUUCACAUUGCACAUGAAUCGAUUCUUUAAAAAAAUGAAUAUCAAAUCUCAAGAUAGCAAAAUCAAUCAAAGAAUCAGAAUAUUAGCAAACCCUUAAUAUAAUUUCCAUAAUAAUAUACACAAGGCUGAGAUGUCGUCAGUUGACGGCGGUGGGGCGGUGGGGCGGUGGAGCGGUGGUGUUGACGGCGGCGUGCGGCCAGUGAAAGCGAGCAAUGGCGGAGUUGAGUGGAGAGGGCGAGUAGCAGAGUUGAGUGGAGAGGGAGAGCAGCAGAGUUGAGUGGAGAGGGCGAGCAGCAGAGUUGAGCGGUAGUGGGCCCUAUUGCCGGCGGCGUGCGGUGAACGGCGGCGAGCGGUGGUGGAGGUUGAAAGUGGCGACAGGGUUGGAAAAUAUAAGGGCUGGAAUUUGAGAAAUGCAAUUUAAUUUUGAUUUAGACUGUUUUGAUUUUGACUGAUAAAAAAAAUUACUCCCUCCUUCCCACUUUAAUUAAUGUUUAAGGAUUUUUCACACAGAUUAAGAAUCUCAUUAAUUAGUCUUUAAUUUGAGAAUAAAUUUCAAAAUUGCCCUUUUCUCUCUAACUAAUUAUUCAUUAAUUAUCACCUAGAUUAUCUCAAUACCUUUGACCCUUUAAUUUCUGCGGAGAUUUUUAACAAACAUAUCUCAUUACCUUUCUUUAAUAUCGUUACUUUCUCAUUAAGUGUUUCUUUAAAAAGAAAAAAUAACUGUACCAUUAAAGAGUUGGAAAAAUCAAUAGUAAGGGUAGGAAUGGAAAAUAAAAAAAAUAUUUGCUUUGGAAUUCUGAAACGUCAAAUAAAAUGGGAAUUUUUUUCAUGCCUAAAACGUCAAAUAAUUAGGGAAGGAGGGAGUAUAUUUUUUUGUUAUAGACUUUUAGUAUUUAAUUGGGUUUUAAUUAGAUCCAAUAUGGCACCCUUAAUUUUUUUUUUUUUUUUUUUUUUGACUUUCAAUAGAUCCUAAGUGGGUCUACAUGGAUCCAUUUUAAAAAAAAAAUUAAAUUUAAUCGGGUCCGAGUUUGUUAUAACUAGAUUUAAUCUAAACCGGAUCCAUGUGAUCGGAACCGAAUCUAAUUGCAUCCAUUGAACCGAAUCCAAAUUGCCACCCCUAACAAAAGAACUUUUAUGCUUCUUCCUCUUGUGUCUAUUAUGAGCUAUGAAGUUUUAAGGCACAAUUUCAUUUAAUAUAGACAAGUGAGACCUUUGAAACGACUCGUGUGGUGAAAGGAUAGGUCGAAAUUGGGCAAAAAAUAUUAAUUGUUGUUCCUAAAACCUAAAAUUGGGGGGUAUGUCGAAAAGUUUGCAGAAAUUUAAUUAAAAUCCUAUGAAGCAAUAUUGCAUGUUUAUGAUUUGUUACACUUCUAAUAUUUCCCUUUUACUAAUAGAAUUGAAUUAAUCUCAAUUCGGAUGCUUUCAUUUACUCGUCGCUCAAAUGCUAAUAUAGAAAAUUAUUCAAAAUCAUUGAGUCGGGAUAGAUACAACUUAAUUAAAACGACUAUUUAAUCCGUCUUAAUCUGAAUUGUUGAAUUAUUAUAAUAAUAAGAUUUUAAAAUAUUUGAAAGUUAAAAUAAUUGCAUUUAUUUACUUGCAAAUUUUAAAUAAUUGAUUUUUAUAUUUCUUGAAUUCUAAAGCAAAUAAAAUAUAAUAUAACAUAUUUGGGUCAAUUGUUUUAUUAACUAGUUGGUCAGAUUAAACGUGAUAGAGUUAAUAAAAACCGUCCGAUAUAUAUAGCCAAAAAAUUGAAAGUAGAUUAUUUUGGAACAUAAAAUAUAUCCAAUUAUGAGAUUUGUUUUUUUUUUUUUUUGUUUCUUUAUUUAUGAUCAUUUCUUAUAAAAAAUCAGAAAAUAUCAGUUUCGACAAAUUUAUGAAAGUCAAUGCAUGAAUGAACGAAAAAUAUUGAACAAUCCUGAAAACUUAUAUAAAUUAAAAACAACAACCAUAGGGAAGAGCAUUUAAUUUGUGUGUGGUUUUUUAGUACAUUUAUAUCAUAAUAUUACACUAAUUAAAACUUCUAAAACGGAUCAAAAUCACAUCCCCUGCUGGACCCUUGUCCACCACCACCAUGGUUCCGCAACAUAUAGUCAUUUAUAAAUUUCGUCAACCCACCAAGUUUUUCUUCCUCUUCCACUGUAGCAGAAGGAGGUGGCGGUAAGGGGACAUAAUAUCCCACUGUCGGCGUUGCCGUUGGUGGCGGUGGCGACUGCACCAUUUGAGCACCUUGCUGCUGCUGAUGGUGAACGAAGCCACUACUGCCACCAUCUAUGGUUCUAUCGCGCCUAACGAACUGUGGUAGCUGAUUCAUUGAGCCACGCUCGGGGUUCUGCUGGGCGCGGUGCUUGUUGAGGAAAAUGGUGAGGGGCUCCAAGUAGUCGUCAAAACCUAGCGUCGCCAUUGCCGCCAGCACAUCCUCCGGUGUGACGGUAUUUCGGUAGUCUCGGUGGCACCGCGCGUUUGCCUCGGCGGUGAUGAAUCUGAUGAACUCGGAGAUGCACUCCUCGAUGGCCUCCUUUGCAUUGUUAGCGAUUUUGGCGUUGGCGGGGAGGACGCGCCGCAUGAUGCGGGUGAUAUUGGCUAUCGACAUGUACUGGUUCGCGUCUCUUUUGAAAGCUUGUUGUUGCUGUUGGUUCACCUCUCCGUCGCCGGCGUUCAAUGGUGCAAGGUUAUAGACAGCAUUGGUGGUGGCGGUGGUUGCAGCAGCGGGAGCGCCCUCUUCCCUGAUGACAAUGCCUGAAAAGAUACAUAAAUAAAAUAUUAAAUUAUUAAGAGAUUAAAUGAACUUCUUGUCUCAUAAUCCUCUUUUCCAGACCAAUUGUAAUUUCAAUUAUGUAUAUAAUUUUAAAUAAAAUAUACGUAUAACAAUAUAAUAAUCACAUAAUAUACAGGAUGCAAUGCAAUUAAUAAAAAGAAAAAUUAAAAUAUAGGCAGAUUAUUAAACUAAUAAAACUUAAACUUGGUCAAAUAAAUAUGUAUAAAAUUGAGUGGCCAGUUUUUGUCAAGUGACGGUCAUGUUUUAUAUGACCAUCUUUUAUUUUCGUAAGCAUGUACAAAAAGCAGAGUAUUUAUAAUAUUGGUAUGAAGGUUCGAUUUUUUUUUCAAUAGCAAACAAUGAACUAAUGAUGUAAAAAGCAUGCACGAAAAUCUUACCUUUAUUGCACUAAUCUUGUACACACUGUGAUAGUGUUCUAUUACAUUUCAAGUUUUAUCAUGUUUUAUUUUAUUUAAUACAACACCAUAUAUGAAAUAUUGAUGAGGUCAUUAUUAUAUGAAUAUGACAUAUAUUGAUAAAUAAAAUAAAAUUAUAAUACUAAAAAUAAAAUAAAUAUCAUCACGUUGACUAUAGUCUGAUUGAAAUUGUAUCGAAUUAAUUGUCCUCUUUUCAUCACAACAUAUUUCAUCCACAUUAACUAGAACCCUUUUUUAUUAAUACAUAUGGAAUCACAGUUUGUUUUCAGAUAAAAUAUAACAGUACUCUUAAUCGUUAAAAACAUAUUUAUUGAAUGUAUACAAUGCAUUGGAUUGUAGUUCGAAAAAAAUAAGAGGAAGCAAUGAAAAUCGAAAUCUAGUUAGUACAUGAACAAAAUCAAAGUACUUCAUAUUAGCGUGUGUUCUAUGGUCGACAAAAAAAAUAACAUACCAUACAAAUUAAAAGACGUUACUCGUGAAAUAUAAAAGUAAUCAGAAUAUAAUGAUAUGCAAAAGUAACAAAAAAUGUUUUAUAUCCACUUCACGUAAGGAAAUCCAUGGAGCAUAAAAAAUAUUAUUGAACUUAAAUCGCACCAAAUUACCUAAUAGAAGAUCGAUUUGUGAGAAAAAAUUAAAAAAAUACAAUAAAAUUUAAAAGAAGUUACUCGUCAAACAUAAAGGAAAUCAUUGUAAAAUGAUAUACGAAGCGACAAAAAAAUACUUUUUAUCCAAUUCACACAAGGAGAUCCACUAAACAUUAAAGAGAUUUAUGAACUUAAAUCGCACCAAAUUCGCUAGUAGGAGAUUAAUUAUCCACAAAUUUAAUCUAGCGAAUUAACAUGUGUUUUUCAUUCCCUCAAAUGAGAGAUGUGGGAAGAAAAAAAAAACCCAAAUCUAUGCACAUUGUUCAUAUAGAUUUAGUCAUAAAAACCAAAUGCUAGGAAAUUGAGUGCAAUUUUUACCGGAUGUGCGUGCUCUUCUCGUGUGUUUAUGUUCUAUGUUUGAGCUUCUUCCUCUUUCCAUCGUCAAGUUUUACUUUUAAUACAAACUCUUGAUUGUUUUUAUGCUUCUUACACUUAUGUGUGUGAUGAGUUAUGAAGUUUUAAGGCACAUUUUAAUUUAAUAAAUAGACAAGUGAGACAUCUGAAACGAGUCUACAAGUGUGAAAUGUGGGUGGUGAAAUUUGUCAAAAUUGGGUAAAAAAUAUUAAUUGUUGUUCCUAAAACCUAAAACUGGGGCGUAUGUCGAAAAGUUUGCAGAACUUUAGUUUAAAUCCUAUGAAGCAAUAUCUAUAUGAUUUGUUACAGUUUUAAUUUUUCCUUUUUACUAAUAGGAUGAAAUUAAUUCCAUUCGGAUUCUUUCAUUUACUCGUCACUCAAAUGAUAAUAUAGAAAUUAUUCAAAAUUAUUGAGUCGAGAUAGACACAACUUAAUUACAACGACUAUUUAAUAUGUCUUAAAUAUGAAUUGUUUGUUAUAAUAAUAAUAUUUUCAAAUAUUUUAAAAGUUAAAAUAUUUUCAAAUAUUUUAAAGUUAAAAUAUUUGAAUUUUAUUUACUUGUCAGGUUUAUAUAAUUAUCUUUUUACUUUCUUGAUUUCUAAAACCAAAUAAAAUAUUAUAUAUAGUUUGGUCAUUGUUAUAUUAAAUGUGUCAAAUUAUACGAUAUAGAGUUAAUGAAAAUCGUCCAAUAUAUAUAGCAAAAAAAUCAAAGUUGAUUAUUUCGCCACAUAAAAGAUAUUCAAUAUCCAGAUUUUUCUUUUUUGUUCUUAUUUUCUGUCCAUUUUUUAUGGAUUAAUAUACAUGUCAAUUUGUACAAAAUUAUACCUACAAUUAUUUAUUUUAUGAUAAUCCCAUUUUAUUUUAAGGGAUUUUUGUGCAUAAGUCUCUAACCAAGCAUCUUUAUUAUUCUAGGUUUAGGAGUUAUAUCUCUCACCAAUAAGCUCAUCCCUUUAAUAUUUAUUAUAAAUAAAGGAAACAUUCAUAUAUAUCCCAAUAUUACCCUCAACCACUUAUACCCAAUUCUUAAUUGUAACCUCAAUUUAAUCAAUUUUGUCCACAAAAAUCCAAUUUUGACCACAAAUAUUCAAUUUUGACUUUUCAAAAUUCGAGCAUACUUAAUAUGCUCCAAAUUCAUCAUUAACUUAAUUUAGUCUCAAUUUGACCCCAAAUUUCACAAAUUAUUCAAUUUUGACCCAAAUUUUUUUCUUUUCUAUAAAAAAAGGUUUUUUUUCAAAAAAAAAAAAUUUAUGCCGCCGGUCUCCGGCGUUGACUUUUCAAUUUUUUUUUCUUCUUUCUUUCGGAUUUUUUCGCCGGUUUCCGGCAUUGACUUUUUUUAGUGGCUUUUUAAGUUUUUUUUUUUUUUUGGUUGUUUGUUUUUUUUUAUGUCCGCCGCUAAAUGUUGAUAGUAAUUGUGAUGUCACUGACAGUAAAUUAAGGUAAUUAUACUGUCAAUGACAGUUAAUUAACGUAAUUGUACUGCCGUUGGCAAUACAUAUAAGUAGGGAUAGCAACGGGUCGGUUCUGGGCCGGGUUUGCCUAAACCCAAGACCCGAUCCGCGAAAAAUAUAUAAACCCAAGACCCGCCCCAACCCAGACCCUAACUAAACGGUUCUGACCCGCCAGACCCGUUAGACCUGUUAACAUACAAAAAAUUUAAUAUUUUUUUAAUUUUCAUAACAUUUUGCUUGUAUAUUUUUACAAAAUAAGCUCAAUACUAAAAUACAAUAUUUUAAAAAAAUCUCUAGAAGUGAUAUAACAUGAUCAAUAAAAUUAGAAUUAAUUAUAUUUAACUUCGAUAAUAAGUAAAAUUCAAAAUGCAAGACAAUUAGGCGGUGGCCGACAAGUGAUAAAUAUUACUCACGAGAAAUGAGAUUCGAAAAAUAAAACAGUGAAAAUAGGUAAAUGAGAAUAGACAAGAUGGAAAUUGAUAGUUUGAUGAAUGAAAUCCGAAAUUUAUAUAUAUAUAUAUAUAUAUAUAUAUAUAUAUAUAUAUAUGCACACACGGAUCGGUUCUGGGUCGGUUCCAAUAAGACCCGUAACCCGACCCAGAACCAUCCGGUUCUAGAAACUUAAACCCAUUACCCGACCCAGAACCAUUUAGCUGACCCAGACCCGCCCAAAUGGGUCGGUUCUGGGUCCAAGACCCGCCAAACCCGUACCCAUUGCCAUCCCUACAUUUAUGUAUUUGUUAUGUCGUUGACAGUAAAUUAACGUAAUAUUAUUAUUUUUAUUUUUUGUUAUUUUUUUUAUUUAGUUUGAUUUGUUGACAAGUCAACGUAAUUAUAUUAUUGUCGUUGACAGUAAAAUAAUUGUAAACACAAUAAUAUUAGUGUCAACCACAUCAAUAUUAUUAUUUUUUUUGGGUUUUUUGUUUUGUUUGAGUUAUUCACGGAGUAACGUAAUAAUAUUACUGUCUAUUAUUAUAAUAUUACUGUAAACAUAAUAAUAUUACUGUGGUUGACGGUAAUAUUACUGUUGUUAUAGUAAUAUUGCUGUCAACCACAUCAAUAUUAUUAUUUUAUUUGGAAUUUUUUGUUUGUUUGAGUUAUUCACGGAGUAACGUAAUAAUAUUACUGUCUAUUAUUGUAAUAUUACUGUGGUUGACGGUAAUAUUACUGUCACUCACAGUAAUAUUAAUUCUUUUGGCUUUUUAUUAUGUUUACAUUUGUUGAACGGUCCACAUAGUAAUAUUAACCUAUUACACAAUAAUAAUGAGUUUUGUUGUGUUAAUAUUACUGUGCUAGAGAUUAAUAUAGCAAUAUUAGUGUGUUAAACUAUAGUUUAGUUAAUUUUACUGUGUUUGACAACUAUAUAGUUAGUAUUACUGUCAAUCACAGCAAUAUUGUUGUUUAAACGAAAAAAAAAUGUUACAGAAAGAAAGAAAUGAAAAAAAGAAAAAAGAAAAAAAAAUCGAAAAAGUCAACGCCGGAAACCGGCGAAAAAAAGCGGAAGAAAAAAAUUUGAAAAGUUAACGCCGGAAUCCAGUGGGAAAAAAAAAAUUGGGUCAAAAUUGAAUAAUUUGUGAAAUUUGGGGUCAAAUUGAGGUUAAAUAAAGUUAAGGAUGAAAUUGUAGCAUAUUAUAAAGUAUGAGGGGUUAUUUUAAUCCUUUACAAAAAUCUGGACCAUGUGUGGGCUUAUUGGUAAAGGAGUUUUUUAUCUGGAUCUCUUUAUGAAUAAGUACCCAUUGAUGGGCUUAUUUUAAUGAGAUGCUACUAGUUACUUAUUGCUCCAAUUAUGAACAAACUAAUCAUUUGUCAAAAUAUGUGAUAGUAAUGACUUAAUUAUGAAAACUCAUGUGAUCCAAAUUCAACAAUUUUUGAUAUGUCAACAAACCUUACCCGAGAAACAAUUAGGCAAAACAACAAAUAAAAGACAUUGUUCUAAAAGUUGAAGAUUUAAAUCGUGUUUAAAUUCUAAAAAUUCCGUGCAUGCAUGCUACGUUUCCUUCGAAAACUACGAUUACUACGUCAUAUCAGAGAUGUCGAAUUGUUUAAUUUUGAUUCAUGAUAUAAUAGUUGAAGGGUCCAUGUUAUGUGGUCCCACUCACGAUGAAGUUUAGUUAGGGUGGUGAGAAAUACGUAUUGAAUAACAUAGAUGUGCAAAUAUAAGAAAAUGCUAACGGUCACGUUUUGUUUGAAUUUAUCUAUUCCUUGUCAAUCAUAUCUAAUAUAUACUAGACCAUCAUAAAUUCACAAAAUUAUAUUAAGGGGAUAACUAUUAUACUUAUAAUUCAAUGUUUUUUUCUUUUUCUUUUUGGAAAAUAUAAUUGAAUGUUAAAUUUUGUAAAUUGCAGGGUAUAAGAGCAUUUGAUACUAAAAAUGGAUUUUAAAUCAAUGAGCUCGAGUGAAAAUCCACGGGAGGAAGGCAGCGGCAACGCCACUGAGCAGCCAUUGAUAAGUGUUCGCUUUGCACGAUUUUUACUUAUUGAAUCUUCGAGUUUUGGUCUUCGUUCAUCCAAGUUUCCGACCUUAUUUUUAUAUAUUAUAAUGUUAUUUUUUUGAUUUCAUUUUUAGGUGAAGAGAAGGUACUUUUGCCAAUUCGUAACGAUUUUGGAAGCGAAUCCGAGAAUCAAGCCAAACACGUGCAAAAGUGCAUUCUAUUGGAAUGUGACAAUGCUUGGUAUUUCACACAUAACUCCUCCAUACAACAUCCAAGUGAGCUGAUUCAAGUGGAGUUUAAGAGCCCACUGUCAGGGCUAAAACUUUCGUGAAAUGCAUUGUUGCAAUGUUUGGGAUGCAAAAGGGUCAAAAUAGUGAUUGAAGUUGAAGUAGAAGCCAGAUCGCGAUCGGUCAUUCCGGUCACUAUCUAAGGGUAAAAAGGAGAGGAUUCGGUAGCAGAUCCAGAUCGCGAUCCAAGAAUUACUGAUCGCCAUCAGAGGAUACAAAACGGAAAGUUUGAAUGCAGAACCAUAUUGCGAUCCACACUUUCUGGUCGUGAUCUAGUAAAACCUUGUAUAUAUUGAUUUUGAUUUCCAGCUCUGUUAUCUAUUUGUUGUACUUUGAUUAUGUUUAUGUUUUGUUAUUCGAAAUGAUUUCAAUUAUUUGGCCAACAGUUGAAUUAAUUGUAAAUGGAAAUGAACUCGUGAGAAUAUCUCUCAUUUGAUUUUAGGAGAACAUUGCUCGGGUUGUGGAAAGGGGGACGUAAUGCACCUCGGGUAGCCCUUAAGGACUUCUAAAUGCGAGGUUCUUAAUGGAGAUGUUGGACGUGUGGGUAGAUUAUAAGUACACUAGAGACGUUGGUUAGGGUAUUUUAGCAUAUGGGCUAGCAUCUAGAUUUGGAAUUAGAUAACGGAUUUGAAGAUCAUUAACGGGAGUGCAUUGGUGGAUUUUACCGUAGAAGUGUUCACACGUCGGAAUUCCCCGUUUAUCCUUGCGGAUCGUUCUUUUUAUUAUUGUUUCUUUUUAGCUUCAUUUCUCCCAUCAUGCCUCGAUCGUCUAGAUAAAGUUAAAUGAUGGUACAAAUACGGUACUUGGUAAAUUUAGGAACUUAAUUCCAUGUGGUUAGGUACAUGCUUUGAUUAGAUUUAUUUAAAGAGGAAUAAAUCUAAUCUGGCAACGUACGUUUUUCGUAAGCAAAUUCAUUUCUAUCUUCGGCAGACGAACUCCUUGCCCUAGAAAAUUGCAGAGCUAGAAAAAUAUAUAAUUCUAUCAACAAGGGUGUACAUGUUGUAGAAAAAUAUAUAACUCUAUCAUUUAAGAAGAAGAGGAGAAAAGAAAAUCUCGAUUAUUUUGCUCUAAAAACAGCCUACUCUGUUGUGUAGGAACAACUGGUUUUUGUCUUCAAUCAAGUAUCUUAUAUAUAAUGGGCUAGAAGGAUUUGUACUAUGAAAGGAAUGAAGAAACAAGAGGGCUCACAAUUUGAGUCUAAUUAGACUCCAUUUUUUUAUCAAGCACCCGAUCUUGUAAUUCUGAUAAGAGUUGUUGUAUCCAUACUACUUCACUAGCCAAAGAAGACAAUGCUCUGAUCGUGACUUGAUUUUUAGCUUUCCAAGAAAUCAAAGAGUCCCCUGCCCCGUUUGGUUGACAAGAUAAGAUUAGCCAAAAUAAGAUUAAAUAAUUUAAUGAGACCCAAUUAUUUUAUUGGAGGUUGAAAGGUCCAACAAAAAAAACUCAUUAAGAGGCAAGAUAAGCCAAGAUAAGGCAAGAUAAGCCAUGAUUAUUUAAUUUUGGCGGGUCGACCCGGCAAGUUAUUGAGGAUACCAAACAUCAAAUUAAGUCCAACUAUUUAGUUAAUCAUUGCUUAUCUUGGCAACCAAACGGGGCCUAAGAAGAUAGGAAAUAUGUGGUAAGCCUCUCGGUGUCUAAGCAACUUCCCCAGUCAGCGUCAUCAAAUGCUUUUAAUUGAAUGGUGGAAUGAGCAGAAAAGAAUAUGCCAAGAAAUUUGUUCAAGUAUCUCAAGAAUUGUUGUGCAGCUUGGAGGUGUUUAAUGGAUAGCUUAGUGACAAACCGACUGAGCUUAUGUACGUCGUAGGUGAUGAUGUCAUGUUUUGUUGUUGUAAGAUAAAGCAUUUGACCAAUGAGUAAUCUAUAGGAAGAAGUAUCUGUUGAAGGUGCUUCAUCAUCAACACUCAGCCUUAUGAUGGAAACCAUUGGGAUAUGAAAUUUGGAGCCAUUAUGUGAUCGCUGCUAGCUCUAUUGAUAGCAAUAAGAAUAGGCUUUUGUGGAACAAAUCCAAAACCAACUCGAGGACUUGAAUAGCAUGUCAUUUUUCUUUCAAUGUUAUUUCAGUAGUAUUGAGGCCAUGCACCUUUUCACCAACAACUUCGGCAGGAAGCCUUCCCAGUGUAGAAUCUUCAUGUGGGUUGUAACCGUCUUUCACUAAGAUUUUAUAAGCUUUUGGGCCAAAACGUCUUGUCAUUUGGGACUCGGUAAAUUCUCCGUUGAGUUCCUUACGUGGGACGAACAAAUCCUUUAGGUGCUUUAGAAGUUGAUCACUUCUCAUCAAUUGGUGUUCGGGCAACAUCAAAUCUUUCAAAGCCUCACACGCUAAAUGAGCUUUAUCUUGAUUAUUUCUUUGCUUUGGUUCUUCAACUAGUAGAAUGUCUUUGGCCUUUUACCGUCUUUUCAUCAUAAAGAUAGUACUUGGAUCGGCAAAAUGGGCUUCUUUCUCGGUGAACGAUUUAUCAUCAGCGAGUAUUGUUUUAACUACUCCGUGUCGACAAUACUUGAAACAUUGGUGCCAAGAAGAAGGAACCACACUAUUUUCAUGUAUCCAAGGCCGCCCGAGAAGCAUGCGAUAUGAAUUUCUUGCAUCAAUGACAUGAAACAAAGCGUUGGACAACAUAUCAUCACAUUAACAACUCUAUCCUUAUGCUACCAAGGGCCCUUUGUCCUUCUUGAUUAAAUCAUUGAAUCAUCAAGGACUAGUUUUGAGCUCGUCCGUGGAGAUCCCGACUUCCUUUAAGGUGUACAACGGCAAAAUAUUGACAGCCUUCAUCGAUUGAAAUUCUAUUCACCUUCUGCUCACGAGCGAAGCCGGCAACAAACAAUGGCCUAUUGUGUGGUUUGGAACCAAGAAGUAAAUCUUGAUCGGCGAAAGUCAUUGUUGACAUGCAUUUACCAAUCGCGGUACAAGCUUCACUUGGAGACGGAGCCGUUACACUAGCACCGAUCUCCUUUUAAGGGAAGAAUAUAAUAAUGCCACAAAAAAUUGUGUUAAUUAUGGGAAGGUCGUGUACUGUCAUCAAGUAAUGACGAUCAUGACAUUAGGAAUAGGAAUGAAUGGUUUUCUUCUGAGGAAGUUGAGAUAUAUAGGGUCGAUGGUUGGGUCGGGUUUGGGAAGUUCCUUAAUUUGUAGUUGCAGAGCCUGUACGUACUGCAAUGAGUCAAGUAUGUUCAAACCCUUAGACUGGAAAAUCAAAGCUCGAUGAGGUCUGUGAUUCUCUCGUGUCCCAUUAUUGAUACUGAUUCAGCCUCCUUGGCUAAUGAGAUUAUGCCGUCUUUUCCGCCGUCGUCGAUUCAUAUUUCUCUGUGUUGGUCAAGUGCAGGUUCUUCUUCCAUAAUCUAACCUCUCUUAAAUCUUUGUUAUACGAUAUAUUAACUUUAUUAUUUCAGAACUAUCUUUCGUUCGUUUGCAGGUGAUCUAUUUUUUAUUUAUGUUGCCUUUCGCGUUUAUUUACGUUAAUUUGAAAUUUCUUGCUUGCUUUCCAGUUUGUAUAACGUCGGAGUAUUUAUGAAUGUAAGGUUUGAUUCGGGUUUUCUGAUUACUGUGUUUCCUUGUCAGAAUGUUUGUGAAUCGUGUUUAAUUGUUGAUUGUGUUGCUGCACAAACGUUGUUGGUUAUUGUUGUGGCUAACUGUGAGCAAGUAACAUCUAUGUGCAAAUAAGUAAAUAUUUUAUUGACAGAAAAUGGAGUCGCAGAUAAAGCAUGCUAGUUAAAUGACUUCUAUUUUGGGGACCGGACUUAAAUGAUUCUAUCUGCACUUAUAGUUUUAUUUAUUAAUGGUUUUUCUUAUACUUGUUUCAAUUUUCUUAUAGACAAGAUAUUCAUUUAAGCCAAGUAAAAUGGCUAUCCUGUAACCAUUUUAACUAAAGAAUAUAUUUUCAUCUGUAUAAGCUAAGCAAUAAUAAAAUACAAUUUCUCCUCAAAACCUCAGCAAAUGAUGAUCCCAUAAUUAUAGAAUUAUUUGAUAUUAAAACCAAAUUCUUUCCCAAAUUAGCAAAUCUAUGAACAUACUUACUAGAAACAAAAUUGUCACAAAUGAAAACCAAGUAUAUUUGCAUAAGCAAGCACCAACAACAACAACAAAAAGUCCCAUUUUGUAUCACUUUGAAAACAUGUAAGAUGCAUCGAUAUUAUUUUUUCCAUCUAGCUAUAUGGCGAAGCUCCAAGAAAUGCUUCCAUGCUAGCCAAUUGAUGUUGAAGAAAUUUGUAUACAGAUUCGGUUGUGGUCGAUGCAAUUCUGAUCACCACUCCCGUACCCUGAACACGUUCAAUAUCAAUAUCAAAAAUCAAAAUCAAAAUCUAAAACAUCAACCAACAACCAAUAUUCGAACCAAAAGUAGAAAGAUGACGUGCCUGUGGCCCAAAAGUAGUGCAAGAAGCAAGAAAACUCGGUUUGGGCAAUUUACUGUCUGCAAAACCCGAGCCAAUUGUAGGCAUACGGAAUUGCCGAGACAUUAACUUCUUCACAUCUUCCUGGAUUUGGUUCUGAAUAGGCUUCAACUUUGGCCUAAAACACAAUGUGUAAGCUCUGAUAAAUCCGACUCUUACUUCUUAUUAAAAAGUAGAAAACCCGAAACAUCAAAUCAAAUAACGAAAAAAUAUAUUCUUGUUCCUACCCCCAAAGUACUAUCAUGGCUAUUGCUUGGUAGUCCUGCAGACGGUCCGCGAUACUGCUGUUACUUUCUUGCUCUAACAACAUCUGCCGUCAAAGUUGGAAACAUUCAAGAAAUGAUGGAUUCGAUAUUAAAAAAAAAGCAACAUAAAAAUGAUGGGUGAUAUAAAAAAAAGAAAGGAGAAAGUAAGUACGGUGUCAAGAAAUACGGGUUCGUUGUCGUCUAGAAGAAUGCGGUUAGUGGUCUUAAAAUGGGAAAAGGCCCAUUUCUCGCCAGAUUCGUGACGGCCGCUGGUUAUCCAGUCAACAAGAAGCAAGCUGGAUCCAGAUGCCAAUUUGAAAUUUUGAAUUUGGGAAUAUUUUGCAGUGGAAAAGCAAGUGACUGGAUCGGGAAUUACUACCAACAGUGCAUCUUGUCCGACGCUCGCCUACUGAAUCGCAAUAAGAUCAUUUGAUAAUUGAUAAUGUAUGUUGCAUUAGACAGACAAAUAUAACCGAAGAAGAAGACCUCUAAUGUUUGUUGAGAAGAUUUUGAUCCUAGAGAUUUGUAAACCUGCAUAUUAUUAUUUCCAAGUCCAACAUUAAAAAAAAAAAAAAAAGGUGAUUUUAGGCAGGCAGAGGAGAGAGAGAGUGGGAAUUAAUUGUUGCCUUGGUAGAAGAUUGAGUGGUGAAAACAGCAGUACAGCCAUCACCCACCGUAACGUCAAAAGCAAUGGAGUCCCCCUAAAAACAAAAAAUGAAAUGAAAUCAAAUUCAAUUCAAUCAAUCCCCCAAUUCAAUUAACUGGAAGAAAAUAAAAAGGCCAACAUACAGAGACGAUGCCUCCGCCGUAGGUGAUGGUGUAAAUCCACACAGCAUCAGCAGCAGCAGCAGCUCCCACCUGUGAUAAAAUUGAUUCUCUUAGCAAUAUAUAAAUCAUUGACAUAGGGAGGAAGAUUCGGUAACUCACCUUAUUAGGGACGAUGAAUUUCAAAGGGUACUUGCAAAAGCAUCUUGUCACCUUUGACUUCCCUCCUACCCUCUCCACAACCACCUUCCCUCUCUCCAUUCCUCCCUCCCAGGGGCGGUCCCAGGGUCUCGGAGGCCCGAGGCCCUCUUAAUUACCAACUUUAUUUUGACUUAUCAACUCAUUCCUCAACCAUAAUUCCACAACUUCAUUUUCAACAUAUUUUUGCAAGAUAAUUUACAGUUAAACCUCUAUAAAUUAAUACGGUCGUGACUAGGGAAAUUCUAUUAAUUUAGCGAAUUAUUAAAUUAUCGAGUUAAUAAUUUAACACGUUUUCACCGAGUCGGGACCGAAAGAAAAUAUUAUUUAAUCGAGGUUAUUAAUUUAUCGAGGUUCUACUGUAUUUAAACCUGAGAGCUCCGUUUGUGAUUUUUUUUAAUAUCCUAACUCAAACUUUUCUAUUGCUCAUUGUAUCGAUAGAUUAGUACUAACCUAAAAUUUAUCGAGGUUCUACUGUAUUUAAACCUAAGAGCUCCGUUUGUGAUUUUUUUUAAUAUCCUAACUCAAACUUUUCUAUUGCUCAUUGUAUCAAGUAAAAAAAAGUAUAGGAUUAGAAAUAAAAGAAUCAAGAUAAUCACUUAUAAACUUAAUUAAUUCUUAGCUUGUCAUUCAACAAAGAAGAAAAGAAAAAAGGAGGGAAAUUAAAAAUAGAAUUAGAAAGAAAAAAGAGGGAAAUUUUGAGAAAUUAAAAAAAAAAAAAAAAAAAAGAAAAAAAAGAGGGAAAUUAAAAAGAAAAAAAAAAGAGGGAAAUUAAAAAUAAAAUUAAACAAAACAAAGAGAGAGGGAAUGGUAAGCUUUUAACCUUUAGGUCACGGACUCGAACACGCGACAUACAAAAAUCUAUGAGUAAUACUUAGCCAACUAUGUUAAACAGAAUUCUUAGAAAAAUUUUGUAGCCUAGUAAAUAUAUACGCAUUUCAAAAAAUUGGAGGCCCUAAAUGUUUUCGAUUUUUCGGAGGCCCAAGGCGACGGCCUUGCUCGCCUUGGGCUUGGGCCGGCCCUGCUCCCUCCUUUCUCUCUCUCUCUCUCUCUCUCUCUCUCUUCUCUCUCUAUACUAGAUACAUACAGCAUCGGCUUCUUUUUUUUGGGACAAUCCUCCAACCGUUGACUGGUCCGAUCCGAUUCGACCAUAAAACUCGCAAAAGCCAAGAAAACGGGUGGAAUGAUUAUGGACCGGUCAAAUCACGGUUGAACGGGACAAAACCGGCUAUCAAACCCGGUUUAGGGCAACAACGGAAAUAUGUUCUUCUAAGGGUGGAGAGGCUGAGAGUGCUGCGGCUGAACCCAAUCUAUUGGGGUUUUGAUCAUAUCUUUAGUAAUUUAUGUGAAAACAAUACUGUAUUAUUUAUUAAUUUUGUUAAUUUUUAUUAUUGGUAUUUUUUUUUUAACUUAGCUUUUGUCAAUGUACUAACAGAUUUACUAUUUAAAAGCUAAUUUACAUAGUAGAUGAAAUUUUUACCGAUUGGGAAUUUAUUUCUCUAUUUUUAUUUUUAUUUCCAUAUACUUAUUUGAUAUUUGUAAUUUUUAAAAUUGAUGAUAUGAUCAUAUAAUAUUUAAGUAAGUAGGUGAUACCCCCUAAUUUUGAAAAUAUAUAUGAGGAGGUCUAAUAAUUUUUUCAACUAUAAUUAAAAACCAAAAUUCUAAUUUUAAUUUGUGAGACCUUCUUUAGCAACUUGAAAUACCUGUUAUUUAUCCUUUUAAUUUCAAUUCAAACCAUAAACACUUUGUCUUUUUUUUUUCUUUUUUACUCCCACAUCUAUCAGCCAAUAUCUCUCCCCUCUCUCUCCCUCUCUUCCUUCCUCUCUCUCUCUAUCCACAGCCCUCCGCGGCUCACCUUUGCUCCCCCACCGUCUCUGCGCCGCCCAUCGUCGAUGCUUCCCCCCACCUCCUUGCGCCGUUGCUCCCCCUAUCUCCUUGCGCCGCCGCAGCCACUGCUCCCCCACAUCCUUGCGUCGCUGCCGCUGCUUCCCACUGCCUUGCGCCGCCGGCCCUUUUCACGUGCUCGAAGCUAAUCGUUGCCUUGAAUCACCCGUCCAAAUUGAAUAGACUCGAUGAUGCCAAAAACAUGAUGGAUGAGGGUUUGUUUGUCUUAAAGACAUUUUAAAUCUCUUUCUACAUCCGUUUGAUAAAAUGGUUUCUACAUUAUUGUUUUAGUUUCUUCUCUUUCUUGGUUGAGGGAAGGGUUCAAACCAGAUCUACUAUUUCUUAUAUAAAAAAAGCACAAAAAAAAAAAAAAAAAAACCAGAUCUACUAUGUUUUUCAUGAUUUGUGAACAAUUAAUAUUAAAAUCUUUUUCUUUGGAUUAAUUUGAUUUUUUAUUUUGUUUGAUUCUUAUCUUGUUCAUUUUUGUUAUAAAUCGUAUGUAAUUUAUUUUUUGUAUUUAUUGAAGAUGAUCCGAAAUGCCUUAAGUGUGAGAACUUUGUUUGUCUGUAGUAGAAACUUAUUCAGUAGUUGUUACUUAGAUGGGUGAUUUUGGUCAGGUCAAUAUACAGUUUAUAUGUAGUCAUAUACUAUCAUAUGUAGUCAUGUAUAGUCAUGGCUACAUAUAACUAUAUAUGACUAUAGAACUUGUAGUAUAGUAUAGUCAUUUGUAGUCGAUUUCAGUACAGUAAAUUUUUCAUGUAAUCUAACUUGCAUGUUCCAUUCUGCUCUUUAACUUGUAUUUUUUUGUCGCCGAUUUGGCUUUUUGUAUAAUUUUAUGAGAUGCAGAGAAUAAGAUGCGGUAAAGUGCAUUGUGAAGUUGGAUUCAUGUUACAAUAGUCUAGACUUUAUGUCACUAUAUAUAACUAUAGAUAAUUAUAGAUAAGUAUGGUCACAUGUAGUAACAUAUGUAGUUAUAUGUAUGCUAUAGGUUUUUAAAUGUACAAUAAUGCUUGUUCAUGUUUGAAGAAUAUAUGCAUAUGAUUGUGUUUUUUCAUUUGUUAGUUGAUUUAUAAUACCAAGAUCCAAAUUGUGAAUUUUGUUGUUGCUUUAGAUGAAUUUUGGGUUAAAAAGACAGUACAUGACUACAUAUAAUACAUGACUAUUGAACUUGUAGUACACUGUAGUCGUGUAGUAUACUUCCAGUACAGUAAUUUUACCAAAAUUUGAAAUAAUAAAAAAAGUAAAAAAUUAAAAAAUUAAAAAAUUAAAAAAAAUAUAAAAUAAAGAAUAAAAAAAUGGAAAUAUUAAAAAACUAUAUUUUAUAAAAAAAUCAAUAAUAAUAAAAAAAUAUUACAAUAUAUAUAUAUAUAUAUAUAUAUAUAUAUAUAUAUAUAUAUAUAUAUAUAUAUAUAUAUAUAUAUAUAUAUAUAUAUAUAUAUAUAUAUAUAUAUAUGAAUUAAAAAAAUAUAUUAAAAUUAAAAAAAAUCAUGAUAUAUGCAGUACAAAAAUACUAAAUGCAUGUCCAAAAUGUUUUGAAUGCAGUUGGUGAAAAUGUUGAAUGCAGUUGGUGAAAAUGUUGAAUGCAGUUGGGCGAAAAUGGCACAUAAGGACACAAUAGUACUUUUGCCUCUCUAGGGGUAUCUCAAAAAAAGAAUUUUAGAGGUGAACACAUCACUAUAUAUUUUCCAUAUAAUGGGUGCAUAUCAAAUGGACCCAAUAUUUAAUUUUAUUUUCUCUAUUUUUUAAAUUUACUAUGGAAAAUUAAUGAAUUGAAUUUCAGGUCGAUAUUUAGUGAGAGGUGUAGUUUUGGAAUAUAUAAAUCAUAUAUCACUAUAUAUAAAAUUAUAUAUAAUUUAAAUUUAGUUAAUUUUUAGGGUAAAUUAAAAACACCCCUGAAGUAUGGUCAAUUUACAAAAAAAACCCCUUUUGUUUGGAUAAUUACAUCUACCCCCUCAACUAUAUUUUGUUUUACACAUCCACCCUUAUGGUGUCAAAUUCAACAUAAUCAUCUAGAUUUCAUGGAAUGUGCUCUAGUUUUUACUCGUUUUGUGUAAAAAUACAGUUUAUGAUGCACCACAAUCUGAUAUAUACAAGCCAAAAAACACAUAUUAUGAUUAUCUUGCUUCAAAAUGUAGAGUUCGAAUGGGAUAAAAGCGGGUACAAAGAGUGAUAAUAUUCCAUAUAAUCUCANNNNNNNNNNNNNNNNNNNNNNNNNNNNNNNNNNNNNNNNNNNNNNNNNNNNNNNNNNNNNNNNNNNNNNNNNNNNNNNNNNNNNNNNNNNNNNNNNNNNCUCUAACCGAUCCUCCGGCGGCCCUUGGUUAUCUAAGUUCUUCGAUUCGAAAAAAAAAAAAAAAAAAAAAAAAAAAAAAAUAGAAGAAGAAGAAGAAUAGAUUAUAAGGGAGAAAUAAGGACUAGUUGUUGAAUUGUGUUGAAAACUCGAGUCAUUGCCUCAAAGGCAAAAGUGUUGACGUGUGAAUUUUGGAGAAUCGAGUUUAUUUAAGUCCCUAGAGGUGAAUUCAUUGUUUCAAACGCCUAUCGUUAAAUUUUUGGCGUAAUCACCUCAAUUCAAGAAAAUUAGCCACACAUUCCCAUAUUACCUACCUCGGACCAAAGAGCCUAACAAUUGAAAGCCACAAAGUCCCAAUGAUCCCAAGAGCUUAUUGUUCAAUAUUAGUUGAGUAGAAUAAUUUGGUGAGUAUUUGGAGUCAAAUAUAUGCAUGUAAGUAUAAAUUCUUUCUAUCUUUAACUUGCAAAUAUUGGAUACUUGAAGCAAUUGUAUGAUUUGUGGUUUUUGGUAAUAGUGAGUGACUAAGUGCCGUUGAAUGUUAAGCUUGCGAAUACCUAUGAAUUGUCAUCAUAAUUGCAAGUUCUGAAAACGCGAAGUUGACCCAUCAAUCUAUGUAAUGAGAUGUAUGGUUUUGUUUUGUGUUCUUAAUUUGAUUUUACUUGAGGACAAGCAAUACCCCACAAAAUAGCAUAGGUCGGAUUUUCCAUCCAACUUAUCUCCCACUAGCCGCUUCACGUAAGCGGGACAACCCCAUAUCCUAAUAUGUUUAAACGUGGGUUUCUUGGAGUGCCAAAGUUCAUAAGGUGUGGAGUUAACUGCUUUGGUAUUAACCCUAUUCAGCAAAUACACGGCAGUUAGGAGUGCAUGACCCCACAGGUAUGCCGGUAGCUCGGUGAACCCCAUCAUAGAUCGAACCAUGUCUAACAGUGUUCGAUUCCGACGUUCGGAAACUCCAUUAAGUUGAGGAGUUCCAGGAGGAGUCCAUUGAGACAGAAUCCCAUUCUCUUUAAGAUAGUCUAUAAACUCAGUACUUAAGUAUUCGCCACCACGAUCGGAUCGUAGUUUCUUAAUACGUCUACCGAGUUGGUUUUCUACUUGGUGUCUAAAAUCUUUGAACCUUUCAAAAGUUUCAGACUUAUACUUCAUUAAGUACACGAAACCAUACCUAGAAUAAUCAUCGGUAAAGGUAACGAAGUAGUUAAAACCACCCCUAGCACUAACGCUUAGUGGACCACACACGUCUGAAUGGAUCAAAUCCAAAAGACCCUCGGCUCGUUCCAUCUUCCCUUUGAAGGGAGUCUUGGUCAUCUUUCCUUUAAGGCAGGAUACACAAGUUUGAAGUGAUUUAACGUCCUCCAAGGAGAACAUUCCUUCACUAACAAACUUGUUCAUCCUUCUCAAGAAAAUGUGACCUAGUCGAGCGUGCCAAAGUUGUGCGGGGUUAAGACUUAUAUCUUUUCGUUUUGCUGAUAUAACGUUAAUAGGUAUUUCACUUGGAUUCAUUUCAUAUAAGUUGUUUAUAAGUUGUCCCUUACAAAUCAUAUUUUGUUCCUUUUGUAUAAUGCAAAUCGAAUUUCCAAAAACAAAAGUAAAACCUUCAUUAUCCAAAACAGGAAUAGAAAUAAGGUUUCGAAUAAGUGACGGAACAAAUAAACAAUUGUUCAAAACAAUGGAAAAACUAGAAUCCAAAACAGAAAGAUAAAUUGUCCCAAUGGCUUCAGCAGCAACCCUUGCUCCGUUGCCCAUUCUUAGGUAGGUCUCACCCACAUUAAGCUUCCUACUUCUUGUCAUGAGCUGCAAAUCAUUACAAAGAUGUGAGCCACAACCAGUAUCCAAUACCCAAGCAGAAGAUUUAACGGACAAGUUAACUUCAACUAAAUACGUACCCUUUUCAGAACGUUUCUGAUCGAGGUAAGCCUUGCAGUUGCGUCGCCAAUGGCCCUUCUUUCCACAAUGAUGGCAAGCGUCAUCAACUUGCUUGGUGACCUUGUCAUUCUUUACUCCGCUCGACUCGCCCUUCUCAAGUUUCUUGCUCGGGCCGAAACUCCUUUCUUUCCUUUUCUUCUGCAAAGAACCUUUCUUCGCAGAAGGAGCAACUAGGAGAACAGAUUUCUCCUUCUUGAUCGUGGACUCAUAGCUGACCAACAUGUUCAACAACUCAUCCAAUGGUGGAUCGAGCUUGUUCAUGUUGAAGUUCACUAUGAACGAUUCAUAAGAACUAGGAAGGGACAGUAGGAUCAAAUCCACCGAGAGCUCGGCCGGGAGGGUGACAUCAAGGCUCACCAGCUUCUCAAGGAGAGUGAUCAUCUUGAGACCGUGCUCGUGGACCGAAGCCCCUUCACGCAGCCUCAUGGUGAUCAACUCCUUGGUAGCUGAGUACCUCGAUGCCCUAGUAUUCUCACUGUACAUGCUUUCAAGAUGAUGCUUGAUAUCAUAAGCAUGCACGUGAGACUCAUACUUCCUCGCGAGCUCUGGCACCAUGGAUGCUAGCAUGUAGCACCUCGCAUGGAGGUCGUCCUUCUUCCAUGCCUCGAAAGUGGCAGUCUCGUCAGCAGUAGCAGUCGCAGGAAGAGCAGCGGGGGGACGUUCAUUGAGCACAUAGAGACGCUCCUCGACUUGGAGCACAAGUUUCAGAUUGCGAAGCCAAUCCAAAUAGUUUGGACCGGUGAGUUUGUUUUGGUCGAGGAUUGAGGAAAGGGGAUGUUUGGACAUUGUUGCUGAGAAAAUUUUAAGAAGACAAUAAUUAGAGUUUAGUUCGUAAUAAUCGUUACAAUUAAAAUUUUGGACUUUUAUGUUUUAAUUGUUCUCCCACUAAUUUUAUCGAAUUCCACCACCCUCUAGCAGACAAUCGAGAAAACUUAUUUUUCUUUAAUGGGCUUUAGGUCCAAUAGCGCUAAUGUAACCCGUAGUUAAUCUAUCCCGAUUACAAAAGCCUAAAGGUAGAGUACUAUCAAUCACAUCACUAUGUGACCCUAAAGAUCGAUUUACCUCACACUUGAUAAUGACCUAAGUUAAUCUAGCGAAUAUCAAAAUCUUCGUGUGUCAAGUCUAGCCUACCAAUAUGAGAUGUCAUAGAUCCAACUAUAUCAAACUAAUGCAAUCCCUAGUUAAUCUAGCCGACCACAUUAAUCCAACAUAAUUUUAUCUAUGACCGUAUCUCCAUCUAAUGUCAAUUAAAUUACAGCUUAUCCCACAAUAGCACUCCCCGCUAACACGGCUUACUGCACUAUCAUGAGAGGCUACACAUAAUUUAAUUGUUGGUAGAAGGAAAGAAAAAUUCAACAAUUUGGUUUUUCUUUAUAGCUUGAUAAUUAUUCUUAAUUAAGAAUGAGGGAUUUUAUUUAUUAAAUCUUAUUAGCUCAUCGGAAGUUUUAGGUUAUGAUCGUUUGUGAUUCCUACAACUAUGUUCUCUAGGUAUGUGGAAACGCAUAUUGAUCCUAAGAGAGACAUACGAUCAUCAUCGUACUUAAUCACAAUUAUUCAUCUCAUGAAUUAAUUAAUUAAUACGAUAAAUUGCAAAUAUAAUUAACGGACCUCCUUCAUUCAUAAAUCAUUCAAAUAAGAAUGAAGCCCAUUAAUUAUUUGCCAUCUAAUUUGUGUUCCAUUAAUUAAACUAAUUUAACAAUUAAAUUAAAUAAUUAAUCCAACACUAUUCCUUGAAUUCAAAUUAAAUUAAUGGAUCAAUUAUCUAAUUGGGUUUAAUUGAUAAAUAAUUUCAAAUUAAAAUCAAUUAAUUUUAAUAUUAAUCUCAGAAAUCAAUAAUUUUUUUUUUGUUUNNNNNNNNNNNNNNNNNNNNNNNNNNNNNNNNNNNNNNNNNNNNNNNNNNNNNNNNNNNNNNNNNNNNNNNNNNNNNNNNNNNNNNNNNNNNNNNNNNNNCUAAUAAUAAUAAUAAUAAUAAUAAUAAUAAUAAUAAUAAUAAUAAUAAUAAUAAUAAUAAUAAUAAUAAUAAUAAUAAUAAUAAUAAUAAUAAUAAUAAUAAUAAUAAUAAUAAUAAUAAUAAUAAUAAUAAUAAUAAUAAUAAUAACUAUCAAGGGAUUUAGUUCUUAACCAGUCAUGGAGGCAAGUCCUAUACUAAAAACAUGGCAAAAUCCCUGCCUGUUUUUAAUCCAAACCAUACCAGACAUCAUAAUUUUUGUCCAUCGUACUUUUUUUUGUUUUUUGGUGAGAACCAUAAACAAAUAUCCUGAAGACUGUACAUGGAUGUUUUUACAGAGUUAAAAACUGUCAAGGGAUUUAGUUCUUAACCAGUCAUGGAGGCAAGCCCUAAAAACACCAAAAACAUGGCAACAGAGUGGGCGAAUCCAGACUUCGGUGUUAAACCUAAUCCCUGCUUGUUUUUAAUCCAAACCAUACCAGACAACAUAAUUUUUGUCCAUGGUUCUUUUUUUUUUUAAGCCAUGCUAUCAGAUCUUAGUAUCAUGAUAUUAUUCAACAAAACUUAUGAUUUUGAUAUAAUUUAUAAAAAAAGGAACUGAAAAUAAUCUUCCUAACUUUUUAACCCGUGAAUAUUUACAAUAAUGAAUGACUUUGAUCAAAGAUGGGUAACCAUGAUGCAUUCCUAUGGCAUGUCUAUUUACAGGGAGCGAGAUAAUAUUCUCGAAAGGCUUGAUUGGCAAAUGGACUAUAGAUAAAGGGGUAUUUUCCAUGGGUUUGCCUUGGUAUCGUGUUCAUACCGUUGUAUUGAAUGAUCCCGACCGGUUUUUUUCCGUUCAUAUAAUGCAUACAACUUUGGUUGCUUGUUGGGCGAGCUCGAUGGCUCUGUAUGAAUUAGCAGUUUUUGAUCCUUCUGACCCUGUUCUUGAUCCAAUGUGGAGACAUAGUCCAUUUGCCAAUCAAGCCUUUCGAGAAUAAUAUCUCGCUCCCUGUAAAUAGACAUGCCAUAGGAAUGCAUCAUGGUUACCCAUCUUUGAUCAAAGUCUUUCAUUAUUGUAAAUAUUCACGGGUUAAAAAGUCAUGAAGAUUAUUUUCAGUUCUUUUUUUUUAUAAAUUAUAUCAAAAUCAAAAGGGGCUAAUUGGGCUUGCCACCUUGCAAACAUUUGUUUGGAAACAUCAUGUUUAAAAUCUUUUUUAAACAUAUAUUUUGCUGCUUGGCAGUCAGUCUUAAUUAUAAAUUUCUGAUUAUAUAAAUCAUCUUGAAAUUUUAAAACACACUUAAGAAUAGCUAAAAUUUCCUUAGCUAUAGUAGCAUAUUUCUUCUAACUAUUAUUCCAUUUUCCUGAAUGGAAUCUAACAAGAUAUUCGUGUUUAUUAUUUGGAGAAACGUGUUUAAGGAUACCUCUGUAACCUACUUCUGAGGCAUCAGUCUCGAUAAUCUUUUCCCAAUUUGGGUUAGCUAACAUGAGACAAGGAAGAUUAGUGACUUUGUUCUUAAUUUUCUGAACAACAUGGGUAUGAUUCUCAGUCCAAGGUUUUGGAUAUAGAAUAGCAGUAUCCUGAGCAAGAUUUUUAAUAUAGGGGAUAUAUAAUUUAAACUACCUAAAAAUCUUUGAAGCUGAGUUUUAUCAGUCAGCUGGUCAGGGAAUUUAGAGGCAAAUUCAAUACUCUAUCAAUAGGGAUAAUUUUCCCUUUUUCAAUAUUAUGACCGAGAAAUCUCACUUGUGUUUGAAAAAGUUGCAUUUUAGGUUUAGAUAUAACUAAACCAUUUUGAGUAACAAUUUUCUUGAAAAUGUCCAAGUGUUUAAAAUGGGUUUCAAUAUUUUGAUAAACAAUGAUAAAAUCACUAUAAGGAUUAAAAAUAUCAUUCAUAAUAUUUUGAAAUUCUGAAGGAGCAUUCUUCAGACCAAAAGGCAUAACUUUCCAUUCAUAUUGACCAAAUGGAACAUUAAAAGUUGUUAUAUAAAUAUUUUUUCAUGAAUUUGGAUUUGCCAAUAUCCAUAUUUUAAAUCAAAUUUUGAAAAAAUCAAGGCAUCAUGAAGCCUAUCAAUUAAAUCCUUCUUAUUAGGGAUUGGGUAUCUAAUCCAUUUUAAAGCAGCAUUCAAAGGUUUAUAGUUAAUGACUAACCUGGGAACACCUCUUUCUUGCUCAGCAUGUUUAUGAACAUAGAAAGCUGUGCAAGACCAUGGAGAUUUGGAGGGUCUUAUUAACCCUUUAUUUUGCAAAGUUUCAAUCUCUUUUUUGCAUAGCUCAAGAUAAUCCUUAUUCAUUUGACAAGGUCUGGCUUUAGUCGGUAUUUUUUUCUCAUCAAAAUUAUUCUCAUAAGGAAGUGAGAUAAUAUGUUUUUUCCUAUCCCAAAAAGCAUUUGGAUGAUCAUUACAGAUUUGUAAAGAAAACUGAUUAUUAUGAAGUUUUAUCUUAUACUGUAAUUUAGGAUUUUGAAGAGUUUCAUCAACAUUUAAAAUACUUAUCUCUUGUUUAAGAAAAUUAAUUUGGUUUUCUUUAUUCUUUAUAAAAGAAUCUUUUAUUUGAUUAAGAAUUCUAGUAAAUGGUUACGUAAUGAAAUGAAAAUUCAUUUCUUUGCCAUCAAAGGUUCCUACAAAACCUUGUUCAUCAAUUCUUUUAAUUUGAAAUAUUUUCUUUAAAAAAGGGGUUCCAAGUAUAACUUGGUUAGUGAUAUUUUUGACUAGUAAAAAACUAGUGGGGAUGCAAACUUUAUUCUUGCAAAUAAACGCUUUUGGAAUCUUAAAAUUAUUUUCCAUGUUCUGACUGUUGGGUGCUAAAUACCUAACACGCAAGUGCACGUAUCGCAAACAAGUAGUAAAAGUGGACUCGUGAGAGUCGGAUGUCGAUCCCACAGGGAAUACUCAAAUUAUCUAAUCCUAAGUACCAAAUUCUAACAACUAUGAUUUUUAUCCAGCCUACGCAAGUUUGUCGAAUUAAAUAAAUUAAAAUAAUUAAGAAAGCAAAGAAUUACGAGAAAAUAUCAAUAUAAAACGGAUCUAGGAUUUUAUCUUCCCCCUAUGCAAGAACUGCUCACCCAAAACCCCUCAAUUAUGAAAUAUAUGAUUCAUGAUUAUUAACCCGAGACACUAAUUUACUCAUAACCCGCUGUCGCGUGUAUUAUGAGUGUAUUAUUCAUAAACGGUUCACUAUAUGUCUAUGCAAACAAAUUAUGAAUAAAGCAUUAACUAACAAGUCUCGUAAUUGGCUACCUAAGGUGAUAUCUGUAUGUCUACGACACCACAUGCAAUUGACACACUCAUCCGGUGAAAACUACUCGAAGGUUCUUACACUUACCGUCUAAUUAUCAAAAUAGCUCUUUCGAUUCAAUCCCAAUAAUCACAGAUAAAACACAUAAAUUGAUCAAGUUCAUGCACUAACAAUCAUAACAAGUAUAAAAAAUAAUCAUAAAAUCAUAAUUGCAUAAUCUCAAGAAAACGGGUUCACCAUCCCCACAUAGGGUUCCAACAAAAUCCUAGAUUAAAAACUUAGCUACUCAUAACGAAAAACAUAAUAAAAGUAAUAAAAUUCAUAGCUUAAGAAAAGAUAGGUGAAAGAAGAAUUAUGAUGAAGAUUCGUCAGGUCUUUGUCUUCGUUUCUUCGUUCUCCCGCUCCUCUCGCUCCAAGGUUGUGUCGAAAGUCGUGUCAAAAGUUUUUUAAUUCGUGCUUGGUUUGCCCUUAAAUAGAUGUCCCAACUUCUUAGAUGAUUCUAGGUUUCCUUGUGUGAUUAAAAGUCCAAAAUUGUCUCCAGCGUGUUUUGGCACGGCCGCGCAAAAAUCAGUGCAAUUCUCACACGGCCGCGCGAGAAUCGCCGAAACCUUCUGCCCAAGUUCUGCAGUUGGCACGGCCGUCCCAGUUUUAAGUGUAAAUCUGGGACGGCCGUCCCGUGCUAAUUUCUUCAGAUUUUUGAUUAUUUCCCUUUUCGCCCAUAUUUUCUCCAAAAUUGCAGUUUUGACCCAAACUUUUCCAAUUCUUCAAUUUGUACCUAAAAUACAAUAAAUCAACUUUUUAAACACCAAUUAUCGUUAAAUCACACCAAGAGCUCAAAUAAAAAGAUACGAUAAAGUGUAAAAAUAUACACUUAACACACCCCCAAACUUGAUCUUUUGUUUGUCCUCAAGCAAAAACAAGCAACUUUCACAGCAAUACUCUCAACAACUGCCUCUCAUCACAUAGAUUAAUGGUCAACUUUCAUUUUUUUCAGAACUUGCAAUUAUCAUGACAAUUCUCAAAAAUUUACAAGCUCGUACUUCAAAGAUACAUAUUCAGUUACCCUUGCCAAAAACCACAAACCAUGCUAUCGCUUCAAGUAUCCCAUAUUUGUAAAUUAAAAGUGGAGAAAAUUUAUACUUAAAUAAUAAUAUUCAACUCCAAAGACUUACCAAAUUUCUCUACUCGGCUAGUAUCAAAUAAUUGAGCUAUUAGGAUCAUUGGGACUUUUUGUCUUUCAAAUGUUGGGCUUUUGGUACAAGGUAGAAAAUAUGGGUAAAAGUGGCUACUCUUCUCCUUUCAUCUAACAAUUAGUCACUAAGAGUUGCUCUUGACGGAAUUUUUAACUCUCGUUCUUGACUAGAGGUGUUUUUGCUAAGAUUUAUCUUUUGGACUUAUUUCUUCACCUCGAAGGACUUAAUACCUAACUCGAUUCGUUUAAGAGUUCAAAAGUCUCCAUUGAGAGUAAAAUAUACACUCAACACUGACCAUUUGCAGAACUUAAUGAAUGAGUUGUUUUAUGAAAGUAUUUUGUAGGAAUGAUUCCUUCCUGUAUGCUAUUUAAAUUUGCACCACUAUCAACAAGUGCUAUAAAAUCUUUUUUAUAAUUAUGAUCAAUAAGAAGAGAGAUUUUUAUAAACCAUUUCUGAGAAGUUACCAUUUCUAAAGUUCCUAAGAAAACUAUCAUCCUCAGGAAGAGUAUUUUGGUAAUAAAAAUUAAUAAGGGGUCGUUUUCCUUUAUUAAAACAUUCCAAUUUAUAAACUCUUUCUUCAAGGUUUCCAUUAAAACUUUUCAAGCUUUUGAUCUCAUUUUUGAGAUUAGAAAUCUCAAUUAUUAAAUCAUUAGCAUUAGUUGGGGUUUUAUCAACUUGCUUUUGUUUUAACAUUCUUUUUACUGCAGCCAUAAUAUAUGGAUCUGAAGAGUUUUGAAUAAAAUCAUCAGGUUUGCUUGGGGGAUCUUUUUCUCCUAAAAGAUCAAGAAUUUUCGAUCGAAUUUCAGGAUCUUUAACAGAUCUUAAAAUCUCUAUGAGAUUAUCAUUAUUAAAAACAUUAAAAACAGGGGGCGCAUUGGCUCUCUUUUGUUCCUUUCUAAAUUCUCUUUUUUCUUGUCUUUUCUUAUGUUUCCUUUUAAAAAACUCAUGAGAUUUAUCGCUUUUCUUGUGCUUCUUAGCCUUGCUAUUAUCCUGGCUAGUAGAUGGAUUUUUUUAUUCCUAACUGGUCACAAAAUUGACCUAGUUGUUUCUUCUCAUUAAGAUUCUGCUUCUUAAUUUGCUGGCUUAAUUUUAUCUCAUUACAAAAAGACAAUCCUUCCUGAAUGCAAGUUCCUAUUAACUUACCAUAAGUAUAAUUAUCAUAAUUUAUAUUAACAUCUCCUUUUCCAAGGUUUUUUCUAACCAUUUCAGCAAAUAAGGGAGGUAAUCCAUCAAUCAAUUUGGAUUUCCAGUGAGGAUUAUUAGACUCAGGAAGUUCCAUAACCCUACUAAGAAAAGUAUCUUUGUACCACCUAAAAGAUGUAAUGGUACGACAUCGUAAAUUAUGGAGUAAAGUCCUAAGAUUAUCACUAUUAUCAGACCAUCUUCCAGUACAAUGUUCAAUAACAUUAAUAAUUAAAGUAUAGACAGAAUUUUCAACCUGUGAUCGACCAUUUUCAUCUUUAAUCAUAUUUAAGAUAUCAUUUUUAUUAUUCAGGGUAAGAUAAUUAUCCCACCAACCUUUAAGUUGUCCGGCGAAACCCCCUAUAAUCAUAUUAGCUAUAGCUCUAUCAGAAUUACCAGUGUUCUUGCAUAUAGUACUAUACAUGAGCAUCCUAUGGACAACAUUAUAAAUAUGUCUCUCAGUAAAACCAUCAAUAUUCCAUUCAUAAAUAUUUUUACCACUAUAGGAAUUAUUAACAAUAUACUCUUGUUCUUCAAAAAGAACAUCCUGGGGAGUAGGCCUAGGAUAAUAAUACAUCCUUUGGGUAGGCUUAUCAGCAUAUUUUGAGAGUUUAUUAAUCUUUUUUCGGAUAGUAUUUUGAUAAUUAUCAUUAUGACUCAUAUCGCUUUCAAACCCAUUAUUAAGAGUUUUAAUAGAAAGAUUCUUGAAUUUUUCAUCAAGCAUUUUUUCAAGCUCAGACAUCGAUUUUAAUUUAAAAUCAUUAACAUCUGGAGGAGGUUGGAUACUAGGAGUAGCAAUGCUUUCUUGAUUAAAAGUCUUAUUAAUAUGAAAUGAACUUUUGAGUUCAUUUAUGCUAGAAAUAAUUUUUUCUACCCUAUCAUGUAAAGACACAAUUUGUUCUACAAGAACAAUUAAAUAAAUAUUACUAAAUUUUUUUUAUUUUAUUAAACCAUUAAUAUGAGCAGUAGUAAUGGGUAGGACUUCACUAUCAAGAAGUUUUUGGAAAGUAGUAUAAUACCUAGUUUCAGUAUUUUUUCAAUUUGAAAAGAUUGAGAAGGAGGGAAAAUUGUUUUUAAAACCUUUCCCUUUUGAGAAUACUUAUAUUCUCUUUCAAUAACAAAAAUACAAUUUUCAGAAUAAUUGGUUAUAAACCAUGGGACAAAAGAUAUUUGAAUAAUUUUUUUCGAAAGAUCAUUAUAAAAUUCUUGAAAUAUUUUUCUAUCUUCUUUUGUAAAAUUUUCAAAAAACCAUUUUUUGAAUGGUUCCCAUCUGGGAAGAUUGAAUUCUUGCUGAAUAAGUUUUCUUGUCGGUGAUCCCGGGCUAAAAUCAAUUUUUGAUUUAAAAUCCAUUAAACAGAAAAAUUCAUUUCGGAUGCAGUCAUGUCUGCUUCAACUCUAUAAACACCCCUUACAAUAUUGUCAGGAUGAAUUCUUAAUUCCUCAACUGUAUCGAGAAGAGCAUCAUCAGAAGAUUUUUCUGUUUCUGUGAUUUGAGAAGUGGAACACCUAGAAGGGGACUUAACCUCAUAAUCGAGAGGAGAUAUAUGAUAAUAAGAAGAACUGGAUCUAGAAAGAUGUGAUCUAGAUUUUUGCCCUACAGAAUAUCUAGAUUUAUCAAAAUUGAUGACAACGUUUCCCUCAGGAGUUUGCACUAUAUUAGUAGCUUUAUCCUGAGUAUUAGGAAGAGCAGGAACAUUUUUUUCUAUGAUCCAAUUUUCUGGGAAUGUUAUUGUUGGAGUAGGUGACCAACAAGUCAACUUGUGGCUGUGGUCUUUCCUUUUAUCUUGUAAUAAAACAAUCGUUUUUCGUUCGUAAUAAUAAAACAUUUCAUUUGGCAUUCUAUAUCUCUUAUCCCAUGCAAGUAGAAUAGAUAUAGUCCUAACGAGUUACUCUAUUACUGUGAGUUGAUCUAGUAGAAUCAUGAGAUAACUCAGCAAUGUAAUGUAACUGUUAAACCUUGUUCCUAGUCGAUGGGUUACGCCAAUAAUGAGGAUACGGGCCUUUCCCUUUUGAGACUAGCACUUAGUGUAUGUGUACUGCGUCUCAUCAGUCCUCGGUGUUGUGACAUCGGCAUACUUGAGUGGGUGCUCAUACUAGAUGAGUUCACUGAACUCCCUCGCCCUAGAAAUCUAUAAGUGGUUCUCAUUCAUCGAGUAAUAGGUUUCUAAGAUAUAGUUGUACACCAUUAGUCCUUAAGACCCAGACAUCACCGUGACUUCACUAGAGGACCGAUUGUAUCGUGACCUGUCCCUGAGUCCCACCGCGGACCGCUCCAAGGGCCAACGUUCGUGCAAUCCGAAAUCUAGUGUGAAGUCUGUGCAUUGUAGUAGGGGAUUCGAGCGCUUGAGUAGUCAUGGAUGUCCUGUGUGUUCUGACGGUUUAUAAUCCAAGGAAUCUCUGGCCAGAGUUGAUAGUGGGGUGAUUAGGGAAAUGUGUUUCCCUAAGUCGCACACGAACGGAUUUAUAAUACCUAGAACGUUCGCACGGUUAUUGAACUUUGUAAGAGGUCUCGGUGAACCAAUGGCUCUAGUUCAAUCGGGACAUAUGCUGCGAAAGGAUCGUAAUGUACGCUAACUAUGUCAUAAGGUUCUUGCAGGCACGUCACUUGUAUCUAGGGAAUCAUGAUGCGUAGUUGCUAGACGCCAAUCUUGAUUCGUUGGGCACCGAUUUGAUCGGGAUUAGGUAAAAUGAGUUUUACUCUAAUCGGGACUCUUGGGAGGAGUUCGUAUAAGAACAAUGUGUUGUUCGAAUCACAAAGAGUUCGAAGAGGCACUCGUAUCGACGAGGACUUUGAGCUCGUCACAAAUAUAAUUUUGUUAUAAUUUUGUGGACGAUCGUUUAUUAGAAACGAGGCCGACGAGGGAAUGGGCUUUAUACAUCAGUGGGUCAAGCCCAAUGACUUAAACCCACUAGGGUUGAAAACCCUAAGUAUAAAUAGACCUCAAACAAGAGUUUGAGAUCAGAUUUUCUGGACCAAACCCUAGCCGCCCAAGCCCUAGCCGCUCUCCCCUUCGGCUGUUGCUGCCCCGCCGCACCACCGCCGACCAACGCCGGGAAACCGCCGGUUUUCUCAUCUCUUCUCCUUCGUUUACUUGUUGUUUAUCUAACUCGUUUACAUCUAGUGCUGUAGUUCGAGUGGGUCGAAAAUACGAGGUGAAACCUAAUUGGAGAGGAGCUGCUGCCCCGACGAAUCCACGCACCGCUACGCCGCUCACGCGCCGCCGCUGCUGCUGCCACGCGCCGCCGCUGCUGCUGCCAUUCACCGCCGUUCGUCGCUUGCUGGAUCAGCUUGUUCCAGCCGUGAGUUGCAGCCCCGAGGAUUGGUAAUUUGCAGCUUGUACGUGAUUGGUUCUAGAUUUCGAUUCGUCGAAAUCUCACGCUACAAGAGGUAAAUAAAUCGAAACUUUCGUAAAUUAUUUCGAGCAUGUUUGUAUGAAUUAUAAUUUAUGAUUAUGAGUAAUAUGUGAUUACGUGUUUCGAUUUUAUUGAAUGAUGAACAAGCAUGUUUUGUAAUUUUCGGUUUUACGCGUUUUUCAAUUAAAUCGAUAAUUACCAUAUGUAUGGCAGAAGCGUUAAGGUACGUUGACUAUGUGAUUAGUUUAUGCAUGUAAUCGAAACUAGUUCGAUCUAAAAUUUUUAAAUUCCGCUGCGUAUACAUGCACGAUCCCCAAGAGUGGUAUCAGAGCCACGGGUUAAUCGUUUAAUUGUCAACGUGUUUAUCGUUUUCGAAAGCAUGCUUCGAUUUGUUGAAUUGUUGAAUUUUUGGUGUUAUCAAAUUUGGUGGUUUAAUAUUAAUUAAAUAUUUCAGAAAAUAUAAAAAAAAAAAUUUAUUUAGAAAAUCGUUUUUUGCUGCUGCUUUUCAGCUGACCGAACCGGUCCGGUCCGACCGGUCCGGUCAGCACACAAAAAAAAAAAAAAAAAAAAAAAUUAAUUUAAUUUUCUGAGAUUAAUAUUAAAAUUAAUUGAUUUUUAAUUUUUGAAAUUAUUUAUCAAUUAAACCCAAUUAGAUAAUUGAUCCAUUAAUUUAAUUUGAAUUCAAAGAAUAGUGUUGGAUUAAUUAUUUAAUUUAAUCGUUAAAUUAGUUUAAUUAAUGGAACACAAAUUAGAUGGCAAAUAAUUAAUGGACUUCAUUCUUAUUUGAUUGAUUUAUGAAUGAAGGGAGUCCGUUAAUUAUAUUUGCAAUUAAUCGUAUUAAUUAAUUAAUUCAUGAGAUGAAUAAUUGUGAUUAAGUACGAUGAUGAUCGUAUGUCUCUCUUAGGAUCAAUAUGCGUUUCCACAUACCUAGAGAACAUAGUUGUAGGAAUCACAAACGAUCAUAACCUAAAACUUCCGAUGAGCUAAUAAGAUUUAAUAAAUAAAAUCCCUCAUUCUUAAUCAAGAAUAAUUAUCAAGCUAUAAAGAAAAACCAAAUUGUUGAAUUUUUCUUUCCUUCUACCAACAAUUAAAUUAUGUGUAGCCUCUCAUAAUAGUGCAGUAAGCCGUGUCAGCGGGGAGUGCUAUUGUGGGAUAAGCUGUAAUUUAAUUGACAUUAGAUGGAGAUACGGUCAUAGAUAAAAUUAUAUUGGAUUAAUGUGGUCGGCUAGAUUAACUAGGGAUUGCAUUAGUUUGAUAUAGUUGGAUCUGUGACAUCUCAUAUUGGUAGGCUAAACUUGACACACGAAGAUUUUCAUAUUCGCUAGAUUAACUUAGGUCAUUAUCAAGUGUGAGGUCAAACAAACUUUAGGGUCACAUAGUGAUGUGAUUGAUAGUACUCUACCUUUAGGCUUGUGUAAUCGGGAUAGAUUAACUACGGGUUACAUUAGCGCUAUUGGACCUAAAGCCCAUUAAAGAAAAAUAAGUUUUCUCGAUUGUCUGCUAGAGGGUAGUGGAAUUCGAUAAAAUUAGUGGGAGAACAAUUAAAACAUAAAAGUCCAAAAUUUUAAUUGUAACGAUUAUUACGAAAUAAACUCUAAUUAUUGUCUUCUUAAAAUUUUCUCAGCAACAAUGUCCAAACAUCCCCUUUCCUCGAUCCUCGACCAAAACAAACUCACCGGUCCAAACUAUUUGGAUUGGCUUCGCAAUCUGAAACUUGUGCUCCAAGUCGAGGAGCGUUUCUAUGUGCUCAAUGAACGUCCUCCCGCUGCUCUCCCUGCGACUGCUACUGCUGACGAGACUGCCACUUUCGAGGCAUGGAAGAAGGACGACCUCCAUGCGAGGUGCUACAUGCUAGCAUCCAUGGUGCCAGAGCUCGCGAGGAAGUAUGAGUCUCACGUGCAUGCUUAUGAUAUCAAGCAUCAUCUUGAAAGCAUGUACAGUGAGAAUACUAGGGCAUCGAGGUACUCAUCUACCAAGGAGUUGAUCACCAUGAGGCUGCGUGAAGGGGCUUCGGUCCACGAGCACGGUCUCAAGAUGAUCACUCUCCUUGAGAAGCUGGUGAGCCUUGAUGUCACCCUCCCGGCCGAGCUCUCGGUGGAUUUGAUCCUACUGUCCCUUCCUAGUUCUUAUGAAUCGUUCAUAGUGAACUUCAACAUGAACAAGCUCGAUCCGCCAUUGGAUGAGUUGUUGAACAUGUUAGUCAGCUAUGAGUUCACGAUCAAGAAGGAGAAAUCUGUUCUCCUAGUUGCUCCUUCUGCGAAGAAAGGUUCUUUCCAGAAGAAAAUGAAAGAAAGGAGUUUCGGCCCGAGCAAGAAACUUGAGAAGGGCGAAUCGAGCGGAGUGAAGAAUGACAAGGUCACCAAGCAAGUUGAUGACGCUUGCCAUCAUUGUGGAAAGAAGGGCCAUUGGCGACGCAAAUGCAAGGCUUACCUCGAUCAGAAACGUUCUGAAAAGGGUACGUAUUUAGUUGAAGUUAAUUUGUCCGUUAAAUCUUCUUCUUGGGUAUUGGAUACUGGUUGUGGCUCACAUCUUUGUAAUGAUUUGCAGCUCAUGACAAGAAGUAGGAGACUUAAUGUGGGUGAGACCUACCUAAGAAUGGGCAACGGAGCAAGGGUUGCUGCUGAAGCCCAUGGGACGAUUUAUCUUUCUGUUUUGGAUUCUAGUUUUUCCAUUGUUUUGAACAAUUGUUUAUUUGUUCCGUCACUUAUUCGAAACCUUAUUUCUAUUCCUAUUUUGGAUAAUGAAGGUUUUACUUUUGUUUUUGGAAAUUCGAUUUGCAUUAUACAAAAGGAUCAAAAUAUGAUUUGUAAGGGACAACUUAUAAACAACUUAUAUGAACUAAAUCCAAAUGAAAUACCAAUUAACGUUAUAUCGGCAAAACGAAAAGAUAUAAGUCUUAACCCCGCACAACUUUGGCACGCUCGACUGGGUCACAUUUCCUUGAGAAGGAUGAACAAGUUUGUAAGUGAAGGAAUGUUCUCCUUGGAGGACGUGAAAUCACUUCAAACUUGUGUGUCCUGCCUUAAAGGAAAAAUGACCAAGACUCCCUUCAAGGGGAAGAUGGAACGAGCCGAGGGUCUUUUGGAUUUGAUCCAUUCAGACGUGUGUGGUCCACUAAGUGUUAGUGCUAGGGGUGGUUUUAACUACUUCGUUACCUUUACCGACGAUUAUUCUAGGUAUGGUUUCGUGUACUUAAUGAAGUAUAAGUCUGAAACUUUUGAAAAGUUCAAGGAUUUUAGACACCAAGUAGAAAACCAACUCGGUAGACGUAUUAAGAAACUACGAUCCGAUCGUGGUGGCGAAUACUUAAGUACUGAGUUUAUAGACUAUCUUAAAGAGAAUGGGAUUCUGUCUCAAUGGACUCCUCCUGGAACUCCUCAACUUAAUGGAGUUUCCGAACGUCGGAAUCGAACACUGUUAGACAUGGUUCGAUCUAUGAUGGGGUUCACCGAGCUACCGGCAUACCUGUGGGGUCAUGCACUCCUAACUGCCGUGUAUUUGCUGAAUAGGGUUAAUACCAAAGCAGUUAACUCCACACCUUAUGAACUUUGGCACUCCAAGAAACCCACGUUUAAACAUAUUAGGAUAUGGGGUUGUCCCGCUUACGUGAAGCGGCUAGUGGGAGAUAAGUUGGAUAGAAAAUCCGACCUAUGCCAUUUUGUGGGGUAUCCCGAGGAUUCCAUAGGAUACGAAUUUUACUAUGUUUCCGAGGCAAAGGUGUUCGUUGAUACGCGUAAAACCUACGUAUAAAUAACCGCAAGUGUACAGUAUCGCGUUUUGCAGAAUAGUGAAUUCCGGAUAUCGAUCCACAGGGAAUUAAGUUCCUAAAUCUACCAAAUACCGUAAUUAUACUAUCCUAAACUUUAUCUAGACGAUCGAAAGGGAGGGGAAAAAUGAAACCAAAAAGAAACAAUAAAUAAAAACAACGGUCCGCCAGUAUAAGCGAGGAAUUCCGACGUGUGAUGGCUUCUAGGGUAAAAUCCACCAAUGUACUAUCGAUAAAGAUCUACAAAUCCGAAUCUAUUGUCAAUUCUAUGUUCGCUAACCCAGACACUAAAAUACCCUAACCCCCGUCUCCAGUGUUGUUAGAGUCUACCCACAGGUCCGACGUCUCCGUUCAGAACCUGAUAUUAAGAGAGCAUUUAGGUCAAGUCCUUAAGGGCUACCCGAGGUGCAUCACGUCUCCGUUUCCACAACCCGAGCUAUGCUUUCCUAAAAUCAAACGAGAAAUCCUCUCUCGAGUUCAUUCCCAUUUAGAAUCAAUUCAACUGUUGGCCAAACAAUCGAAAGCAUUUAAUACAGGAAAACAUAAACAGAAUCAAAGAACGACAAAUAGAUCACAGAUCUGGAAAUCAAAAUCAAUAUAUACAAGGUUUCAUUUCCCUAGAAGAAAAUGCUCAGUUCAUUACAAACAUAGCAUUAAAAUGAAGAACACGAGAAGUUAUAAACUAAACGUAAAGAAAAGCUUAUGAAAAACCCGAGUCGAAACCCUCGUCGAAGCUUCCCGCGAAGAACUGGCGAGAACCGAAGAAAAACCGAAGAAUAGGUCGAGAUAUAUGUCGAGCGAUUGAAAAAUGAAAAAGAGACCUUCUAUUUAUAGUGAAAAAUCAAAGAAAAAUAUCUAGUCUCGAUUUCUGUGCUCAGAUCGCGAUCUGGGCUUCUAGGAUCGCGAUCUGGCAACCUUGAAAACUGUGAACCGCCUUCCCAGAUCGCGAUCCAGGAAGUGCGGAUCGCGAUCUGCUCCAACUUUUCGCUGCUACUGGAAUUUGCCACCAGAUCGCGAUCCGGUUAUUCUGGAUCGCGAUCUGGCCUCUGCAUCAACUUCAAACACUUUUUUCACCCUUUUUCAGCCCGAAUUCGACAAUUGUGCAUUUCACAAAAGUUGUAGCCCUUGAAGUUAGGUUUCUAAAUCCACUUGAAUCAGCGCAAUAGGAGGUCGUAUGCAAAAGUUAUGCUUAAAUUACCAAACACUGCCACAAUCCGCGAGAAUGCACUUUUGCACGUGUUUGGUUUGAUUCUCGGCUUCGCUUCCAAAAUCGUCUCGAAUCGGCAAAAAUAGCUUAUCUUUACCUAAAAUAUAAAUAAAACAAAAACAACAUAAUAUAUACAAAUAAAGCCGAAAACUCGGACGAACGAAGACCAAAACUCGAAGAAUUGAUAAGUGAAAAUCAUGCAAAAUGAACACUUAUCACACCCUCAAACUUAGAUCUUUACUCGUCCCGAGUAAAUCAAAACAAAACAACAACAACCCAAAAACAAAAACGACGAAAGCAAAAAAAAACUAAACCUAGGCCACUAACGUAGGGAAACACGAUUGCAUUUAGCGUAUGCAACAAGCCGUUGAACCCCUGGGUACCCCCAAAGGACGAGUUGUGUCUCGUGAGGGUUUUCAUACAACACACCCACAAAGUUGCCGGAUUGGUCAAAGCAUUGCAAUUAAUUCCAAAGAUGAAACGAGCUAGAUAACCUAAAAUCUUAGAAUGGCAUACGGCUUAAGGUAUUCGACUUUCUUACCGACGCAAUUAGUUGUUUCUACACCAAAAUGAAAGAUAGACUCAAGAAUCCGUAAUUAAAAAAUAAACACAAUUAUCGAGGGUUUUGAGUAGAAAUGUGGGUGAAAAAAGUAAGUUUUGAUUCUGCAAUUCAAAAACUCGAGUUGGGCAUAAGUAGGUCUAUUUAUUCAAUAAAAGAAAUGAUAGCAACAAUAUUUUUGGUGACUUUCAUCACAAUUUUUUUCUCUUAUUUUUUCAUUUUUUUUUUUUGAAACGGGCAUAAUCGUGACUCGUGCAAGGCUCGACACCACUGUGUUAUCUCCCUGACCCAUGUAUCGAACUUUAGUCCAAGAAACCCCCAAGCUCAAUAGCUCGAGAGACUUAGGCGACGAGGUGCACCCAACGGGUUAAGCUCGAGUCAGAAAGGCGAGGAAAUCAGAGCGUGAAUCACAACAAUACCACAAAUUAUUAUUUUUCUCUUUUUUUUUUUUUUUUUUUUUUUUUUUUUUUUUUUUUAACAUCGAACAUAAAAUAAAAACGUAAAGACCAUUGAUAGAACUUUUAGCCAACAACUGGAAAUCGUGAACACAUAAUUCAAUUCUAACUCGCCCCCCAAACCUCAGACUAUUAUACCCCUCAGAAACGUGCGCUCAAGCUUAAUCGGAAAGAAUUCGAAAGGCUAUCCACACAAGUUGCAAAAACGCAGUCGGAAGGUACAUCUAUAAUUAGCCGGUUAUCCAUAAUUUCAAUUUUAAAAUCAACUAGCCCAUCUACUAAUUCAUUAAUUGCUUUGCUUCAAUAGAAUCCGGAAAUGCAACUUACACUCGAUCCUAAAUGUGAUGCAUGUGACAAACAUAACACAAUUACGGAAAUUGAUGUACAUAAAUGAAACUAAAUUAUAUGAUAUGCAUGCAAAAGACCAAAAAGAAAAAUAAGCUAAACUCACCCCCAAACUUAAAUCAUGCAUUGCCCUUAAUGCGAAAAAUAAAAGAUAUGAGAAAGAAAUACGCCCUGAACAGUCGUGCCGCAGAUUGAUCAGUGUUCUACGGUUGUGAAAGUGUUCUUUGGUUGCACGGGGUGCCAUGAGUUUUGGCACCGAGGGCGAAUUGCCAGAAUUGCCUAGACUUCCCGACUUCUUACUCUUCUUUCCUUGGGGACGAGAUACCGGCAAAAAUCAAGAAAAAUGGGUGAAAUCUAGCUUUAAUAAAGAAAAAAAAAAUGCAAAAAUGACAAAAACAAAUAAUAACAAAAUGACGAGAAAUAAAUAAUGGGUUGUCUCCCAUUCAGCGCAUGUUUUACUGUCGACGGCUCGACACGUUUUGGACGGAUUAUGUCCAAUCCAAAACCUUGUAGAUUGCGCAUCCAUCCGUCAGUCUUGAUACAUACUUUGCAAUCAUAUCAUGGACUAGAUUGCAAUCACGUAGUGCCCAUCCCAUCCCAUGGAACUUCUCGUUUGCUUUGGAAAUCAGUCGGUAGGAGACUAGAAUGGGUUGCUUGCCUACCGAUCUCUCAAACUCGUAUACAAGAUAUUCGAGCUUUGGAGUAAGCUCUACCUCGAAUUUGAUACUCAUCUCCUCAGUCACAAUCAAAUCCGGAGUUACAAUGUGGAUAGGAUUUUGUUCGCCAAGUUCCUCUACCAUCAUCUUCAUCUCACACUCAUCACACGCAAAAGUAUCUACAGAACUGGGAUGAAUAAUUCCCUCAAGGUGCUCAACCACAUCGUUCAUACGAAAAUCUGUAAAUACCUCGUUGUCUUCAUAAAGGAUGGUCGGAUGUGGUUUGUGAAUGUGACAUCUCUGAAAAUUUUCGAAAAUAUUUGCCAAAAAGUGGAGUUCUUCUUGUAGAUAGCAGAAGUGCUCAUUUGUUUGUGCAAUUCCAUUUUCUGGGUUCAACCUUCGAUGUCUUUCAAUAUCCUCCAACUCAUGUUGAAUGUAAUCAGCUCUGGAUUGAAUCUUGCAAAGAGAGAGAUCAUAAAUCGAGGCCAUCGAUGUAUACAAAUCUGCUAUAAAAAUAAAAAAAAAUCAAAAGAAAAAAAAAUAUCUAAAGUAAAGUAAGGAUAGUUGGUAACGAUAUUAGUAAAUUCUAGAUUAACUAAUUCCCCGGCAACGGCGCCAAAAACUUGAUACGCGUAAAACCUACGUAUAAAUAACCGCAAGUGUACAGUAUCGCGUUUUGCAGAAUAGUGAAUUCCGGAUAUCGAUCCACAGGGAAUUAAGUUCCUAAAUCUACCAAAUACCGUAAUUAUACUAUCCUAAACUUUAUCUAGACGAUCGAAAGGGAGGGGAAAAAUGAAACCAAAAAGAAACAAUAAAUAAAAACAACGGUCCGCCAGUAUAAGCGAGGAAUUCCGACGUGUGAUGGCUUCUAGGGUAAAAUCCACCAAUGUACUAUCGAUAAAGAUCUACAAAUCCGAAUCUAUUGUCAAUUCUAUGUUCGCUAACCCAGACACUAAAAUACCCUAACCCCCGUCUCCAGUGUUGUUAGAGUCUACCCACAGGUCCGACGUCUCCGUUCAGAACCUGAUAUUAAGAGAGCAUUUAGGUCAAGUCCUUAAGGGCUACCCGAGGUGCAUCACGUCUCCGUUUCCACAACCCGAGCUAUGCUUUCCUAAAAUCAAACGAGAAAUCCUCUCUCGAGUUCAUUCCCAUUUAGAAUCAAUUCAACUGUUGGCCAAACAAUCGAAAGCAUUUAAUACAGGAAAACAUAAACAGAAUCAAAGAACGACAAAUAGAUCACAGAUCUGGAAAUCAAAAUCAAUAUAUACAAGGUUUCAUUUCCCUAGAAGAAAAUGCUCAGUUCAUUACAAACAUAGCAUUAAAAUGAAGAACACGAGAAGUUAUAAACUAAACGUAAAGAAAAGCUUAUGAAAAACCCGAGUCGAAACCCUCGUCGAAGCUUCCCGCGAAGAACUGGCGAGAACCGAAGAAAAACCGAAGAAUAGGUCGAGAUAUAUGUCGAGCGAUUGAAAAAUGAAAAAGAGACCUUCUAUUUAUAGUGAAAAAUCAAAGAAAAAUAUCUAGUCUCGAUUUCUGUGCCCAGAUCGCGAUCUGGGCUUCUAGGAUCGCGAUCUGGCAACCUUGAAAACUGUGAACCGCCUUCCCAGAUCGCGAUCCAGGAAGUGCGGAUCGCGAUCUGCUCCAACUUUUCGCUGCUACUGGAAUUUGCCACCAGAUCGCGAUCCGGUUAUUCUGGAUCGCGAUCUGGCCUCUGCAUCAACUUCAAACACUUUUUUCACCCUUUUUCAGCCCGAAUUCGACAAUUGUGCAUUUCCCAAAAGUUGUAGCCCUUGAAGUUAGGUUUCUAAAUCCACUUGAAUCAGCGCAAUAGGAGGUCGUAUGCAAAAGUUAUGCUUAAAUUACCAAACACUGCCACAAUCCGCGAGAAUGCACUUUUGCACGUGUUUGGUUUGAUUCUCGGCUUCGCUUCCAAAAUCGUCUCGAAUCGGCAAAAAUAGCUUAUCUUUACCUAAAAUAUAAAUAAAACAAAAACAACAUAAUAUAUACAAAUAAAGCCGAAAACUCGGACGAACGAAGACCAAAACUCGAAGAAUUGAUAAGUGAAAAUCAUGCAAAAUGAACACUUAUCAUUCGUCUCGAGAAAUGCCGUGUUCCUUGAGAAGGAAUUUCUAUCGGAUAGAAAGGGGAGUGUAGUUGAUCUCGAAGAAGUUCGAGAACCACAAUCUGAAGUUCAAGCACAACAAUCAGAGAAUAAACCAAUUCAAAAAACCACUAAUAUACCUCCUGAACCGACGCUGCGUAGAUCCGAAAGAGUUCGGAGAGCGCCCGAUAGGUUAUUCCUCGUUGAUGAAGUUGACCAAGGAUGUGAUCCUAGAACUUUCAACGAAGCUGUAUCGGAUACAGACAAGGGACAUUGGCUUAAUGCCAUGAAAUCCGAAAUGGACUCUAUGUACUCCAACAAGGUAUGGACCUUGGUAGACCCACCCGAGGGAAUCGUUCCCAUAGGCUGCAAGUGGAUCUAUAAGAAGAAAAUUGGAGUAGAUGGAAAGGUAUCGACCUACAAGGCUAGAUUGGUAGCGAAGGGUUAUACUCAAAAGCAAGGAGUUGGCUAUGAGGAAACCUUCUUCUCCAGUUGCUAUGCUUAAGUCCAUUAGGAUUUUGCUGGCCAUCUCUGCGUGGUAUGACUACGAGAUAUGGCAAAUGGAUGUGAAGACCGCUUUCCUUAAUGGGGACAUUGAUGAGGAAAUUUACAUGGCGCAGCCGGAAGGCUUCAUAUCUUCUGGAGAUGAGCAAAAGGUUUGCAAACUCCAGCGAUCCAUUUAUGGAUUGAAACAAGCAUCCCGAAGUUGGAACAAAAGGUUCGACACAACUAUCAAAGAGUUUGAAUUUGUGAAAAACCCGGAGGAACCUUGUGUCUACAAGAAGGUUAGUGGGAGUGCAGUGACUUUCCUUGUACUUUAUGUUGAUGACAUACUACUCAUUGGGAAUGAUGUAGGGAUGUUGCAGUCAACUAAAGUAUGGUUAUCCACACGUUUCUCGAUGAAGGAUUUGGGAGAAACAUCCUACGUAUUGGGAAUACGGAUCUAUAGAGAUAGAUCGAGGAGAUUGCUUGGCUUGUCCCAAUCCAUGUACAUAGACACCGUUCUUAAACGGUUUAGCAUGGAAGAAUCCAAGAAGGGAUUCUUGCCAAUGUCCCAUGGGGUUCGUCUCUCGAAAUCCAUGCAUAAGGUGUCCUUUUCAUGCCAAAUGGAAAUCGAGAAGAUGAAAAGGACACCUUAUGCAUCCGCUAUAGGAAGCAUAAUGUAUGGCAUGCUAUGUACACGACCUGAUAUUGCGUAUGCUGUGAGCGUCACAAGCAGAUAUCAGUCCGACCCCGGCCCAGCCCAUUGGAAUGCUGUGAAGGACAUUCUCAAGUACUUGCGAAGAACUCGAGAUUUGUUUUUGGUCUAUGGGGAUACCGAGUUGAAAUUAGAAGGCUUCACGGAUUCUAGUUUUCAAUCGGACGUGGAUGACUCGAAGUCAAACUCGGGGUAUAUAUUCAAAGUCAACGGGCGUGCCGUGUGUUGGAAGAGUUCCAAACAAGGCACGACGGCUGAUUCCACCACCGAGGCUGAAUAUAUUGCAGCAUCAGAUGCUUCAAAGGAAGGGUCAUGGAUUAGGAAAUUCAUCCAAGAGUUGGGUGUAUUUCCGAACGCUAGCGAUCCAGUACGGCUGUACUGCGAUAACAACGGAGCCGUAGCGCAAGCUAAGGAGCCAAGAGCUCAUCAGAAGUCGAAGCACAUGUUGAGAAAAUACCAUGUGAUCCGAGAGAUCAUAGAGAGAGGUGAAGUCAAGCUAGACAGAGUCACCUCGGAGGACAAUAUUGCAGAUCCCUUCACCAAGCCAUUGUCAGGAUCAGUCCACGAGAAACAUCGAGAGUCGAUGGGACUUAGAUUUAUGAGUAGUUGGCUUUAGGUCAAGUGGGAGAUUGUUGGAGUAGGUGACCAACAAGCCAACUUGUGGCUGUGGUCGUUCCUUUUAUCUUGUAAUAAAACAAUCGUUUUUCGUUCGUAAUAAUAAAACAUUUCAUUUGGCAUUCUAUAUCUCUUAUCCCAUGCAAGUAGCAUAGAUAUAGUCCUAACGAGUUACUCUAUUACUGUGAGUUGAUCUAGUAGAAUCAUGAGAUAACUCAGCAAUGUAAUAUAACUGUUAAACCUUGUUCCUAGUCGAUGGGUUACGCCAAUAAUGAGGAUACCGGCCUUUCCCUUUUGAGACUAGCACUUAGUGUAUGUGUACUGCGUCUCAUCAGUCCUCGGUGUUGUGACAUCGGCAUACUUGAGUGGGUGCUUAUACUAGAUGAGUUCACUGAACUCCCUCGCCCUAGAAAUCUAUAAGUGGUUCUCAUUCAUCGAGUAAUAGGUUUCUAAGAUAUAGUUGUACACCAUUAGUCCUUAAGACCCAGACAUCACCGUGACUUCACUAGAGGACCGAUUGUAUCGUGACCUUUCCCUGAGUCCCACCGCGGACCGCUCCAAGGGCCAACGUUCGUGCAAUCCGAAAUCUAGUGUGAAGUCUGUGCAUUGUAGUAGGGGAUUCGAGCGCUUGAGUAGUCAUGGAUGUCCUGUGUGUUCUGACGGUUUAUAAUCCAAGGAAUCUCUGGCCAGAGUUUAUAGUGGGGUGAUUAGGGAAAUGUGUUUCCCUAAGUCGCACACGAACGGAUUUAUAAUACCUAGAACGUUCGCACGGUUAUUGAACUUUGUAAGAGGUCUCGGUGAACCAAUGGCUCUAGUUCAAUCGGGACAUAUGCUGCGAAAGGAUCGUACUGUACGCUAACUAUAUCAUAAGGUUCUUGCAGGCACGUCACUUGUAUCUAGGGAAUCAUGAUGCGUAGUUGCUAGACGCCAAUCUUGAUUCGUUGGGCACCGAUUUGAUCGGGAUUAGGUAAAAUGAGUUUUACUCUAAUCGGGACUCUUGGGAGGAGUUCGUAUAAGAACAAUGUGUUGUUCGAAUCACAAAGAGUUGUGAGCCCACGGCUAGCAUACACAUGAACCAUUGAGGGUCACACUUCUCGUGUAAUAUAGAUCCUUGAUAACAACAAGCAAAGAUUAAUGUGUUAAUCUUUGAAAGUUUGGAUGUCGAUAUGAUUGAAUCCAAGAUUCGUAAUUGUGGAUUGCGAAUCGGAAUAAACGUAGAGAAAGAGAGACAUGCGGAAUUUAGUGAACUUUCUAAAUUGGGAAGUUUCCCGAUUUAGCAUGUCCACUGAAGUGGAAGUUUCAAAUUUUGGAAAUUGGAAAUUUCGAAGAGGCACUCGUAUCGACUAGGACUUUGAGCUCGUCACAAAUAUAAUUUUGUUAUAAUUUUGUGGACGAUCGUUUAUUAGAAACGAGGCCGACGAGGGAAUGGACUUUAUACAUCAGUGGGUCAAGCCCAAUGACUUAAACCCACUAGGGUUGAAAACCCUAAGUAUAAAUAGACCUCAAACAAGAGUUUGAGAUCAGAUUUUCUGGACCAAACCCUAGCCGCCCAAGCCCUAGCCGCUCUCCCCUUCGGCCGUUACUGCCCCGCCGCACCACCGCCGACCACCGCCGGGAAACCGCCGGUUUUCUCCUCUAUUCUCCUUCGUUUACUUGUUGUUUAUCUAACUCGUUUACAUCUAGUGCUGUAGUUCGAGUGGGUCGAAAAUACGAGGUGAAACCUAAUUGGAGAGGAGCUGCUGCCCCGACGAAUCCACGCACCGCCGCACGCGCCGCUACGCCGCUCUCGCGCCGCCGCUGCUGCUGCCACGCGCCGCCGCUGCAGCUGCCAUUCACCGCCGUUCGCCGCUUGCUGGAUCAGCUUGUUCCAGCCGUGAGUUGCAGCCCCAAGGAUUGGUAAUUUGCAGCUUGUACGUGAUUGGUUCUAGAUUUCGAUUCGUCGAAAUCUCACGCUACAAGAGGUAAAUAAAUCGAAACUUUCGUAAAUUAAUUCGAGCAUGUUUGUAUGAAUUAUAAUUUAUGAUUAUGAGUAAUAUGUGAUUACGUGUUUCGAUUUUAUUGAAUGAUGAACAAGCAUGUUUCAUAAUUUUCGGUUUUACGCGUUUUUCAAUUAAAUCGAUAAUUACCAUAUGUAUGGCGGAAGCGUUAAGGUACGUUGACUAUGUGAUUAGUUUAUGCAUGUAAUCGAAACUAGUUCGAUCUAAAAUUUUUAAAUUCCGCUGCGUAUACAUGCACGAUCCCCAACAGUUAUUUCAUUCCAUUUGAUAGAUCUUCUAGUAGUGAUUUCAGAUCUACUAAAAUUCGUCUCUAUAAGAAUGGUUUCGUUUAAUGGUUUAUCAACCAUUUCACAGUGGGGAUUCAAGGUAUGACGAGGUUUGUAAUAUAUUCUAUAACAAACAAAUAUAACUUCAGAUCCUGGAGCAAAAUUAUAACCAUGAGUUUUAAUAUUUAAUGUUAAAGUAUCCAAGAUAUUAAUAUCAGUUAAAGAUAACUGUAUAUUAAGAUAAACAUUAAAAUAAACUGGGCCAUGGGCCAAACUGGACUGUAUAAUACCCAUCAACGAUUGUUUCCAAUCUAAAUUUCUACCGUCUCUUAGAGCAGCUAUAAAGCUUUCUGGUAACCCUUCUAAGGUUAGAGGUUUAAAAGCAACCUGAACUAAUCCAAUAUGGAUGAAUUUAUAUAAUUUUUUAUAUUUAUUCAGAUCUCUAUUACUGAGUAAUCGAAUUAUCAUCUCAUCCUUAUUAAGGGAGAUUGUUUCUUCAGUGGUCUUAACCACCUGUUUUAAACCGAUUCUCUCAAAGGUACCAAAUUUAUAAACAAUUUUUGGAUCUAUUUUUGGAAUAGUCCACUUAUUAAGCAAAUCAAGAUUUUGAGGAAUAUCAUACUCCUCUUCACUACUAUUUUUAACAGUAUCAUAAUUUCUUAUGAUAUUCAUUAAAAGAAAAUUGUGUUGAACAAUAUCAUUCUACCAAGAUCUUAAUACCAUGACUUUGAUACCAUUUGCUAACAGGACCUUUAUUUAAUUUAAUUAUAUUUGGUGAGAACCACAAACAAAUAUCUUGAAGACUGUAUAUGGAUGUUUUUACAGAGUUAAAAACUGUCAAGGGAUUUAGUUCUUAACCAGUCAUGGAAGCAAGCCCUAAAAACACCGAAAACAUGGCAACAAAGUGGGCGAAUCCAGACUUCGAUGUUAAACCUAAUCCCUGUCUGUUUUUAAUCCAAACCAUACCAGACAUCAUAAUUUUUGUCCAUGGUACCUUUUUUUUUUUUUUUUUUUUUUAUGCCAUGAUAUCAGAUCUUAGUAUCAUGAUAUUUAUUCAACAAAAACUUAGCCGGCCAUAUAGGCGGCGAUACGGAAAAUAUAAUUUAAAAUUCAAAACAAGAAUUGAAAAGAAGAGUAAGAACUUACUUAAGAGCCCACAAGUAUGAUACUGGAAAACUUUAAACUUCUCCGGAAAUUUACAAAGAAAAUUUAUUAGAGAAUUCUUGAUUUGUAAACUCCUGCUCCUAAACAAGAAAAUAACUCCCUUAAAUAGAGGAGAGAGGUAUCAAAAAAGUGAAAACAACAAAUAAAAGAAGACAAAAAUAUACAUUACUUUAUAAAAGCAUUUGCUUUAUUAAAGUGACUUUUUUGAAAAAGAAGAUACCCUAAACCAUUAUGAAAGGUGGUAGAGACCCGAAUGCAUUAUUUCUCCAUUCUCUCUUUCCAUUUGGCUGUAGUGGAACUUUGAAUUUGUUCCGUAAUGGAUUGUUUCACAUUAUUGAUGAUAUCAUCAAUUGAAAUAUCUGCUUCGUUUCCAUAUGGAUCUUGUGAUUCACCAGGAUUGCAAUAUUCUUCAUCAUCAUGUGAAGAGGUGGCCAUGGAAAUGUCUGAAUGAUAUUCAAUUCCAAAAUUUCUUACCAAGUAUUUUUUGACUUCUUCCAUGUAAGAAGCAAUUAAUUCUUUGUCAGUCAUCUCUCCUUUGUGGAAAUUUAAUUUCCUUGAGAGACGUUGAAACGGGCUGGGGGCUUCCCUUUAUUGCUUCAACUAGAUUUGUUCUUCAUAUUGGUGGAUAUGAUCCUGGAUCUUAUCAAUAGUUUAUUGUCCUUCAAUGACACCAUGCUCAUUUUUUCUGAGCAUUCUUUUCCAAAAUUUGGUGUAAGUUGCCGUUUUUAUACAGGGUAUAUUUUGUGGGGUAUGACCCAACUCUGGUUCCCAUUUCCAGAUCCAUGGAAUACCAAACUCAAUAAAGAAGUGCAAAAAGGGCAUUCCCUCAAUCCACUUAUUAGUGUGUUCAGCAUCGAUAAGAGUUGGUGAAAUUUUUACCCAUUCUGCAUAGAGACCUUUAUAAGGUUCUGGUAAAAUUUUUACAGUCGGGCCAAAUGAUAGCCACCAUUGGUAUAACCAAUUUGGAAUAUCCUUCUUAUAAACAUUAGGACAAAUUUUGAAGAACCAAGUAUGUUUUCUUACUAGGUUCUCAUUAAAUGCUUCGACAUAAUCCCAAUAAUUGUACUUAACCUGGAUUUUUUGGCCAGGUCUGAAAUAUUCUUUUUCUUCUAGGGUACUUAACCCCCAUUCGUCUGCAGAUAUUAUUUGCUUAAUGAUUACUUUGCUGAAGCUAUAAGCUUGUGCAUUUUUUCCUGAAUAAAAGUGUGAGAAUUCACAUGAGCUAGUAGCUUUUAGAAUAACUUCAUAAUGAGUUCGCUGUUUGUAUGAACCAGCAGUAAAUGAUGUUGUAUUAAGAUAUCUAUUCAUAAGGUUCCAAAUUUCACCUUUCCAUCGAAGAUCUUUAUCUUCUAGGAGUAAUAUUACCUCUUUGCAUGUAUUCUGCGCAAAGGGCAAAUCAUCAGAUUCUACCUCAUCUUCCAGAACAACAUUAGCAUAAGAAGGGCCGUUUUGAUUGGUAUUACCAUGCUUUGCUUUUGUUAGAGUAUAUUAUAUUAUUAGAUAUUAUAGGAUAUUAGGAUUCUAUUAUGAUUCGGUUACAUAGAUUAAUUAGGAUUUAGUUAUCUAGUGAAACUCUAUUACCUCGUAUUAUUUCUCUAUAUAUAUUCCAUGUAAAUCAACCUAUAACACAAUGAGGGUUUCUAUUCUAUUACGUAUUAUUAUUUCUCUCUUUCUCCUAUUUUAUUCUUCCUAUAUGGUAUCAGAGCACCAGGUUUUNNNNNNNNNNNNNNNNNNNNNNNNNNNNNNNNNNNNNNNNNNNNNNNNNNNNNNNNNNNNNNNNNNNNNNNNNNNNNNNNNNNNNNNNNNNNNNNNNNNNNNNNNNNNNNNNNNNNNNNNNNNNNNNNNNNNNNNNNNNNNNNNNNNNNNNNNNNNNNNNNNNNNNNNNNNNNNNNNNNNNNNNNNNNNNNNNNNNNNNNNNNNNNNNNNNNNNNNNNNNNNNNNNNNNNNNNNNNNNNNNNNNNNNNNNNNNNNNNNNNNNNNNNNNNNNNNNNNNNNNNNNNNNNNNNNNNNNNNNNNNNNNNNNNNNNNNNNNNNNNNNNNNNNNNNNNNNNNNNNNNNNNNNNNNNNNNNNNNNNNNNNNNNNNNNNNNNNNNNNNNNNNNNNNNNNNNNNNNNNNNNNNNNNNNNNNNNNNNNNNNNNNNNNNNNNNNNNNNNNNNNNNNNNNNNNNNNNNNNNNNNNNNNNNNNNNNNNNNNNNNNNNNNNNNNNNNNNNNNNNNNNNNNNNNNNNNNNNNNNNNNNNNNNNNNNNNNNNNNNNNNNNNNNNNNNNNNNNNNNNNNNNNNNNNNNNNNNNNNNNNNNNNNNNNNNNNNNNNNNNNNNNNNNNNNNNNNNNNNNNNNNNNNNNNNNNNNNNNNNNNNNNNNNNNNNNNNNNNNNNNNNNNNNNNNNNNNNNNNNNNNNNNNNNNNNNNNNNNNNNNNNNNNNNNNNNNNNNNNNNNNNNNNNNNNNNNNNNNNNNNNNNNNNNNNNNNNNNNNNNNNNNNNNNNNNNNNNNNNNNNNNNNNNNNNNNNNNNNNNNNNNNNNNNNNNNNNNNNNNNNNNNNNNNNNNNNNNNNNNNNNNNNNNNNNNNNNNNNNNNNNNNNNNNNNNNNNNNNNNNNNNNNNNNNNNNNNNNNNNNNNNNNNNNNNNNNNNNNNNNNNNNNNNNNNNNNNNNNNNNNNNNNNNNNNNNNNNNNNNNNNNNNNNNNNNNNNNNNNNNNNNNNNNNNNNNNNNNNNNNNNNNNNNNNNNNNNNNNNNNNNNNNNNNNNNNNNNNNNNNNNNNNNNNNNNNNNNNNNNNNNNNNNNNNNNNNNNNNNNNNNNNNNNNNNNNNNNNNNNNNNNNNNNNNNNNNNNNNNNNNNNNNNNNNNNNNNNNNNNNNNNNNNNNNNNNNNNNNNNNNNNNNNNNNNNNNNNNNNNNNNNNNNNNNNNNNNNNNNNNNNNNNNNNNNNNNNNNNNNNNNNNNNNNNNNNNNNNNNNNNNNNNNNNNNNNNNNNNNNNNNNNNNNNNNNNNNNNNNNNNNNNNNNNNNNNNNNNNNNNNNNNNNNNNNNNNNNNNNNNNNNNNNNNNNNNNNNNNNNNNNNNNNNNNNNNNNNNNNNNNNNNNNNNNNNNNNNNNNNNNNNNNNNNNNNNNNNNNNNNNNNNNNNNNNNNNNNNNNNNNNNNNNNNNNNNNNNNNNNNNNNNNNNNNNNNNNNNNNNNNNNNNNNNNNNNNNNNNNNNNNNNNNNNNNNNNNNNNNNNNNNNNNNNNNNNNNNNNNNNNNNNNNNNNNNNNNNNNNNNNNNNNNNNNNNNNNNNNNNNNNNNNNNNNNNNNNNNNNNNNNNNNNNNNNNNNNNNNNNNNNNNNNNNNNNNNNNNNNNNNNNNNNNNNNNNNNNNNNNNNNNNNNNNNNNNNNNNNNNNNNNNNNNNNNNNNNNNNNNNNNNNNNNNNNNNNNNNNNNNNNNNNNNNNNNNNNNNNNNNNNNNNNNNNNNNNNNNNNNNNNNNNNNNNNNNNNNNNNNNNNNNNNNNNNNNNNNNNNNNNNNNNNNNNNNNNNNNNNNNNNNNNNNNNNNNNNNNNNNNNNNNNNNNNNNNNNNNNNNNNNNNNNNNNNNNNNNNNNNNNNNNNNNNNNNNNNNNNNNNNNNNNNNNNNNNNNNNNNNNNNNNNNNNNNNNNNNNNNNNNNNNNNNNNNNNNNNNNNNNNNNNNNNNNNNNNNNNNNNNNNNNNNNNNNNNNNNNNNNNNNNNNNNNNNNNNNNNNNNNNNNNNNNNNNNNNNNNNNNNNNNNNNNNNNNNNNNNNNNNNNNNNNNNNNNNNNNNNNNNNNNNNNNNNNNNNNNNNNNNNNNNNNNNNNNNNNNNNNNNNNNNNNNNNNNNNNNNNNNNNNNNNNNNNNNNNNNNNNNNNNNNNNNNNNNNNNNNNNNNNNNNNNNNNNNNNNNNNNNNNNNNNNNNNNNNNNNNNNNNNNNNNNNNNNNNNNNNNNNNNNNNNNNNNNNNNNNNNNNNNNNNNNNNNNNNNNNNNNNNNNNNNNNNNNNNNNNNNNNNNNNNNNNNNNNNNNNNNNNNNNNNNNNNNNNNNNNNNNNNNNNNNNNNNNNNNNNNNNNNNNNNNNNNNNNNNNNNNNNNNNNNNNNNNNNNNNNNNNNNNNNNNNNNNNNNNNNNNNNNNNNNNNNNNNNNNNNNNNNNNNNNNNNNNNNNNNNNNNNNNNNNNNNNNNNNNNNNNNNNNNNNNNNNNNNNNNNNNNNNNNNNNNNNNNNNNNNNNNNNNNNNNNNNNNNNNNNNNNNNNNNNNNNNNNNNNNNNNNNNNNNNNNNNNNCAUACACUAAGUGCUAGUCUCAAAAGGGAAAGGCCGGUAUCCUCAUUAUUGGCGUAACCCAUCGACUAGGAACAAGGUUUAACAGUUACAUUACAUUGCUGAGUUAUCUCACGAUUCUACUAGAUCAACUCACAGUAAUAGAGUAACUCGUUAGGACUAUAUCUAUGCUGCUUGCAUGGGAUAACAGAUAUAGAAUGCCAAAAGGUAUUUUACCAUUAAUUUGAAAUAGACUAUUUACGAGUAUCGUGAGGAAACACAACACUUAGUUGGCUUGUUGGUCACAUACUCUAACAGAAGCUCGUUUCACCUCAAUCACCCAACGAUUCAAGAUUGGCGUCUAGCAACUACGCGUCAUGAUUCCCUAGAUACAAAUGAAGUGCCUGCAAGAACCUUCAGAUAUAGUUAACGUACAGUACGGUCCCUUCGAUGCAUAUGUCCCGAUCGAACUAGAGGCAUUGGUUCAUCGAGACCUCUUUAUAUGUUCGAUGACGGUGCGAUCGUUCCAAGUGUUGUAAUCGUCACGUGCAUGACUUAGAGAAUCGAAUUCUCUAAUCAUCACUUAGUCAGCUCUGGCCAGAGACUUAGAAUGAUUACAAACUUUCAGAACACACAGGACAUCCAAGACUAUUCUAGCGAUCGAAUCCCCGACUACAAUGCACAGACCUCCCACUAGAUUUCGGACUGCACGAACACUGGCCCUUGGGAUGGUCCUCGGUGGAACUCAGGGACAGGUCACGAUACAGCUGGUCCUCUAGUGAAGUCACGGUGAUGUCUAGGUCAUAAGGACUAAUGGUGUACAACUAUACCAUAGAUAUCUCUACUCGAUUAUUGGGAACCACUUAGAGAUUUCUAGGGUGAGGGAGUUCAGUGAACUCGUCAACUUACGAGCACCCACUUAUGCAUGCCGAUAUCACAAUACCGUUUACUGAUGAGAUGCAGUACACAUACACUAAGUGCUAGUCUUAAUGGGAAAGGCCGAUAUCCUCAUUAGUGGCGUAACCCUUCGACUAGGAACAUGUUUAACAGUUAUAAUACUUAAGUAAAUAUCUCACGAUCCUAACGAUCAAUUACUAGUACUUGUAAUAACUGUAAGGACUAUAUCUAUGCUUGUGACAAAGGGACAAAGAUAUAGAAUGCCAAUGUGUUUUAUCAUUAAUACGAAUAACGGUUCGUUUAUUACAAUAAUAAAUACGAAAGACCACAGCCACAAGUUGGCUUGUUGGUCACCUACUCUAACACGAACCAUGUCUAACAGUGUUCGAUUCCGACGUUCGGAAACUCCAUUGAGUUGAGCAGUUCCAGGAGGAGUCCAUUGAGACAGAAUCCCAUUCUCUUUAAGAUAGUCUAUAAACUCAGUACUUAAGUAUUCGCCACCACGAUCGGAUCGUAGUUUCUUAAUACGUCUACCGAGUUGGUUUUCUACUUGGUGUCUAAAAUCUUUGAUCUUUUCAAAAGUUUCAGACUUAUACUUCAUUAAGUAUACGAAACCAUACCUAGAAUAAUCAUCGGUAAAUGUAACGAAGUAGUUAAAACCACCCCUAGCACUAACGCUUAGUGGACCACACACGUCUGAAUGGAUCAAAUCCAAAAGACCCUCGGCUCGUUCCAUCUUCCCUUUGAAGGAAGUCUUGGUCAUUUUUCCUUUAAGGCAGGACACACAAGUUUGAAGUGAUUUCACGUCCUCCAAGGAGAACAUUCCUUCAUUUACAAACUUGUUCAUCCUUCUCAAGGAAAUGUGACCCAGUCGAGCGUGCCAAAGUUGUGCGGGGUUAAGACUUAUAUCUUUUCGUUUUGCUGAUAUAACGUUAAUUGGUAUUUCAUUUGGAUUUAGUUCAUACAAGUUGUUUAUAAGUUGUCCCUUACAAAUCACAUUUUGAUCCUUUUGUAUAAUGCAAAUCGAAUUUCCAAAAACAAAAGUAAAACCUUCAUUAUCCAAAACAGGAAUAGAAAUAAGGUUUCGAAUAAGUGACGGAACGAAUAAACAAUUGUUCAAAACAAUAGAAAAACUAGAAUCCAAAACAGAAAGAUAAAUUGUCCCAAUGGCUUCAGCAGCAACCCUUGCUCCGUUGCCCAUUCUUAGGUAGGUCUCACCCACAUUAAGCUUCCUACUUCUUGUCAUGAGCUGCAAAUCAUUACAAAGAUGUGAGCCACAACCAGUAUCCAAUACCCAAGCAGAAGAUUUAACGGACAAAUUAACUUCAACUAAAUACGUACCCUUUUCAGAACGUUUCUGAUCGAGGUAAGCCUUGCAGUUGCGUCGCCAAUGGCCCUUCUUUCCACAAUGAUGGCAAGCGUCAUCAACUUGCUUGGUGACCUUGUCAUUCUUCACUCCGCUCGACUCGCCCUUCUCAAGUUUCUUGCUCGGGCCGAAAUUUCUUUCUUUCCUUUUCUUCUGGAAAGAACCUUUCUUCACAGAAGGAGCAACUAGGAGAACAUAUUUCUCCUUCUUGAUUGUGGACUCAUAGCUGACCAACAUGUUCAACAACUCAUCCAAUGGUGGAUCGAGUUUGUUCAUGUUGAAGUUCACUAUGAACGAUUCAUAAGAACUAGGAAGGGACAGUACGAUCAAAUCCACCGAGAGCUCGGCCGGGAGGGUGACAUCGAGGCUCACCAGCUUCUCAAGGAGAGUGAUCAUCUUGAGACCGUGCUCGUGGACCGAAGCCCCUUCACGCAGCCUCAUGGUGAUCAACUCCUUGGUAGCUGAGUACCUCGAUGCCCUAGUAUUCUCACUGUACAUGCUUUCAAGAUGAUGCUUGAUAUCAUAAGCAUGCACGUGAGACUCAUACUUCCUCGCGAGCUCUGGCACCAUGGAUGCUAGCAUGUAGCACCUCGCAUGGAGGUCGUCCUUCUUCCAUGCCUCGAAAGUGGCAGUCUCGUCAGCAGUAGCAGUCGCAGGAAGAGCAGUGGGGGGACGUUCAUUGAGCACAUAGAGACGCUCCUCGACUUGGAGCACAAGUUUCAGAUUGCGAAGCCAAUCCAAAUAGUUUGGACCGGUGAGUUUGUUUUGGUCGAGGAUUGAGGAAAGGGGAUGUUUGGACAUUGUUGCUGAGAAAAUUUUAAGAAGACAAUAAUUAGAGUUUAGUUCGUAAUAAUCGUUACAAUUAAAAUUUUGGACUUUUAUAUUUUAAUUGUUCUCCCACUAAUUUUAUCGAAUUCCACCACCCUCUAGCAGACAAUCGAGAAAACUUAUUUUUCUUUAAUGGGCUUUAGGUCCAAUAGCGCUAAUGUAACCCGUAGUUAAUCUAUCCCGAUUACACAAGCCUAAAGGUAGAGUACUAUCAAUCACAUCACUAUGUGACCCUAAAGUUCGAUUUACCUCACACUUGAUAAUGACCUAAGUUAAUCUAGCGAAUAUCAAAAUCUUCGUGUGUCAAGUCUAGCCUACCAAUAUGAGAUGUUAUAGAUCCAACUAUAUCAAACUAAUGCAAUCCCUAGUUAAUCUAGCCGACCACAUUAAUCCAACAUAAUUUUAUCUAUGACCGUAUCUCCAUCUAAUGUCAAUUAAAUUACAGCUUAUCCCACAAUAGCACUCCCCGCUAACACGGCUUACUGCACCAUUAUGAGAGGCUACACAUAAUUUAAUUGUUGGUAGAAGGAAAGAAAAAUUCAACAAUUUGGUUUUUCUUUAUAGCUUGAUAAUUAUUCUUGAUUAAGAAUGAGGGAUUUUAUUCAUUAAAUCUUAUUAGCUCAUCGGAAGUUUUAGGUUAUGAUCGUUUGUGAUUCCUACAACUAUGUUCUCUAGGUAUGUGGAAACGCAUAUUGAUCCUAAGAGAAACAUACGAUCAUCAUCGUACUUAAUCACAAUUAUUCAUCUCAUGAAUUAAUUAAUUAAUACGAUAAAUUGCAAAUAUAAUUAACGGACCUCCUUCAUUCAUAAAUCAUUCAAAUAAGAAUGAAGCCCAUUAAUUAUUUGCCAUCCAAUUUGUGUUCCAUUAAUUAAAAUAAUUUAACGAUUAAAUUAAAUAAUUAAUCCAACACUAUUCUUUGAAUUCAAAUUAAAUUAAUGGAUCAAUUAUCUAAUUGGGUUUAAUUGAUAAAUAAUUUCAAAAAUUAAAAAUCAAUUAAUUUUAAUAUUAAUCUCAGAAAAUCAAAUAAUUUUUUUUUUUUUUUUUUUGUGCUGACCGGACCGGUCGGACCGGUCCGAUCGGACCGGUCCGAUCAGACCGGUUCGGUCAGCUGGGGAAAAACAGCAGCAAAACAAAUCGAAUUUUUCAAAAUUAAAUUUUUUUAUAUUUUCUGAAAUAUUCAAAAUAUUUAAUUAAUAUUAAACCACCCAAUUUGAUAACACCAAAAAUUCAACAAUUCAACAAAUCGAAGAAUGCUUUCGAAAACGAUAAACACGUUGACAAAUAAACGAUUAACCCGUGGCUCUGAUACCACUGUUGGGGAUCGUGCAUGUAUACGCAACGGAAUUUAAAAUUUUAUAUCGAACUAGUUUCGAUUACAUGCAUAAACUAAUCACAUAGUCAACGUACCUUAACGCUUCCGCCAUACAUAUGGUAAUUUUCGAUUUAAUUGAAAAAUACAUAAAACCGAAAAUCACGAAACAUGCUUGUUCAUCAUUCAAUGAAAUUGAAACACGUAAUUACAUAUUACUCACAUUCAUAAAUUAUAAUUCAUACAAACAUGCUCGAAUUAAUUUACGAAAGUUUCGAUCAUUUACCUCUUGUAGCGUGAGAUUUCGACGAAUCGAAAUCCUAGAACGAGUCACGUACAAGCUGCAAAUUACCAAUCCUCGGGGCUGCAAUUCACGGCUGAACAAGCUGAUCCAGCAAGCAACGAACGGCGAUGAAUGGCAGCAGCAGCGGUGGCGCGUGGCAGCAGCAGCGGCGGCGCGUGAGCGGUGGUGCGGCGCGUGCGGCGGUGCGUGGAUUCGUCGGGGCAGCAGCUCCUCUCCAAUUAGGUUUCACCUCGUAUUUUCGACCCACUCGAACUACAACACUAGAUGUAAACGAGUUAGAUAACAACACGAAUAUAACGAAGGAAAAAGAGGAGAAAAACCGGCGGUGUUUCCGGCGGUGGUCGGCGGUGGCGCGUGCGCGGCAGCAACGGCCGAAGAGGGCUGAGCGGCUAGGGUUUUUGGUGCUGAAAAUCUGACCUCAAACUCUUUUUUGAGGUCUAUUUAUACUUAGGGUUUUCAACCCUAGUGGGCUUAAGUCAUUGGGCUUGACCCACUGAUGCAUUAAGCCCAUCCCCUCGUCGGCCUCGUUUCUAAUAAACGAUCGUCCACAAAAUUAUAACAAAAUUAUAUUUGUGACGAGUUCAAAGUCCUCGUCGAUACGAGUGCCUCUUCGAAAUUUCCAAUUUCCAAAAUUGGAAACUUCCACUUCAGUGGACUUGCUAAAUCGGGAAACUUCCCAAUUUAGAAACUUCACUAAAUUCCGCAUUUCUCUCUUUCUCCACGUUUAUUCCGAUUCGCAAUUCACAAUUACGAAUCUUGGAUUCAAUCAUAUUGACAUCCAAUCGUUCAAAGAUUAACACAUUAAUCUAUGCUUGUUGUUAUCAAGGAUCUAUAUUACACGAGAAGUGUGACCCUCAAUGGUUCAGGUGUAUGCUAGCCGUGGGCUCACAACUCUUUGUGAUUCGAACAACACAUUGUUCUUAUACGAACUCCUCCCAAGAGUCCUGAUUAGGGUAAAACUCAUUUUACCUAAUCCCCGAUCAAAUCGGUGCCCAACGAAUCAAGAUUGGCGUCUAGCAACUACGCAUCAUGAUUCCCUAGAUACAAAUGAAGUGCCUGCAAGAACCUUAUGAUAUAGUUAGCGUACAGUACGAUCCUUUCGCAGCACAUGUCCCGAUUGAACUAGAGGCAUUGGUUCACCGAGACCUCUUAUAAAGUUCAAUAACCGUGCGAACGUUCUAGGUAUUAUAAAUCCGUUCGUGUGCGACUUAGGGAAACACAUUUCCCUAAUCACCCCACUAUCAACUCUGGCCAGAGAUUCCAUGGAUUAUAAACCGUCAGAACACACAGGACAUCCAUGACUACUCAAGCGCUCGAAUCCCCUACUACAAUGCACAGACUUCACACUAGAUUUCGGAUUGCACGAACGUUGGCCCUUGGAGUGGUCCGCGGUGGGACUCAGGGACAGGUCACGAUACAAUCGGUCCUCUAGUGAAGUCACGGUGAUGUCUGGGUCUUAAGGACUAAUGGUGUACAACUAUAUCUUAGAAACCUAUUACUCGAUGAAUGAGAACCACUUAUAGAUUUCUAGGGCGAGGGAGUUCAGUGAACUCAUCCAGUAUGAGCACCCACUCAAGUAUGCCGAUGUCACAACACCGAGGACUGAUGAGACGCAGUACACAUACACUAAGUGCUAGUCUCAAAAGGGAAAGGCCGGUAUCCUCAUUAUUGGCGUAAUCCAUCGACUAGAAACAAGGUUUAACAGUUACAUUACAUUGCUGAGUUAUCUCACGAUUCUACUAGAUCAACUCACAGUAAUAGAGUAACUCGUUAGGACUAUAUCUAUGCUGCUUGCAUGGGAUAACAGAUAUAGAAUGCCAAAUAAGAUAUUUUAUUAUUACGAACGAAAAACGAUUGUUUUAUUACAAGGAAAAGAGAAAGACCACAGCCACAAGUUGGCUUGUUGGUCACCUACUCUAACAGAAAGAUCACCCUAACUUUGGAUGGGGAGGAAAUCAGCAAGGACAAAGGCAAGCACCACCUCAAGGUCAACCUCCUAGUUAUUCACGGCCAGCUCUCGGAUUCCAAAAUCCGCCUCAAGCUCCACCUCAAGGUGGAGACCGUGCAAAUAUCUUGGCCCAAUUUAUGACGUCUACCCAAGCAUCCAUCCGAAAUUUGGAAACACGGAUGGGUCAAUUUGCAACCAAACUAAACGCGAGGCCAGCCGGUACAUUACCGUCAAACACGGAAGAUCCUCGAAAGGGCAUCAACGAGCAAUGCAAAGCCGUAAGUUUGAGGAAUGGGAGAAAAUUGGAAGAAGUGACGAAGAAGGCGACAAGCAAGGAUGGAGGGGAGCAACAAGAAAAAAAAGUUGAGACUCUGACAGAUCCAUCUGGUGAGAAAAGGGUCGUUGCGCCUAAGCCGACCCCACAGGUACCUUAUCCUCAACGCCAGAUAAAGGCAAAGAAUGAGUCGUAUUACAAUAGUUUUCUUGAGUAAUUGAAUGAAUUACAUAUUAAUAUUCCUUUGACUCGAGCACUUGAACUAAUGCCUCAUUGGGUAAAAUUUUUGAAAAACCUGGUAUCGAAGAAACGGAAAUUCGGUGAACAUGAGAUGAUAGCCUUAACCGAACAAUGCAGUGCCAUUCUUACUCGCCCAAUUCCACCAAAGCUUGGAGACCCGGGUAAGUUUACAAUUCUAGUCGUUAUCGGAGGUAAGUUCUUUGCAAAAUCUCUCAUAGAUUUAGGAGCGAGCAUUAAUCUCAUGCCUUUCUCAGUUUUUCAAAGUUUGGGAUUAGAAGAUAUAAAAUUGGUAUCUGUGACUUUACGGUUAGCCGAUAGAUCACUCAUAUACCCAAAAGGAAUAGUAGAGGACGUGUUAGUUAAACUAGAUAAAUUCAUCUUUCCUGCAGAUUUUGUAGUUCUUGAUAUGGAAGAAGAUAAAGAAUUUCCUUUGAUUUUGGGAAUACCUUUUUUGAGAACGGGUAGAACUAUAAUUGAUGUGUAUAAUGGUAUUGUAUCUAUGUCUUUGGGGGAUGAAACGAUUAAAUUUGAUGUUUUCCGUACAAUGAAGCACCCUCAAGAGGGUGAUGAAUGUUUUGCUUUUGAUGUGUUAGAUCAAUUGAAUUUUGAUUUUAUUGAACCUUUAAUUGUGGAUCCGGUGGAAUCAUCUUUGAGUGUAGGAACAUCAGUUGAGAAAGAAGCAGUGACAGAACAAUUCUGUUGGUUGGAUUCAGCAAAGCCGCUGUCAAGACCACACUUUGAAUGUUUGGAAAUGGAGCUCCCGCUAUCUGUCACUUUUAAGCCUUCAGUGAUCGAACCUCCGAAACUUGAGCUUAAAGUUUUACCUUCUCAUUUAAAAUAUAUGUAUCUUGGAGCUCAUGAUACCUUACCUGUUAUUAUUUCUUCAUCUUUGACAUGUCUACAGGAAAAGAGACUUUUGGAUGUCUUGCGAGAGCACAAGCUAGCACUUGGAUGGAAAAUUUCCGACAUCAAUGGCAUAAUUCCAACUUUUUGCAUGCACAAGAUCAUAUUGGAGGAGAGCCAUAAAUCUUCAGUGGAACAGCAGAGGCGAUUGAACCUCAUCAUGAAGGAAGUUGUGAAGAAAGAAAUCAUCAAGUGGUUAGACGCAGGUAUUAUUUUUCCUAUUUCUGAUAGUGCGUGGGUUAGUCCGGUACAAUGUGUACCUAAGAAAGGGGGGAUGACUGUUAUAAAAAACGACAAAAAAAGAAUUAAUCCCUUCUAGGACAGUAACGGGUUGGCGAAUUUGCAUGGAUUAUAGAAAAUUGAAUAAAGCCACUUGAAAAGACCACUUCCCCUUGCCCUUUAUUGAUCAAAUGCUUGAUAGGCUAGCUUGUCAAGAAUUUUAUUGUUUUUUAGAUGGGUAUUCCGGUUAUAACCAAAUCGCCAUAGCUCCCGAGGAUCAAGAAAAAACCACUUUUACUUGUCCUUUUGGUACUUUUGCCUUUAGACGUAUGACUUUCAGUUUAUGCAAUGCUCCUGCUACUUUUCAACGUUGUAUGAUGGCAAUUUUUACGGACAUGGUUGAAUGUGGUCUUGAAAUUUUUUUGGACGAUUUUUCUGUUUUCGGUGAUACGUAUGACACUUGUCUCCAAAUACUGGCUAAGGUUCUUCGCAGGUUUGAAGAGACAAACUUGGUGCUCAACUGGGAAAAGUGUCACUUUAUGGUACAAGAAGGGAUUGUGCUUGGACACAAGGUGUCAAGGAAAGGGUUGGAAGUCGAUCGAGCCAAAAUCGAGACAAUCGAGAAAUUACCGCCACCAAUUUCAGUAAAGGGAAUUCGAAGUUUUUUGGGACAUACAGGAUUCUAUAGGCGGUUCAUCAAGGAUUUUUCUAAGGUUGCUAAACCACUGUGCAAUUUGUUGGAGAAGGACGUCAAAUUUGACUUCAAUGACGAAUGCCUCAAAGCCUUCGAAGACUUGAAAACAAGGUUAGUAAAUGCUCCUAUUAGUGUUGUGCCUGAUUGGAAUGAACCCUUUGAACUUAUGUGUGAUGCCAGUGAGUAUGCGGUAGGUGUCGUAUUGGGUCAAAGAAAGAAUAAAUUUUUUCAUUCAAUUUACUAUGCUAGUAAAACACUAAACGAGACGCAAUUAAACUAUAACACUACUGAAAAAGAGUUGCUAGCAGUUGUUUUUGCAUUCGAAAAAUUUAGAUCAUAUCUUAUAAGCACAAAAAUCAUUGUCUUUACGAAUCACUCGGUUUUGAAAUAUUUGAUAGAAAAAAAAGAAGCAAAACCUAGACUUAUUAGGUGGGUCUUACUGUUGCAAGAGUUUGAUUUGGGUCUUACUGUUUGCAAAACCUAGACUUAUUAGGUGGGUAGCGAGAACCAAGUAGCCGAUCAUUUAUCUAGGCUAGAAACGGAAUUAAAAGAUCCAAUUUGCAUUAAUGAAAACUUUCCGGAUGAACAAUUGCUUGUUGUUGAUAAUCAAGAAGUACCAUGGUAUGCGGAUUUUGUGAAUUAUUUAGUUAGCCAUGUACUUCCACCUGAGCUCACUUUUCAUCAACGAAAAAAGUUUUUACACGAUGUGAAUUUCUACUUUUGGGAAGAACCCUUUUUUUUUAGACAAUGCAGCGAUUUAGUCAUUCGAAGAUGUGUACCGGAAAGCGAGCAAGGAGAUAUACUUUUUCAUUGCCAUGGCUCGGACUAUGCGGGGCAUUAUGGAGGUGAGCUCACGGCGAGAAAUGUACUUCAAUCAGGUUUCUUUUGGCCAACUCUGUUUAAAGAUUGCUAUAAUUUUGUAUCAAGUUGCGAUAGAUGCCAGCGAGUUGGUAAUAUUUCUAGUAGGCACAAACUCCCAUUAAAUACAAUGAUCGAAGUAGAGCCCUUUGAUGUAUGGGGAAUAGAUUUUAUGGGGCCUUUUGUCCCAUCAUUCCAUAACCUAUACAUCUUAGUGGCCGUCGAUUAUGUAUCUAAAUGGGUUGAGGCGGCCGCCUUUCCUACUAAUGAUUCUGCAGUGGUUUGUGCUUUCUUGAAAAGACAGAUUUUCACUUGCUUUGGAACACCACGAGCAAUUAUUAGUGAUGGAGGCACUCACUUUUGCAAUAAACAAUUCGAGGCACUCUUGGCCAAGUAUGGUGUAAAGCACAAGGUCGCAUUGGCCUACCACCCACAGAUGAACGGGCAAGCCGAGGUCAGGAAUCGUGAAAUCAAAAACAUCCUCGAAAAAGUUGUGAGUCCUACCCGGAAGGAUUGGUCGAGAAAAUUAGACGAUGCACUUUGGGCAUAUCGUACAGCUUACAAAGCUCCACUUGGGAUGACACCGUGUCGAUUGAUUUAUGGCAAGGCGUGUCAUCUACCGGUUGAAUUGGAGCAUAAUGCAUUUUGGGCAAUUAAGAAGCUGAAUUUCGAUCUUGAAGCAUGCAAGGAGAAACGAAUGAUGCAACUCAACGAGCUCGAUGAAUUGAGAUUGAAUGCUUAUGAAAGCGAUUGUGUAUACAAGGAAAAAACCAAGCGUUGGCACGAUAAAAAGAUAUUGCAUCGAGAAUUUCAAAAGGGUCAAUUGGUACUCCUUUACAACUCCCGUCUAAAGUUGUUUCCGAGAAAACUCAAGUCAAGAUGAUCCGGACCGUUUACUAUACUCGAAGUAUUUCCGCACGUGCAGUCAAGUUAUUGGACUCCAAAACCGGAAAAUCUUUCAAAGUCAAUGGGCAACGCCUCAAGCAUUAUCGGGGAAGGAAAUUCAAUCGCCAAGUGACUUCGGUCAUGUUACUCAACAAGAAGGCAUAGACUAUACGGAAACCUUCUCACCUGUUGUUAAACUUACUACUGUCAAACUUUUAUUGGCUUUAGCUGUCUCUUAUUUUAUUUGUUUUGUUAGUUUAUGUAGCACCCUCAAUGAUUUAAUAGAAAUUCUAGAAAAUACGGACUUUAUUAAAGACUUUUGGAACAAAUUUGAACUUUGAGAAAAACCACUUUAAAAUUUUUGAACCAUUUUCCUUUACUUCAAAUCUAAUCCACAAUCGGAAAAUAAGAUUUUUCAUAGAGAGUGUACCAUAACAUGAACGGGAUUUUUAAAAGAAUCUCGAGGUGGCGGAAUAAUCCACAUAAAACAUCACCGGGGUUUAGAAAACACUCGUAAGACAGUGGAAGGAAAUAAACUUUAUUUAAGAUACCCCCGUUUAAUAGACUGGGUUCCAAUCAGAGUACAAAAUAAGGUUAUACUAUGUGAUUAGUUUUUCGAUAAAACGUUGCGUAGAAAAUACGAGUAAAAUAAUCUAGGCACCAAGGCUCGUGAUUCCUCGAACUCCACUCCGCCGGCCUCCUACGUAGCUUGGAGAACCUGAAAAGAUAAUUUGCAUAAAAGCAUGAGCCCAAACACUGGCUCAGUAAGGACAUUAGUCUUAGUCUGACGAACUCACGCCUCUCUCAUCGUAUCUCUCACGACCUAUGGGAGUCCUAAGGUAUUCGUCUAUGUCCUUUCCAACUAAUUAUGUUAUCCCUACAAACAUGUCACACAUAUUCAAUCACAUAAAUACACAUAUAAGCACAUAACAUAUUUUCUCUUGAAAUCGAGAGCUUCACAACGAAAUUAUGGUUUUGUUUCAAAAACUGCUUAAAAAUCAUUAUGGGAAUCAUUCCUGUAAUUUAAUUCACAAUUUACUUGCGAAUCCGAUUUAGGCAAAAAGUCCCUUUCUUUUAAAAACAUAAUUUCUUUUAAAAUCUUUUGAAAAUCAUUUUAUUUUUAUGCGUAGAUGCGUAUGACGGGAUCCCUUAACGUAAGCAGCGACAAUAGACGUUUUUAUACUGAGCCCGGUCUUUGGUGAGAGCUACCCACCCUGCAGUCUAUAGUAACUUGUCAUUUGGGAUACCGGCCCGCCGUAUCCCGUGUCUAUUCAUCGGAGCAACGUUAACGUUUUGACUCUUCUAUACUAGACCAUGCAACCAUUUAAUGACUCGAGGAAUGCACGUAAUUUAAAGAUCUUAAUACACCAUUCAAAUAAACAGUAAUAAUUUCAAGUACGUCAUUCACAUAAUUUCAAAGGAGUUAAAUCACAUCACUCGAUAAUCAAAUCAUAUAAAUUGGGAGCAAAUUCCGAAACAAUAGUAAGUACAUAUAGAUCAAACAUUAGUAAUAAAGACACAUAUACUUUUACACGUAUAUACACAUAGGCACUUAUCCGUAUUUAUAUACUUAUACAUAUACGUAUAUACUCUAAUUUAUAACUAUGGGUUAUAAGUUUCCUCAACCCGAGGGGAGUACGCCUAUAACAUCAUAGGUCUAAACUAUCGAUAUACAUAUAUAUAUACUUAUAUAUAUACAUACUUAUACUUCAUAAGAGUAAAACACAUUAUUCAAUAAUGAUCAUUGAAAUUCAAUAUUUCACAUAAUUUCUAUUCAAAGGACCAUAGAAAAUCGAAUCUAUUAAAAGUACUAGCACAUAGAAAGUUUCAAGAACAACUUAUCGCUCUAAAGAUAUACUAGUCUUUUUAUCUUACAUAUAUCUACUCUAAUAAUGGUUCUAAGAGGGGACAUAAUAAUCUAUGUAACUUAAUCUAUAUUUAUUACCAUGUUAAGUCAUGUCUCAAGAGUUUAAACCAUGCCCACGAAGGACCCCUUUAAUUCGUUUUUAGGAAAAUCUGACAGUUUUGACACUUUAACUUUGAAAAUACAUUUCUCUUAAACCGUAACUCCAAAAAUUCUGAAACUUUAACAAAAUACUCCUAUAUCAGUGGAAAAGAAUCCUUUAAAACAGUUUUCCAAAAUAACCAGUAGCCUAAGAGAAAUAAGUAAAACAGUACAGUAGUAUGGUCACACUUUCAGAAACAGAACCAGCCACUUUAAAAAUACCCAAUAAAUCACCCUUUUCUUAAAACACUGCACACCUUUGUCAAAAACUGGUUUUAUAAGUUAUAAAUCCAUUCCAAGUGGAAUAAAGGAAAUCAAACUGGGAAAACAUCGAUUUUAAAAGCAAAUCCUCAGCUGACUCAAAAACUGUGCAGGUUUAGUAAAUGAUUCAUAUCUUAAUCAUCUGAAAUCCGAUUGAUGAUUAAAAUAUAUCAAAUUAAAGAGAACAGAAAGAUCUAGUUACCCAUGAAAUUUCGUGAUUUUAAGAAAAGAGGGCAUCUGUGAAACAUGCAGUAAACUCCGGGACUGAAAACCUGAAAAUUCAUUAGUGAUCUAUAUCUACAUCUUUGAUCAAAACAGAUCUGGCAGUUUAGGCACUAUAAAUUCAGAAAUUCAUAUCUCCUAAUCCGUAGAUCCAAACCUAAUGAAAUUUGGAAAACAUGUUUAUAUCUAAGUCUAGUUUAUAGGGUUAAAACAGUGUAUGAAGAAACUCACCUAUGUAAGAGAUAUAAUCAAUUUAGUGCAGUAACCUAAGCAGAAAUUCAGAACAGAUCCACUAACUUUAAAAAUACCAAAUAAUUCAUUACUUAAUCCAAAAAUUACCAAAUUUUGUAGAAUAUUAGUUUCAUAAGUACAUAAUCAUAUUCGAGUGAAAUCACUUCAACAAGAGUAGUAUAAAAAGCUAUUUAACACAUAAUUCGUGGAUGACUCCGAAACUGUGCAGAUUCAGAAAACGAUUCAUAACUCACUCAAUACAAAUCCGAUUUAUGCAUAAUUUAAAUCCACAUGAAGCUAACCGAAAUAUCUAGACUACCAUCAAAUUUCAUAAUUUUAUCUUAGGGAUUACCCGAUGAGACAUGCAAUACAAUCAGAAGCUACGAAACUGAAAUUCACUUAGUGUUCAUCAAGAGCUUUAUCUUCUAGAGCCCAAAAUUAAAACCACAAACAUAUAAUUCAUUAAGACCCAUAUAAUUUAUAUUAAUUAGGUUAUUAUUUCAGUAAAGACCAAGGUCCUUACCCAAGAGCAAGAAAUCGAAGAUGGAGUAAGAAAACCAAAGGCUCGGUGGAUUUUCGGUGGGUUUGGCUUGGAUGUUCUUGGAUGGCUUUGGGGCUGAGUUUGAAGGAUGUGAAGGGGCUAUUUCUUGAAUAUUUUUAGCAGAAUUGAAGAGAGGGAGUUUCUCUUGGAGAGGAAUUGAAGAGAGGAAGGAGAGAGGGGCUUUGAUGGGUGAUGGAAGAAGAGAAUUCUUCUUUGGGGCUGUUUUUGAUCGAUGGAGAGGGAGAGGAGAGGGAGAGGAGAGGGCCUUUUUGGCUGAUGUUUUUGGUGUGAAGAGAAUGUGAAGAGGAGGGGUUUAUUUAUAGGGGAGAUGAGGCCCUUAUUUGCAAUAUAAAAGACAUUGGGGUUUUAUUGGAAAUUUGGAAGAACAUACCUUGGGGGCUUCUUAGCAAUAUAGAAGAGAAGAGAGGAGUCCCUUGUAAUUAAUAAACUUAGGGAGUAAUUCACUUUCCCUCACACACAACACACGGCCAAUACACACACUAAAACAUAUAAUGCAUAUAAAUUCCAUAGGAUACCAAUUAAACUAUAACGAAAACUAAUUUCACAUCAUCUCAAUCCUAGAUUAAUUAUCAAUUAAAGCACAUCAUUAAAAUCCAUGGACUAAAGCACAUAAUUCAUUAAAUCACAUAAUUAGAAUCAACUACUCAAUUAAUAAUAAUGUCUACUUCUAAAAAUACUAUAAUGUAUCUAAAUCACAUAAACACAUAGAGAACGUAUAAAUUGCUACUCAAUUCAUUAAAUGCACGUAUAUUCGUAUUUACUAUAUGUCAAUAUAAUCAUAUAUAAAUGCUUAUGAAAAUGCGGGCUGUUACAAACUCGAUGUAAACAAUGCAUUCUUGAAUGGUGACUUAAAGGAGGAGGUCUAUAUGGAUUUACCAUCUGGUUAUCCACAUUCUGCUCCUAAUAUGGUUUGUAGACUUAACAAAUCUUUGUAUGGCUUAAGCAGGCUUCUCGGCAGUGGAAUGAUAAAUUUACAGAGGCUGUUUUGCAAUUGGGCUUCAUUCAAUCCCAAUCCGAUUAUUCCCUCUUUACUAGAGGGCAAUGUGGUAAAUUUAUUGCUUUAAUAGACUAUGUUGAUGAUAUGUUUAUAGUUGUUCUAUUUCUAAUAUCAGUCAGCUUAAACUUGAAUUGGGAAAUAUUUUUAAACUCAAAGACUUAAGUGAUAUGAAGUUUUUCUUGGGCAUUGAAAUUGCAAAGUCAAGAGCAUGUAUCUCUAUUUCACAGAGACAAUACACUCAUGAUUUACUUAAAGAAACUAGUUUAACAGAUUGUAAACCUGUGCUUUUGCCCAUGGAUCCUAAACUUAAAUUGAGUGCUGCCGAUGGUGAUCUUCUUGAUGAUCCUUCUUUAUAUCGAAGACUCAUUGGUAGAUUGUUAUACCUCACUUUAACGAGACCUGAUGUUACAUUUUUUGUGCAUAAAUUAAGUCAAUUUGUUUCUUCUCCAAGAUCUGUUCAUUUGCAGGCUGCAUAUCAUCUUCUUAGGUAUCUUAAAGUUGCUCCAGGCCAGGGCUUGUUCUACUCUUCCAAGUCAGAUCUUCUUCUAAAAGGUUUUUCUGAUACUGACUGGGGCUCUUGUCUCGACACAAGAAGGUCUACCACCGGUUUCUGCAUUUUCCUCGGAGAUUCUCUUAUUUCAUGGAAGUCUAAAAAGCAGAUGACAGUUUCUAGAUCUUCUGCAGAAGCAGAGUAUAGAGCAUUGGCAUCUACAUCGAGUGAACUUGUUUGGAUUAAUUAACUUUAAAAGGAUUUCCAGAUUCCUUCUUUUUCCACUCUAUUUUUUUGUGAUAACUUAGCAGCCGUUCAUAUUGAUUCCAAUCCAACAUUUCAUGAACGUACCAAGCACAUCGAAAUCGAUUGCCACUUUGUUCGAAAGCAUGUCACCCAAGGCACACUUAGACUCAUGCCUAUUCGAGGAUCUGACCAGCUAGCAGAUGUUUUCACCAAUGCUCUUUCUCUACCAGCCUUUCAGUAUCUUUUAUCCAAGAUGUCCUUUAUUAAUAUCUACAGUUCAAGUCCAUCUUGAGGGGGAUAUUGAAUAUUAUUUUAUGUUUGUUAUUUCCAUCUCAAGUUGUUUAUUGUUAAAGUUGCUAUUUAGUAAAUAGCAACUUCUAUUGUUGUAAAUAAGUGAGUAGCACUUUUUCCUUAUAUUACUUUGUAUAUAUAGUUGUACUCUUAGUUUUAGCAGACUAACGAAAUAAUAACAAUGAAUAUAAAAAUACGAAUAAAGUUGUAUCUUCUUUCUCUCUUCUCCAGUCUUCAAUGGAAAACCCUAAUUGUUGGUUUCAACAAUUAUAUAUAGCACAUGGAAUUAGAGUCCCACAUAGAGAGGAGUACAUGGAAACAAAUCCCACUCCUUCUAUAACUCUAUAUAGUCGAAAAUUUCAGUUCAAUGGGAACUUAAUUUUCGGCUAUAUUAAUUCCAAUAUAUAAUAUUGGUUGAACUUUAUUUUCUCGAUUAACUAGAAAAUCCAACGGGCUACAAUAGGGACUAAAGGAGAAAAUAUAAAUUGGGCAAUUAAUAAUUAAUUAAAUCCAAACUCUUAAAAGAAUUCAUUUAAUUAAUCAUUAAAUAAUUAUUUAUUUUCCACUACCAAAUAAUUAUUGAACUCCCGUUUAUAUUCUCAAAUAUUACAUUCGAGCUCCAUUCGAUCAUUACUUAUAUUCUCCCCACAUUAAGAUAUCUUAUAACCACCAAAUAAUUUAUUCACAGUUAAAUAAAUUAAAGGGAUACUUUUCACGAGUCUUACCGGCUUAACUUAUUUGAGUAUGCCGGAUACGAAAUCCACCUGGCCAGGACUUGGCAUAAACAAAUCUUAUAAGCUACUCAAGGGUUAUUAUCAAUCCCAUAUUUCAGAGAUAUGGAUUCCUUUCAAUAAUUAAUUUCCACGUAUUAAUUCUUAAUGUCUCUACCCAACGCACCGGGGGCCAUUUGACUCAAUAUAGGAAUCUCUCCCAUUGUGACAUCAAAGUAGAGAUCAUCAAUUAAAUAUGUACGUUAAUUAUCUAGGGAUUAAGAGAGUACAUUUAUGAACAGUGAUGAAACAAUUAUUUCACUUUGUUCGGUUCAACACAUGCCGGGUGUGCUAGCACAAUACGUCAAAACAAUAACUACAAAAGUUAUUAUCUGUUUACUGUGACCAAGACCAAUCAAUUAAAUAUUGUGCUACAAUCUUUUACCAAUGGUUAGUCCAUUUCCAUCUAGAUUGUGAACGUUUAUCUUUAUAUUCUAAACGAACUUUCCAAAUGAUCUUUCUGUGCGCCGUAGCAAACCAUUUCGAAUAUUAUUAGAAUAUUAGCCUUAUGCUUUUAAUUAAUUGACAAACAGUCAAUUAAAUGCAUUGAAUACCCUAGUGCAGAUUCUCAUAAAAUGAUAAUAAACUAUUUUAUUAAUUCAAUAAUAAAAAUGAAGCUAAAGCGAGACUUUUAGCCUACUAUCCUAACAAUCUCCCACUUAGACUCAAAGACUCGCAGUUCAACAUAUCUAACCCUUGCAUAGAACAAAUCUAUGGGGCUAUCAUCCGAUGUAAAAGCAUACACUGUAUGCCUAGAAGAAUAUGCAAUCGCAGGAUUGCAUAAACCUCCCAUUAUAAAUUUUCACUUACUUAGGAAAAUAAAUCUCCCAAAGUGGUAACAUAAAUAAAAAUUACUAUUAAUCGACCAUUAAUUAUUGAGUCGUACCAAAACUAUCCGCCUAGUAAACUAGUAUAUAAUCUUGUAUCCUUGAAUACUUAAGAAUAUAGUUUACCGCAGUCCAACAUACUAGCCUUAAAUAAAUUCACAUUUGCUAACUGUGCUAGAUGCAAAGCAAACCUUGAAUUUAAUUAUUUACUAUAGCAUAUGUAAGGCUUCCUUUACAAUAAGGAAUUGCCUUCAACAUGUCUAUCGCAUUACAUAUUCAAAGACACUAAUUUCUCGAUAGAGUGACUCCGUGCCUGAAAGAUACAAUUCUUUCUUCGGAAUUUGUACAUGCUAAAUUUGACAAGUAUUUAAAUCAAUAUAACUUGUCUGUGACAACUUAAUGUCAUAGAUCUUAUAAAAUGAUCAAUACGACAUAACUAGUUUCACUCAAGUUAUCUAUAUUGAUUUGAUUCGAGAAUCAAUACCCUUACUUAAAUAAUUUCCAAAUAAUUUUCUAAAAGGAAAUUAUUAUUAAAUACAUCUUUUAAUACUUUCAUCACGCUUCCGUUACAAAAUGUGACAUAUCUAGAAUCCUAAUCAAAAUCAAAAUAUUGAUUCUAAGAUCAAUUUAAAUAUCACAUAAUAUGCGCACUUUGCUUAAAUUCAUAAAUGAAUUUAUUAAAUUUGCAUUACAAUGCAUAUGGCUCUAAGAUAAAAUCCAUUUAAUUUGCAUCGUGAAAUGCACUCGUCAAGAGAUACGAAAUCUGGACAUCCAUCUACCAAAUUUAAAACAUGGCACUGAUAGAUUUUAGUAAUGUGAAUAGACUAAAGUGUGGCUACUAGCUAGUAAGUUUCCUCGUAGUCGAUCCAUUUCUUUCCGACAGAACCUUCUUACUGUAAGCCUAACCUUUUAAAAAGUUUUUCACUUUUCUCUGUCUAACCAUUUCCACUUUGGAUUCCUAUAGUACUAAGCCAAUCUCUUGCAUCUAUAGAAAUGGGCGUUCAUUCAUAGUUCUAGGAAGGAAUUAUAUGUUCAUCAAGAAUCUUGUUAUCACUAACAUUCUAUAAAUAUACAAUCUUACGGUUUCAUUAUGAAUCCUCCCACUAGGAUAAAUGACCCUAAAUGUAACACUAGUAACUUAAAUUCCUCCCAUUGGAAAGUGACAUUGGAAUUUCUAUACUAGAAUACAACCGAAACUCUUAACGUAUUUAGGGUAUACUAGAAUAUUAAGACGGUCAAACUUCCUUAAAACUUCGUCAUUAGGCUAUGUAGUCCAAAACAUGAUCUUCCUAUAAGAAUCCAACAUUGAUACAAAUCAAUGUUUUCUUAACUCUAGGAAUCAAAAUGGACCACCAUAUUUUUUCUCUUAUUAUUCCAUACAAGAGACAUUUAUUUCUAACUUAUCUUCUGUCAACCAUGUUCUCCCGAAGCAUAAUUGCUAACUGACUCCAGUUCCGAAUUCUACAACGAUUGUACGUUCAGACAAUCUUUAAUUCGGUAAGAGACAUUGGAUACUAACUCAGAAGAUCUUAAGUUCGUAAAUAAAUAACCGUCUCAAAUGUGUAUAUUAGAAAAAUAAAUAAUACUCAACAAAUCACUAUAGAUUAACGACGAAAAUAAUUAAUUUAACCGUCUUCAAUGAGCAUUAAUUAUUUUCGUCGUUAAAUUACAUUCUAUUGUGGUUCAAUUUGGUACAAACAUAUCUAGAACAAAUCCCUAGUUUAACCAAACAGUUCAAUAACUUAUACCCAUAAGUUUCGCCAUAUCAAAUGACUUGAUAUAUUUAUCCAAAUGCUUAUCUGUCACGGUCUUCAAUUUCUUUAAGACCUCAGAUGUAUGGCGCAUAAUAUGAACAUAUCUAUGUCUCGAGAUAUCAUCACUAAAUGAGACGAACUACUCAAAACUACUUUAACUAGGGUAUUUGUAGGUCCACAAACUAUAUAAUAAAAUAAAUCCAAAAAUUACUUGAUCUUAUUUACACUAGGCCCAUCAACCGGGCACAUGGUCUUUUUACUUUCCGAAUAAAAUUCUUAGACUGACAGUGCCUUCACUUUUCAUGAACCGUAAAGGCCCAUUGUAAAUCAGUCUCAAAAUUGUAUUUAAAAUAAAAUCCAACCUCUUGUAAAUAUCAAAUAAUCAUGCCAUGGAUGCGAUGCGAAUAUAUAUAUACUUUAUUGAGGUUAAUUAAUAGAUUUAUCUAUUGAAUAUAAUAGUAGUGUAGGAAAUAAAAGAUUAUCAAUGUAUUUAUUAUCAAUCAAUGUGUCUAAAUAAAAUUGUUUAUUUUCAACAAUGACCGAGUCAUUAUUAAAUAAACAAACUAUUUAUUUUAAACCAUCCUAUAAAAGAAAAAUAAAUUCCUUCUAUUUAGAAUACACAAAAUGAUAAUCUCUGAAUAUAAAAUCCUACUUUCGAUUUAAACAUAAUUAAAUGUCACUACUAUUAUAUAUGUCACGUGAGUGACAAGAAGCCUAAUUACUAGCUGACGAUUAAGGAUUGACUGAAUAUGAAUUCUUGAAGUGCCUUCUCCGAUCAUCAGAGGAGCACAAACUCUAUUUGAAUUUCCCAUAAUAAUUUCAAUAGAAAAGAUCCUUUUCUUAUUCAAUUGAAAAUAUUAAAAUUCAAUAGUUUUCUUUUGGAUUAAGUUGAUCUCGUUAUUCCGCUGAUCUUGGUUUCUAAGAAAUCAUGAACUGUCAAAAGACGUAUAGUCUUUCGAACAUAAAGACUAACCAAUUAUCCAAAUAAAUAUGCAUGUACUCAAGAGGCUUUUAAUAUGGCUACAAAUAAAAAUAUAGUUCCAAAUUUCUCACGUUACUAAGAAAUUUACUAUUAUGUUAUUUUGUACUUGCCAUGGGCUCAUCGUAGUGUUUCUAUAUAUUGAACCAAAAUUCAAUAUAUAACACCGAACCAAUUAAUCGUCCUAAGAAAAUAAAUGAAGAACUAAAUUUUCUUCCAAAAAUUCACUUCAUUUAUUAACUCACGAAUUGCAUCAAUGAAAAUACAUAUUUUUAAUUCCUCAAUCGAAAGACAAUACUUAAUAUAUUAUUAUAGGUCGAUUAAUCCUAGCAAGGUGAGUCUAUAAAGCGGAUCUAAGGAAUAUAUCAUUAAUUGCUAGAGAAUCAAGGAAACUGUUUUAAACUAUCAAGAAGGGCAUCCUUAAAAACUCUAGAUUGUCACUUAAAAUGGCUCCCUCAAGCCAAAUUUUGGAAUCAACCGACAAUCCAUCACUAUGAGGAACCGGUAGGCUACCGAGUGUAGACAGACUACAAGUUUUCAAUAGAUAGACAUGCAAAACAUCUUUAAUUUUAUUAUCAUUCCAAUUCGGCGGUCUUGGAAAAUAAAAUUAAAUAGUCGGUUACUUUGGUCCAAUAAAAUAUAACAGGGACUUCGGAGUGAAGUAUAGUUAUAAUUAUAUUUUAUUGUUAAGUGUUUAACCAUCAAGUCAUCUUUAAAUCAAUUUUUCUAUGAUAUCGGUCGACUCGGAGUGAGACAAACAUAUCCCUACAGUUUCUUUAAUAAUUAUCUGUUAGGAGACUUUUCUAGAUAAGUCUAUGAUUAAAAGUGCCCGGAGUGGGAGCGAAAUUCCGGAUUUAGACUCCUUAAUUUUCCGCUAUUAUGGUUAAGUUGGGACUCCCGGAUUUAGACUCCUUAAAAUUAGGAAGUCCAAAAGUCCCCGUAAACUCCAGAACUCUCGAAUUCUAGGCUACCCGGAGCCGCUGCCCGCUGCCCAAUGUCGAGACCCCACGCGGUUGAUAAUUCUGGUAUUGUCUUGGAAUUUCCAGCCUUGUUCUGAAAUUUAUAUUUCUAUUUGGGUAACUUCGAUUCACGAUCCUAACGGUCCAAUUCUACGGCAAGAAGUUAGGAACCUCCAGAAAACAUUUCAGCUCGAUCCGACGGUGGACUAGGCUGUAAUAACAGAAACGGCACAGUUGUGCAGACAAUUCCGAGAACAAAAAUUGCUCUAUUCUAUCUAUGUAAUUUCUAUCUAAAACUCCUCUAGAAAAAUUACAAAAAAUAAAAAUAUCGUAGGCACACGAUCUUCCAUCAAUAUCUCGCGAUGGAAAUUAAAACCGACAAGUAACCACUCACGACGCAGUGGGAUCCAUUCACAUAAAACAGAAAUAAAACAUCCAUAACCAUAAUAGCGGAUUUUCUAUUCUGCAAAACAAUGUCAGAAACAAAACGCUACAUGCAGUGGCGGAGCCAGAAAUUCGAAAUAGGGUGGGUUUUACGGGGUUCACGGGCAACGUCCCCGAAUUCUUUUUUUCCGAUUAAUACAUAAAGUAGCACAAAAUAACUACAAAUUUAUAAAAUUUAACUAAUAUAACAUAAAUUCAAUCCUUUAAAGUUACAACUCUAAAUAUAGUCAUAAAAGUUAUUACAAAAUUACAAAUGACCCUUUCGUGUUUUCAUUUUCUAAAAACUCUCAAUGAUUGUUUCAUUAUCAAUUUGUGUGGAGACUUCUCUCUCAAUAAAGACAAGCAAAGAGUCACUUAACCAUUCAUCAUUCAUCCGAUUGCGCAAUCCAUUCUUUAUGAUAUUCAUAGCUGAAAAUGCCCUCUCAACAGUAGCGGUAGCAACUGGCAAUGUUAAUGCCAAUGUCAAAGCAAGUAUACCAAAGGAUACACCUUAUUUCUCCUAGUGUCUACCAUUAUCCGAGCAAGAUCACUUAUACUAUUCAAUCCAAACAAAUCCUUGCUUAGGCGCAUAUCAACAAUAUAAUUAUCCAAUUGAUCACUGAGCUUACAUUUGUCAAACUCGAUAAAGUCUUCUGGAUAAUAAUCAACAAGACGAAGUAGUUUUUCCUUGUUAUAAUGGGAGAAUGAGUUCGAUGGAUCAAGGCAAGAAACACACAUAAGCAGUUCCAUGGUCGAAUCAGAAAAUUGAGCAUUUAAUUCUCCAAGUUGCAUAUCCAAGACAGUGUAAAAUGUCUGAAUCUUAUAAUGAUGUAGGUUUGUCAUUUCUUCUUCAUUCCGUCAUCUUCGCCCUCGAGCAACAUAUUUAGCAUCCAUUUGAAGAAUAUCAACUCCGUGUUUCUCACAAACAGUUGUAACGCCAUCAAGUAAAGAACUUCACCCACUUUUUUCUCAAGGAUUGAAUUUGAAUCUUUCACAAUUGAACUAAUGUCAUUGCAUUCACAAUGUCUUGAUCUUUUCUUUGAAGUGCUUGAGAUAGCUCAUUUGUGAUCGCUAGUACUUUUUUCAUCAAAAAGAGGCUCAACAAAAAAUCAAAUGACAAAAGUCUAUCUACAAUAUCCCGUGCUUCGGUACGAUGACUUGUACUUGAAGCAUCACGACCAAUAAGUUCAAGUACAUCAAUCACCGCACCAAACAUAUUGAUCAAGCUCAAUAAAGUGUUGUAGUGAGAGCUCCAACGUGUAUCACCUGGACAUUCAAGAGUAUUAAAAAAUGAAAAUGGCAAGACAUUCUCAAAAUAAAAAAUGAAAAUCUUGAAGCUUAAAAAUAAUCUAACCUGUUCGCUUAAGAUUCGUUUCUUGAUUUAAACCUCGCCCAGUUGAAAUUUCUCCCAUAUCGAGUGCUUCAAGUAUUUUUUCAGAUUGCUUCUCUCUAAGCAAAUCACGACGUUUACACGAUGAUCCAACAACAUUUAACACUCUUGUAGUAAAAUCAAAAAGUGAAGAAAUAUGACCGUGUUUUCUUGCAACUGCUACUAAAGCGAGUUGUAACUGAUGAGCAAAACAAUGAAUAUAAUAUGGCGAAGGGUUCUCAUUCAAGAUAAGUGUUUUUAGGCCCUUAAGUUGACCUCUCAUGUUACUAGCUCCAUCAUAACCUUGACCUCUUAAUUUCAAGAAACUCAAUCCAUAUCUAGAAAAAACAUUAUAAAUAGUUGAUUUAAGAGUCAAAGCACUAGUAUCGGUAACAUGUUCAACUCCUAGAAAACGCUCAAUCACACUACCACAUUUAUCGACAUAUCUUAUCACCAAAGCCAUUUGCUCCUUAAUUCAUAUAUCACGUGCUUCAUCGACCAUCAGACAAAACGGCGAAUCACCAAGAUCACUUAUAAUUACUUUCAUAAUUUCCAUUGCAAAAGAAUUUACAAUCUUCAUUUGAAUAUCCGGACUUGUCAUCUUUUGGUUUAGCGGAGCAUUAUUCAAAGUAAGUGUCUUGAUAUCGGGAUUAGUUCGCCCAAAAGUUUCUACAAGUUGAAUAAAAUUGUCUGGAUUAGUCGAACUUUCACUUUCAUCGUGACCACGAAAUGCCAAUCCUUGUGUUGAGAGAUAUCGGGCCACCUCAAUCGACGUAUUUAAGCGGAUUUUAUAUCUAGCUUUUUCUUGAUUUGAUUGUUUGCAAACAACCGUCUCAAUAUGUUGCUUUUGAUUCAUCAAAUCUUGACAUUUUCUCCAAGCUAUAUUAUGUGCACUGUUGGGCCCCCCUACAUGAAUAGAUAAUUUAUCAUUUCUCUUCCAAUUUUUAAACCCUUCAGUAACAAAAUGAUCACCAUAAACAAUAUGCGGCAUCUUUUGAUACACUAUACUCCAACCAGUUACUAUGUCCGCUAAACCAAACUUUAUUAAACCGUCUAUUUUGGUUGCCAAAGAUUGUAGGAGGAAAGUCGUGGUUAUGAGGUUGGCAAGGGCCAUUUUGCAAAUAUGCUCUCCGAACUUCAUCUCGAACGUUAAUGUUAUAAUGCAAAAUACUAGGUCUUUGUCCAGGAUCUGCAGGAAGAUCUCCCAAGUUAACCUCUUGGAGUGCAUUACCGGAUGAAGAAUCAUCACUUAUUUGGGGAGGAGGUGAUUUUCUCUUCAAAUAUCUCCUCAUAACUGUUUAAUCAUACAAAAUUAAGGACGUAAAAUUUACUAAGCAAACAAAUUAAUCCAAUAAUCAUUUUCAAUGAAAAAACAUUAUUUUAAAAGUUGAAACUCAAAACUACUCUAACCUACUGCUUCUUACAUAGACAAUAAAAAAAUGUACAUAUUAUUUUUUUAUUUUAUUUUCUUAUUUUCAUAUAAAAAAGUUAACCCACAUAAACAACACUAUACUUAAUAUAAUAUGAACAUAUGUUAUCGGAUAUGGCAAGCACAACAAGUCAGCAACUAAAAAAUAAUUAGGUGAAUUGAGUUUCAUACAAAAUCAAGACCACUGACUCUCCACACAAAGUAAUAAUUAACUAAAAGAUUUUUUGUUUGGGGGGUAAAGUGCAAAACGGGCUAUAGUUUAGGGGGUAAACUGCUUUUUACUCUAUUUUUAAUAAACUUAUGAAAAUAUACAUUCUUUACCAGAAGACAAAAGUGAGAGGAAACAAAAUAAUGGAAUUGAGUUUUCAUGUUCUUCACAUACUACUAUACAAAAAAUUGGAAUUGCUUUUAUGAAACUCGUCACUAUUAAAAUCACUUCUUACAUAGACUUCUACCUCCCUCUUUUUCGAUUUUUCUUUUUUUUAUGCUAAAAAAAUUGGUCAAAGGACAAGCAAUCAAAUUAAAAUAUCUCACAUUUCGAAUAAUUAUAUAUAUGUGAAAAACAGAAAAAAAUAAAAUAUGUAGUACCAAAAGACAACUUCCAUUGAAAUUGGUAAAGGAAAUAUUCAAAAUCCUAAAAUUAGUUCCGUCUGCUACCCACAUAUAAUUAAUUACUAUUAAAUUCAUUCUUAAUCAAAUAUUAUCAAUUAAACCCUAAUUCCUAUAUAAAUAUCUGUACAAUAUUAUAAAGGGGAUUUUUUUUUACCUUAGUUGGAAGUCUGUUCCGUUUCUUAUUACAGAAGAAAAAUUGCAGAAGAUAGAGUUGUGGCGUAUCGUGUGUUAUUCCGUAGUAGAAUUUUGCAAAAGAAAAAUUGGACAAAAAACAGAGACAGACGAUAAGCAAGAAAUACUUAUUGCAGAAUAUUAAUUCUUAAAAAAGAAACGAGGCUUUGUGGUGGGUGGGCUAAUUAAAAUAUUUGGAUGGGCUGAAUAUACAUGGGUAUAUAUAGGUAAAAAAAAAAAUGCACAGUGGGCUGGAGCCCACCGUUGCCAAAGGGUGGCUCCGCCACUGACUACAUAUAACUGUAUAUUCACCUGACCCAAAUCACCCAUCUAAGUAACCACUACUGAUUAAGUUUCUACUAUAGGCAAACAGAGCUCUCACACUUGAGGCAUUUCGGAUCAUCUUCAAAUAAAUACAACAAAAAUAAAAGACAUGUGAUUUAUAGCAAAAACGAACAACAUAAGAAUCAAAAAAUUAAAUAAUCAAAUUAAUCCAAAGAAAAAUAUUUUAAUAUUAACUGUUUACAGAUCUUAAAAAACAUAGUAGAUCUUAUAUUUUUUUUAAUAAAAAAUACUAGAUCUGAUUUGAGUCCUCCCUCAACCAAACAAAGAGAAGAAACUAAAACAAUAUCGUAGAAACCAUUUCACAUGUAUAUAACUGUAUAACUGUAUAUACAUACAAUCAGUAGUGUAUAACAGUAUAUACAUAUAACUGUAUAUUCACCUGACCCAAUUUCUAUAGUCAUGUAUGUUAUAUGUAUCCAUGACUAUACAUGACUACAUAUAUGACUGUACAUGACUACAUAUAACUGUAUAUUCACCUGAUCCAAAUCACCUAUCUAAGUAACCGCUACUGAUUAAGUUUCUACUACGGGCAAACAGAGCUCUCACAGUAUUUCGGAUCACUUCAAAUUAAUACGAAAAAUAAAAGACAUAUGAUUUAUAACAAAAAUGAACAACAUCAAACAAAAUAAAAAAUCAAAUUAAUCCAAAGGAAUUUAUUUUAAUAUUAAUUGCUCACAGAUCUUCAAAAACGUAGUAGAUCAGGAUUUUUUUUUUUUUUGAAUAAGAAAUAGUAAAUUUUGUUUGAGCUCUCCAUCAACCAAAAAAGAGAUUUGCAUAUAAAACAAUUUUAAGGCCAAGAUCUAUCACUGUCUAAGUACUAUUCAUAUAUACCAAAUAUAUGUUUAAUUUCCAAAUAACCUGACCCCAUUCAAUAUUGGAGUCCAAAAAUUUCUACUGUUGUUCAAUUGGCACGCCAUGCCAAUUUUACAGGCUUAUUUUUAAGGCCUAAGCUUUAAGCAGAAGAAAACUUACAUUAAUUAAAAGAUGAUUUGUUUUAUAUUAACAGAGAAUACCCAAGCCUCUGCCGCCCGUCAUCACCCCCCAUCUGUUGUGCAUCUUCUUCGUUGGGGCCAGAUCUACUGAGAAAGAGUUUUAUGGAUAAUAAGCGAAGUCUUAUCCAUAACCUUCAGCACAAAAAAACACCGAGUCGAUGCUCUUCUUCGACUUGUUCUUCGUUCGUCGCCGGAGACUUUUCUGUUUUUUUUUUUCUUGGCGAUAGAGUUAGAGAGACGAAGAGAACGAGAGACGAAGAGAACAAGAGGGGAAGAGAUAAAACGGCGGAUGUUGUGGGUGUGAGUGGAAGAAAGACAAAAUUAGAGUAAAUUGAAAUUAAAAAGGCAAAACUGGUAAUUCAAGUUACCCAAGGGACCGUCUCACUAAUAAAGAUUAGAAUUUAGGUUUUUAACAAUGACAAAAUAAUUCAUUCGACCUCGUCCUAUAUAUUUUCAAAAUUAGGGGUUAUCACUCAUUUACCCUUUAUAAUAACUUUGUUGUUCAUUCUCAAGAAGUUGGAAAAGCAUAUCUCUAAUCUUACCACCCUGUACUCCACAAUUACCAUUAAAUCAGCUCCAUGUAAAUGCAUGCAUGCACAAAUGGUUACAUAUAUAGAACAGGGUUCAAAGAAAAGUCUGAAUGUUACCUCUUUUCGAGGCCAAUCUCUCCCUUGUAUGAAUUAAUUCGGUGUGCAUAUGGGAGGGCAAAAUCUGACCAUUCUUCACCCUUUAUCAAUGAUACAAAGCAUUAGGAUCCUGACAUAUAUAAAUAUAUGAUCCCACCCAUUAUUAUUUAUCUUCCAAUUAUUUAGCUGCUGGUUCUUCGUAUCAUAACUCUGUAUAAGUAAACAAUCAAAAUUUUACAAAUACCGCACGCACCUGUGUUUGCUCGUCAUUGUUCACAGUGGCUGGUCGGAUCGGAUUGGCGACGAGUGAGACUCAAUCCCCAGUGCUGAUUCCCACGAUACUUGAGCAGCACGUCGCUCCCCCAACGGUUUCUCCUCUACGCGCCUCCGCAUAACUCUCAACCACCACCCGUAUGUAUCAUCAACACAACGAAAACUCCGAUUGUCUAAAUUAGUGUUAUAAUUGGGAGGAUUGUAGAAUAGGAAGGAGUAUAGGGAAAACAAAGGCGAGGACAAGAGUGGGUCUUAGUAGAGAUUUACGGGGCAUUUUCCGGAGUACGGUUUUACUGCUGUAAGGCAGUGGUGAUGUGGGUGGAGACGGCGGUAACUGGCAGCGAUCUGAGUUUCGGCUGGAGAUUCAUAAACUAAUAAGGUGCACGCCACAUACCAGAGGCGCGUGAAACUAUAAACUGUAAAGGAGGAGAGAGUAAUCGAUUUGCAGAAUCGUUUGUUUACGAAGAAGUUUCACAAAGCAAAUAUUCGAUUUGGAAUAAGUUAAUCCAAAGCUCCUUUUAUUUUUUUUUCUUUUCGCGUUAGCGUUCUAGUGUAUUUUGACUCGUGUAGCACCUGUCAGUUUUAAAAAAAUAAAAAAUUUAUAAAUAAAUAUUUUCUUUAUACCAUUUUUUAAUAUACUGUCUCUUUUGAUUAAUCUUAAAAAUCAUAAUUUUUUAACAUUCUGAUGCGAUCGCUUUGGUACCGACAGAUUUUCUAUGCAAGAAUUGUAAGAAAAACGAGAGAAAACUUUAUUUAUUCAACGUCUUCUGUUUAUCACGUUGGUUGAAAUAUAUAGAAAAAAAGAAAGACAAUCCUAAAGCUACGUAAACUAAUACUCAAGGAAUAAUUCUAAUCCUAAUAAUUAAAGAAGAGUAACUUAACUAAAAUACUAUAAAAAUAUAAUAACUAGGAAUUAUAAUAAUAAGGAAGCUAUUAAUAAGGACACAUAAGCCACGACUCUUCUCCUGACUAGUCCAAGUAGUGUCGGUUAGGUCGGAUGGUUCGCAUGCUACGACGUGGCUUAUCAUUCCCUCCCUUUUCAAAUACAACCUUGUCCUCAAGGUUAAGGUGGGGAAACUUUUCGACAAGCACCUCCGAAGCUUCCCAAGUGGCGUCUUCUACUGGCAAGGAAUUCCAUUUAACCAACACCUCUCGCACGCGGCCACCCUUUCCAGCAACAGCCCUUUGUUGGUUAAAAUACCUACACGCAAGUGCACGUAUCGUACAAGUAAUAUAGUGGACUAAAAGUCCGGAUAUCGAACCCACAGGGAAUAUUUAAUUAUCUAACCCUAGACGCUAAAUUCUACCAAUUAUUAUCAAGCCCACCCUACACAGUCGAAUUUUAGAGAGAAUUAACUAAAUUAAACUAAAUUAAAAGCAAGCAAAAACAAGAAAGCAAUUUUAAACGAAGAUUUAAUCAAGAUAAGCAAGCCUAGGAUUUUAUUCUCCCCCCUAUGUGAUUAUUACUCCCCCAAUUCCUUCAAUUAUGCAAGCAAUUAACCCGGAUUAUUAACCUGAGAUGCUAAAAUAUUCAUAACCCGCUUCCGCGUGUAUUACGAUUCUAAUACUCUAGAUUCAAUUACUAUAUUCCUAUGCAAUUAAUUCUAGAACACAGCGUUAAGCACAAAUCUCAAUAAUAGCUACCUAAGAGAUUAACUAUAUUCCUAUGUUAAUACCACAAAGGCUCUUCUACCACAGUUCUAAUUAUUAACCCGAUCUUCCGAUUCAUGCGAUUAACAAUAACAUAAAAGCACAUAAAGUGGCCAGUUUCAUGAACUUAAUAAAAUAAGUAGAAGAAAUAAUCCGGAAUUAAAACUUGCAUAAAAUCAUAGAAAAUGGUUCAUAAAUCCCACAUAGGGAUCCAAAUAAAAUCCUAGAAAUAAGUAAUUUAGCUACUCAUGAUUAAAGGAAAAACGCAAAUAAAAUAAGUCAUAAACGAUAAAUCUAUGCUUAGAGUCUUCGAAUUCUUCGUCUUCGUUAUUGCUUUGUUGCUCUUGAAAUUGCGUAAAAAGAUCCCAAUUGUGUGCUUGGGUUGGUCUUAUAUAGGGUGAAGAACUUGGGGAAGAAGGCAGUUUCCUUGUGCAAUUAAAAUUCCUUUACUGCGCAGCUUCGGAGUCUCGGACGGGGGUCCCACAAAUUGAACUAAAACUCGGACGGGGUUCUGAGCUUUAAAUCUUCAGAAUUUUGAUUUUUUCACUUUUGACCCAUAUUUUCUCCAAUAUUGCAGUUUUGACCCCACACUUUUCCAAUUCUUCAAUUUGUACCUAAAAUACAAUAAAUCAACUUUUUAAGCACCAAUUGUCGUUAAAACACACCAAAAGCUCAAAUAAAAAGAUACGAUAAAGUGUAAAAAUAUACACUUAACACCCUUGACUCUAGAAUUUGUGUGGGCUCAAGAACAGGUUCUCCGUCCACGCUGUAAGGUGAUAAACUAGCUACUGCAGACUGUUGAUCCCCAAGCUUACACCGAAGCAAUGAAAUGUGAAACACUGGGUGUAUGCGAGACUCGCUAGGAAGGUCCAACUUAUACGCCACAAGGCCAAUUCUCUCGACAAUGCGAAAGGGACCGUAAAAACGGCUAGCCAACUUAUGGAAAACCCUCUUGAAAACAGACCGUUGCCGAUAUGGUUGAAACUUUAAAUACACCCAGUCGCCUAUCUCAAACUGCUCCUCACGUCGAUGUUUAUCAGCAGCUUGCUUCAUUCGAUCCUGAGCGACUGCCAAGUGAAUUUUCAAUUCCUUAAUAAUCUCAUCUCGUGCCCUCAAGGUUCGAUCAACCUCUGGUACAUUAGCAGUUCCAGCCAUGUAUUGCACCAAUGGUGGUGGAGGUCGCCUAUAAACUGCUUCAAAUGGUGUUAUUCCAAUGGAUCGAUGGAACGAUGUAUUGUACCAGAAUUCAGCCCAUGCUAGGUACUCUUCCCAUUGUCUUGGUUUGAGGUAAACAAAGCACCUUAAAUAUUGCUCAAGACACCGAUUUACUACUUCGGUUUGGCCGUCGGAUUCGGAAUGGUAAGCCGAACUAGUGCACAAGGCAGUCCCUGCAAGCGAAAUAGCUCCCGCCAAAAAUUACUAAUAAAAACUUUGUCUCGAUCAGACACAAUUGACGUGGGAAGGCCAUGUAAUUUGACCACUCCUCUCACAAAUGUAGCUGCCACAUCUUUAGCCGUGUAUGGGUGGGUUAAUGUCAUAAAGUGGGCAUAUUUUGAUAAUCGAUCGACUACCACGAAGAUCGUAUCUUUCCCUUGCGAUCUCGGCAAUCCCUCAAUAAAGUCCAUACUUAUAUCGGCCCAAAUGACAAGUGGUAUUGGCAAUGGUUCGAGCAGACCCGCCGGCCGACGAUGAUCAGCUUUAUUCCUUUGGCACGUGUCACACUCUCGCACAAAUUGCCGCACCGCUGAUCGGAGUCCGUGCCACGAAAACAACUGUGAAAUGCGUUUGAAUGUGUGAAGCUCUCCUGAGUGGCCCGCAAUUGGUGAAGAGUGAAAUUCUGUAAGGAUCUUUUGCCGUAGAGGAACCGCCUCGGGAACCAUUAGACGUCCUUUCACUCAUAGGCACCCAUUUUUGACUGAAAUCCCGUCUUCACUUGAAGUAUUUUCCCAUUUUUUUUCAGCUCGUUCAACUUUGGAUCCUCUGCAGUUGCAGCCGCGAUCUCGUCCCACACGACCCAAGUUGGUAUGGUAAUCGCGGAUAACUCCGACUCGCUAACCAUACCCUCGUCGAUUUCUGGAUUUGCAUGUUCGCGGCGGGAUACGGCAUCAGCCGCGCUAUUUUGUUUUCCCGGCUUAUAAAUGAUCUCGUAAUCAAAGCCCAAUAACUUAGCUAUCCACUUUUGUUGUUCAGGCGUAGUAAUACGCUGCUCAAGAAGAUAGCGAAGACUUCGGUGAUCGGUGCAUAUUUUGAAUUUACGCCCUAAGAGAUACGGUCGCCAACAUCGAACUGCUUCUAAAAUCGCUAGCAUCUCUUUUUCGUAAGUGGACCAAGAUCUCUUUGCUGCGAUGAUCCCCUUGCUAAUAAAAGCAAUAGGUCUUCCCCCUUGACUCAACACUGCUCCUAUGCCUUCACCGGAAGCGUCCGUCUCAAUGGAAAAUUCCUCCUCAAAGUUUGGUAGGGCUAGAACAGGGGUCUUCGUCAUUGCUUCUUUUAAUUUUUCAAAUGCUAAUUGUGCCUCUUCCCCCCACUUGAAGCCCCCUUUUUUUAGUAAGUUUGUCAGUGGUCGAGUAGAGCUAUACUCCCAUAGUUGUGUACAAAUUUUCGAUAAUAACCGGUUAACCCUAAGAAUCCACGUAAUGCGCGCACAGUUUUUGGAGAAGGCCACGAUACCAUAGCUUUAAUUUUUUCUUGAUCAACUCUUACCCCUUCAUGUGAAAGCCAAUGGCCUAAGUAUUCCACUUGCUUUUGGCCAAAACAACAUUAACUGGGUUUUAGAAAAAAAUGUGCAUCCCUCAAUAUUUGCAAGGUGGUUCUCAACUGUUGUAGGUGAUCUUCCCACGAUUUACUAUAAACUAAUAUAUCAUCAAAAAACACCAAUAUGAAUUUCCGCAAGUGUGGCCGAAAGAUCUCAUUCAUAGCAGCUUGGAAAGUCGAUGGUGCAUUACACAAUCCGAACGACAUUACUAGAUACUCGUAGUGGUCAUUAUGAACUCGAAAGGCAGUUUUGUGAAUGUCAUCAGGAUGUACCCGGAUUUGAUGAUAGCCCGCACGUAGAUCGAGCUUGCUGUAAUACUGAGCCCCGUGUAGCUCAUCAAGCAUGUCGUCCACAGUUGGUAUAGGAAAUCGAUCUUUAAUAGUUACGUCAUUCAAUCCCCUAUAGUCUGUGCAGAAACGCCACGAACCAUCCUUCUUCUUUACGAGAAGAACCGGUGAUGAAAAAGGACUUGUACUUGGCUGCAUCAGUCCCGACUUAAGCAAUGCGGCUACUUGUUUUUCGAUCUCGUUUUUCUUGAAGUGUGUGUAUCGAUAGGGUCGCACAUUGACAACGGUUGCUUCAUCGUGUAAACGUAUACGGUGGUCAAACUCUCGUUGUGGUGGUAAGGUUUCGGGCUCUGUCUGGAUAUCAAGAAAUUCAGUCAAUAAGUUUUUUAUUUCCACAUUGUCGGUACCAACUACUUCGCUUGUUUCUUCCCUAUCGAACGAUGCCGCUACUCCGAAUAGCUCGCCUCCUGCUUUCCAGUCCCCGAUCAGCGCAUGGAGCUCGCUAAUUUCGAUGUCCUUCUCUUCCCGUCCCUGAAUGUGAUAUUCACGGCCUUGGACUUUAAAUUUCAUUGAUUUUUUUCGAUAAUCUGUUAGCACAGGACUCAGGUCCUCGAGCCAUGGUAAACCCAGU
rnacentral:lncRNA from 1 species